CGUGCCAGCGUUCCCACGGGUGUUUCCCAGUGUAUUUAUGCAUGCUCCUUGUAAGAAUAAUUUUUACUGGCGAUCAUAUGGGCUGUAGUUCUUGCAAUGUAUGAAGGUUUUCUUUGCUCUAGUGUUUUUUUUUCUUUAAUCUGAUGAUUUAGAAGAAUCACUUGUAAGAAAUGGAAGAACGCAAAUUAAGCAGGAUGUGGAACUAGCAGGUCACUCCUGAUUUCAUUUUCUUUUUCCCUCAUGGUCAACUCAUGGCGUGCGUAGCGUCAAUCGGUGAUCCGUUUCCUCUUAUUUUGCGAUCAACUUGCCGUUGUUCAUGGGCGCGGAUUUCAGGCCGAUCGAACCGGUGAGCAUGCGUGUUCCAUGCUCGAUCUCUAUCAGUUUCCAAAUCUUUUUAAUUCAAUGCUCAUCUGCACGGGUCACGAUUGCGCAUAGUACACGUACAGCUCAGUUCUUCCCAUGGAUCGCGACCUGUUCGCAGCAUAUGGCCAGCUAGUACUGAUAGUUGCAGCUCUGAGCCUGUGAAUCUGUGAAAGCCAUGCCAUGAUCCGAUCCUCCCCCUGAUCCUCCUGCAUGAAACCUGGUCUCCUGAAGAGCUACUUCGGUUUACAGUGCUGGUUCAGCCAACCAAACGAAGAAACACGGUCGUAUCCGUGUUUGAUAUUAAGAAGAUGGGACAUUCCACGGGCAUCUAACAGCAUCGUCGCACCAACGAUGCCGGUGCCUCUAAUAUUUAAGAAAACAGAAUGACAGAAGAGUGUUCAGCAGAAUUAGCAGGGGUACCCCCAAUCUUUGCAAACGGGCAACUGCUGUUCAGUGUUCAUUGAACAUAUCACUUGCCUCUCGACAAGGAAUCAGCGGCAAGCAUGCAUCAAAUGACAGAUGUAAUAGCAACAUAUGUAACAUUUAGUCAUAAAAAUCUAAACUUUAUAACUUUUGAUUGACAUGUGCUAACGACAUAUUCCAAUGUACAACUUUUUUUUUUGCUAUGAUUUGGUAAUGUACACUAUGUUGUGGUCAAUUUCAACUUAAAAGAAUUCCUAAUGCGCUUCACAAAAGUAGAUGUUGUAUUAAUUUCUUUAUUUGCAACCUUAGAUAAAAAUCUAAACUUUAUAACUUUUGAUUGACAAGUUUGCUAACGACAUAUUCCAACUUCCAAUGUACAACUAUUUUGCUAUAAUUUGGUAAUACCAACAUUAUGUUGUGGUCAAUUUCAACUUAAAAGAAGUCCUAAUGCGCUUCACAAAAGUAGAUGUGUAUUAAUCUCUGUAUUUGCAACCUUAGAUAAAAAAAAAGCCAGUAGUUAGGCAAGGGCCACUAUCCGAAACCAGUUGCACAAAACAAGAUUAUCAUAGUCCACCUCGAUGGCAAAUGUGUGGAUCCCAUGACGGCUUGUUUGGGCUGAUCUGUUAAACGCUAUUUUUCUUUUGUCAAAUCUUAGCCCAAUCUACAUAUAUGGGCUGAUCUGUUAAACGCUAAUUUUUUUGUCCUACUUGCGUACUGGGCCAGAAUCGGCCCAUACACAAACAGGCCCGGGUGAACCCAACUAGGCACACAGCUCGCCACAAAACCGGACUGCCAAUGUUUUUUUUUAAACAAAACCGGGCUGCCUGCCACUGCCCGAUCGGACGGAAGGAUCGUACUCAGGGUCUUCCGUCCUUCGAGGUAUGAUGAUUUGCACGUUUGAUCCAUAGACUUUUAAUUUUCAAGUACAUCGGAUUUUGAUAUCAAUUAGAACUAAUUAUAAAAUUAAUUGCACAAAUCGUGACUAAUUCACGAGACGAAUCUAUUAAAUCUGAUUAAUUCAUGAUAUUUACUCCAUGGUCAAAUUAUGAACUAAUUACACGAUUCAUCUCGCGAAUUAGGCUUCAUUUAUGCAAUUAAUUUUGUAAUUAAUCUAUAUUUAAUACUCCUAAUUAAUAUCUAAACAUUAGAUAUGACAGGGAUUAAACUUUAAUCAAGAACCAAACAAGCCUUAAACGUUUAAGCAUCCAUCUCUAAGGGGGUGUUUGGGAGGAGUGGGCUAAAUUUUAACCCUGUCACAUCGGAUAUUCGGAUACUAAUUAGGAGGACUAAGCAUAAGCUAAUUACAAAACUAAUUGCAGAACCCCUAGGCUAAAUCGCGAGACGAAUCUAUUAAACCUAAUUAAUCCAUCAAUAAUGAAUAGUUACUGUAGCACCACAUUGUCAAAUCAUGGACUAAUUAGGCUUAAUAGAUUCGUCUCGCGAUUUAGUAUAGGGGUUGUGUAAUUAGUUUUGUAAUUAAUCUAGAUUUAAUACUCCUAAUUAGUGUCAAACAUUCGAUGUGACGGGGGGUUAAAAUUUAGUCCCCUCCCCAAACACCCCCUAACUAUGCCGGCACCCACGAUUCAAGUCUUGUCACCCUUGAUACCGAGGUCAUCAAUAAUGCUGUUCUGUGGAUAUCCCAAUCAUCCAUAAAAAAACUAGAGAUUGCACUAUCUACUGUAUCACUCAACAUCAAACAGUAACGCGGCUGGCUCCACAAUUUCAACGCUCAUCACCACGACCCUAGCAGCCGCCACUGCCAAGUCCGUAAUAACUAUCGGGCUGUAUCAGUUAUCUGUCUUUUUUUUUAUAAGGGCAAUUUUAGUAUAUGAUUUCGUCGUAACUGUCAUGUUAUCUAUUUAAUGAAAUGAAAUUGUCAUUCUUAAGGUAUAGUUUCAUUGCACAGUUUUGUACAUAGCAUACAACAUUUAAUUUGUACGUGGAGUUAUGAUCAAAUGUGUCUUGGGAUGAAACUAUAACAUCUUCAGUGCAAGUUUUAUUAUGUUUCAUGGGACUUGGUAACGAUACCAAGUAGGUUUCAUGAGGAUGAAACUCCCCUCUCCUCUCUCCUCUUAAUUAGGUUGCCAAGUCAGCCAAACUGUUGAUGUGGCAUAAAAUUUAAUGUCCAUAAAACUCCCAUAACACCCCACUGAGACUGGUCUAAGGCUAAUCCCAGUUGGAGUUUCAUAGAGGUUUCAUGCACAUUAAAUACAAUGACACAUCAGUAUAUGGGAUGACAUUACAACAUAAUUAUGAAGAGAGAGAAGGACUUUCAUCAGGAUGAAACUGUGUAUGCACUGUUUCCAAAACUAUAAAACUUGUAUUGGGGGCUAGAAAGUUUCAUUUCAUCUCACCAUAUCCAAUCACAUGCCUUGCAAUUAAAUGGUAUGCCCAGCCUAUAAAAUCAUGAAAUAAAACUUUGCACUGUGGGGAUUGGUUUCAUUCAUCAACUCAAACCUCUUUUGGUGACAUGUCACUCUUGGAAUGGGAAUAACCUAAAUAAACCGUGAUGUUUCAUUUUCCUCGUGCUUGUUUGUGCCAUGUUGUCCAUAAUUUUACUGCCUUGCAGCCACAACAAUGGACAGCUAAACUUCUUCUAAAAAUCUAACUAUUACUAUUACUAAUUGGAGGUUCCUUUUGAAGGCUCUAGGUGAAGCUAUCUAGGAUCCUACAUGGACACUCUAGAAAAAGAGAGAAAUUUUAGAAAUUCUUAAAAAAACAAAACAUCUAAUCAUCAAAUCAGUAGACUCAAAUUAUCAUAGCUAUUGGAUGAAAACUUCGAGUCCAUUAAAUAAAUUCAAGUACAUAUCUGCGAUACAAAGUGAAAAGUUAAAGAUUUACAAUCGGAUAAAGAUAAUAAACAUAUAUCUAUAUAAGUAUUGUGUUCGAAUAUUUAACAAAUGAGUAGUAGCUCAAAGUAACAGUUUCUGUAGCAAUAUGGUCUCAUUUUUUUCAUUAGAGACUCUGCAUUAGUUCUGACGAGACACGCUAGAAAGAAACACAAAUCCUAAAAAUUCUCACAAAAAUCAGAAACAUCAAACAUCAACCAUGUAAACUUUAAUAAUCAUAGCCAUUGGUCUAUUAUGUUUUAUAAAAAAAUUACCCAGCACCGUCAUUAUGAAAAUAUUCUAAAAUAAACCCUAAACAUAUAUCUAAAUUACCGGGCUUUGCCAUUAUAAAAAAUUAUCUAAGGUAACCCCAUAAUCUUAAUCCAAUAUACUUAUGCAUAUGAUUAUCAAUCAUAACUUAAAAUGUCAUUCUAAAUUUGUAUCUAAAUUAACCACAUAUGUUGUUAUUAAAAAUAAUCUAAAGUAAAUACCUAAAUCGUGAUCUAAUUAUAUUCAUGUGCAUCGUAUAGAAAUGUCCAAAAGUAAACUAAUAUAUGAUUCUAAAUUACCUAUUUGUGUAACUAUUUAUGUCAUUGUUAAUAUUGAAAUACUAAUUUAAAGUAUAUAGUUAUGAGUAGUAGGUAAACAAUUUUGAUUAUUAGCUAGGAGUUUAAUUUCUAAAUAAUUUUUAAAUACAAUAAUUUUUAAAAAUACUAGCCCGUGCGGGAGAAUAAGUUGAUGGACUAGUUGAUGGACUAGUAGACCUUAAACCGCUAACGACCAAUUAAGCACAUGUUGAUAAAUGAUAAGCUUCACAAACAAACACUAGCUGACCAUGAAAUUUAUAAUAAAGGUAGCAAGGGUACUAAAAUUAUGAAGUCUUAUAUUUGGUCUAGUCUACUUUGGAGAAAGUACGUAAGUAAGGAAUGAACAAAAUCUAAUUUAUUCUACGACAAACAAAAGAGCGGACCAAGAAAUUUGUAACCUUGUAGCUGAUGAUGGUUAGGUGAGGGAGUCACAAGUCACCAACUCCUACUCCCUCCGUUCCAAAUUGUAGAUCGUUUUAACUUUUUUAGAUUCAUAGAUUUUGUUAUGCACAUAGAUAUACCCCCUGUCUAGAUGUACAAUAAUAUCUAUAUAUCUAAAAAAGUCAAACAACAUAUAAUUUGGGACGGAUGGAGUACUAAUUAACCUCAGUUAGAAAUCAAGUUUGUGACUGAUAGUCUUGCUCACGUAAAGCUGCAUACCCACAUCCUCAGGUAGUGUAUAGGCAUCUAUCACACUUGAUUUCUUACGACUGAACAAGUUCACAAUCAUCUAAUUAACCUCUAGUUAUGGCAUCACCGAUGUAAAUAAAGGAUCCCACACUCUUACCACCGGAGCAAUACUUUAUGUUUUUCCUGUGCCUGUCUGUGUGCCAUAACCCAAUCAUCCCAGUUAGAGAAUUUGCAGUGUCAUGCUCUGAUGCUCGUCAGCAAAAUUAAAUGUCCCACUAGCUCUGCAACAACUCAACGCCCACCCACCAUGACCUGCGCGCAGCCAUCACACUGUCAAAGCCCCGUUUACCACUGGAUCAAUUAUCUUGCCUUCUUCCAAGACAAAUUGCGCUUGCUCAUUUUCCUCGUGCAUCUUCCUGCCAUGCCAUGUUGCUUAUUACUAUUACUGCUAAUGUCAAUGACAUUCCUGCUGCGAGCUAGUAUGCGACAACGGACAAGUGAGCUUUUCUUCAAAUAAUGAGCCUGUGAAACCGAUAGCACAUGUUGAUAAGCUUCAGAGACAUUUUCGCGGACCGGAUAGUCGUGGCUGAAUCACCAAAACCUACUAGGAAGCCUAGUCAAACAAAUAAAUUCCUCAUUAACCACAUCGUCAUGACUCUUCAUGUUCAUUUGAAAGGGAGUUAAUUUACCCAAUUAUCCGGGACAGCGCAUCUGACCACGCUAUGCCGCUUGCAGCCUUCGUUAUCAUUAUCCUACAUACUUAAAUUACCCAUAAGACUCGUUCGCGCCCGUAACUACCAGCUCAACGAUUGGCCGUUCAGACUAACGUUGCACCUGCUUUUCUUCUGUCUAACUUGACACAAGCGAACACUUCACCUACCACGUCGGCACCUCCUGACCAACGCAAAAGCUACGCACGCAGCUUCUGCGAACUGUUAAAAGUCUCUGAACGUUUCUCCGCUGCGAAUUAUUGUUUUGGGCGCGCACGUACGUGACAGCAGCAGGCCAGCAGCUCUCGAUAACAGUCAUAUAAAAGGAGAUCCCGGCAUGAUCAUUCAGCACAGAAACUCAAUCCUCUCUUCUCACCAGACACACACCAACUCAGGCCGACGCCGGCGACGACGCGAUCAACGAGCGGGGGAGAGCCAUGGAAGCCGAGGCCUUCCCGAUACGGUUCACGAAGGGCAUCAGGUCCUACUGGCGCCGGCAAGACUACCAGCGCGUGGACGGCACCGGCGCAGCGUCCCGCGGCAGGCGCCGGCACAGGCUGGUGCGGCUCGGGGAUGGCAGCGGCAGCGGGCCCAGGCCGUGGGCCGUGCGGAUCGGCGGCAUGUUCCGGGUGAAGCGCCACCGCGGCAGGGCGCAGGCGCCGCCGCCGGCACCCGCCCGGGGCGCGGCCGCCGUGGCCAAGGCGCCCAUGCGCGUGCUCGGCCGGAUCCGGGACGCCUACGUGGACGUGAUGCUGGGCGCCGCCAAGACGCAGCCGGCCGCGGCGCGGGCGCUGCCCACCGCCGCUGGCGCGCUGUGGCAGAAGCGGGUGCCCAUGCGCCGCUCGACCAGCAAGGCGCAGCAGAAGGCCGACGAGCUCGGCCAGAGGCUCGUCAUGGAGAUGUACAAGUCCGUGCUCGCGUCCAGGAGCGUCUCAGGCAUGCUCCGCGCGUCCGUGGCGCGGUAGCGUGCAUCUGCAGUGGACAUGUCGCGAACGCCGCGCAGGAAGACAGUCUCUUCACUUUUUUUUUUUGUACUUCUGGUUAACCUAUGUACAUGAUCCGUCUUGCCUGUACAUCCAUAAAGCAUGGGGUUGCUCUGCUGAAGUUCUCCAAACCCCGGUAAUUGCAGUAAUCAUGUAACAUCCUCUUUCAAGAGCUGUAUAAUUACAUUCAUUAAUGGUUGGAACAUAUAAUUUUCGCAAGAAUGUCACCGGAAACAGUUCAAUUCCAGCAUGAUUCAAAUUUAUAAGACCAGGAUGCGACCUUUAAAAAUUCUUUCAAGAACUUUGUGUUCAUGGGGAGGCCCAUCCAGCGUUUCUCAUCCUGCUCUCCAAAAGGAAUAUAGGAGCAUCAUGGGCCGAGGGACAGUGUAAUAGACAGGUUGGGCUUGUCCAUAACUCCAUAUUAUGGCCUGUUGUCAAUCCAAUAUCUUUCCCCAAGCAACACGUUGUGACUCUUUUUUGAUUUUUAGUCCUUUUUGCGAAAGAUUCUGGCGGAACCAAUUCCAAAAAGGACCCUUAGCUUGGAUGGCGCCAAGCUUACACGUCUCGACGCCAGCCAUCCUGACGUCAAGGUCCAUGCACAGCUGAUGACGUGGAUGCCGACGUGGCGGGGGAUGGCGCCAAGCCUGGCGCCGUGGAUCUUGACGCCAAGCAAUUUACCCUAUGCCUCCUGGCGUUUCGAAAGAAACAAGUAUUUACGCAGGGGUUUGAACUCAGGUCUUUGGGAUAAGAAGCCCACGUCCUAUCCAGUUGAACUAGAGCGUAGUUUGUUGCACACUCCUUGGAAUAAUUAUACUUGUUUCGUUCGAAACGCCAGGAGGCAUGGGGUAAAUUGCUCGACGCCAAGGCCUACGGCUCAAACUUGGCACCAAGAUCCACGGCGAGGCUUGGCGCCAUCCAUGAUGGCGCCAAGCCCCCGCCACGUUGGUAUCCGCGUCAGCAGCUGCGCAUGGACCUUGGUGCCAAGAUGGCUGGCGCCGAGACGUGUAAGCUUGGCACCAGCGUGGAUGGCGUCAAGCUAAGGGUCCAUUUUUGGAAUUGGUUCCGCUAGGGGCGUAUUUGUGAGAAUCUUUCGAAAAAGAGUUAAAAAAUAAAAAAGACGGAAUUGUGAAGCAUCCCAGCAAUGAAGAGCCCCUAUGGAAUCACUUCACGCGGAAUGGCUCUGGCUCUUGCUGCACUGUGCUAUAUUGUUUUUCAAUCAAAAUUUGGCUCCGGCUCCACUCGUUUUUUUGCCUUGGGGGCACGAGGAGCCGGUGGAGCUGAGUUUGCUGGGCUCCCGCGGCUCCGUCACGGUGGCCUAUUGUGCCGGAGCCGGAGCCAGGCGAAGCCCUUACCAAAGGCGCUCAAAGCAAGUUUGGGGAAAGCUGUUCGAGAGUUCAACUGCUACUCUUUACAUAGGAUUGCCAACGGCAAGCCGGUAACGUAUCAUAGCACCAAGGAAUGUUCCGAGUUGCACCGGCUUUUCUACUAAGGCCGAUGAAGCUGCGUAGGUUGCAUUGCUUGUCUGCACUCUGCAAAGAUGCUGCAUAAAUCGUGGAAGAAACGUUCUUUUCAGCAGUGGGAGUGAUCAGCCGUCUGGCUUAUGUGCGCAACUGCUCAAGAAUAGUAUAUGUCAGUCUGCAUAUUUCUUCGUUCUCGUUUUGGUGACUACAAGUUUAGCUGCAAAGCUAGUGCAAUGAACACCUCCAAACUGAAACAACUUGGAACUCUGCUAAUUCCCAACUAGCACUCUAGCGGUAGCCUGUGCUGCUGUGCAUGGAGCAUGCAAGUUCCAUACCCAAAUUCCAGUUCAGAACAAACCCAAACAGAGAAAAAUACAGAGACAGAAGCAGCACGAUAAUAAGGGAUCAUCGUAAAGAUUUACUGGAGAACGAUUUUUCGGAUAACGAAACUUAUGUUGUGAGCAAUAUGACAACAUAUGUACUGGAAAAAUUACUAGCCAUCACAGUGGAAAAAAGUUUCAAAGUACAACAAAAGCUAGCCUGAAUAAAUCAAAAAGCUUCUGCACAGAUCCAACACUCAUCAUACAGACAAAAUGACAGGUUUCACCCGCAUUUCCUUGCAUCAAGUGCAAGCAUUCCGGUUGAAUUUCACCUGAACAUUGGAAAUGCCUGCCGGAUCUACAGCCAUACGGACUUUAUUGUAUCAAGCUGUCCCUGUCACCCAUUGCAUCGAAACGCAUCGAAGAAACAGGGCAGCUAUCACCUAACAAAUACACCCCAAAAAAUAGAUUACAUAAACCGAAGACACAGUUGAAGUCCCUGAGCACCGGCAGCUGACUGACGGUGAAGCUAAUCUUCUUGUAUUUGAAUAUUCACAUUGCCUGAAAACUAAUUCUACGAUCAGGUUUCUUUUAUGCUCUUUUAUAUGUUACUUUAUCUUAUUUACGCUGUUUGCAUUUUUUGUACAUGUUCGUGUGAAUUAUAUACUUGACUCGUUGACUCGAGACGGAACAAAAACGAACGGUUCCAGAGGCUGGCCGUGCUCCGUGGCGCUGCUAAGGGCGGGGGAGGAGGAGGCGUUCGGCAGAUGUGAGCGAGUGGCGGAAAUGGCAUCGGUGGCCGUACGGGCAGACCUCGCCGGCGAGCACCAUGCGGCAGACCUGGGUCUUGUAGCGCGGGUGGCGGAUGACGGGACGGAGCUCGGCGACGCCGUGCGCGAACUGGCACUGGUCGCCGUAGGGGCACGCCCCCGUCUCCUCCCACUUGUUGCACAGCUCCGUCUUGAACAUGCCCUGGUUGUACACCUCCAGCUCCAUGGCCCCGGCCGCGUGUUGCUGCUUGGCCUCCUCGCCUUUCUUAUCGCCGCCGUCGCCGAUGUACACGCGCUGCUGAUCCGUGUGUGCAAGCAACAAUGAUGUCAGAUGCCAAGCGGGAUGCGGAGUUCGCGCGGCGUGUGAACUGGGACUCACCGAGCUGGGUUUGGUCGGGUUGGACGCGCGAGGCUUGCGGUUGUUGGCCGCCGGCGUGGCGGGGGCCUGGUUAGGCUGGUUCAUCUUGAGGUAGUCGUUGGACCGGACGGAGAUGCUUUUGGGCAGCACGGCGAGCUUUUCGGGCUGCGCGCGCUCCUUGGCGGCCGGAACGGCCUUCUGCUCGCUGAAGCGGAGCCGUCGGACCUCGUCGGCGAUGGCUGCGGCGGCGGCCUGCUUGCCAAUGCCGCUGAGCAGCGCGAGGCGGCGCGUGAGGUCGCCGUUGGCGGCUCGGAGCUCGGCGUUCUCGCGGCGGAGCGCCGCGGCCUCGUCGGCGGCAUCGGCGAGGCGGGCGAGGCAGAGCUCGUAGCGGUCGGCCACCUCCUGGUACUGCAGCGCGAGGCGCGCGAGCUGGAGGCGGUGGCCCGUGGCGGCGUCGGUGGCCGCGGCGUCGUCGCAGUCGUCCACGAGAGAGGCCGACGAGGACGGCGAGAGCGAGACGGAGGAGGUGGCGAGCGGCGACGGCGAGGAGAAGCCGAAGCUGGGGCUGAAGGGGGAGGAGCAGCGGAACAGAGCGUCGUCGCCACCCGUGCCGCCGCAGGCGAGGUUGAGGUAGCGCGGCGAGGCGAGGCGCUGGUCCCCGAAGGCGAACGGCUUGAGCUCAAAUGCCGAGCGGAGGCUGCCGGCAUUGGCCGGAGAGAGGAGAGCUUCCUGCAUGGCUGCGGCUUCCAAGGCAGACAACUAUAGCCUCUGCCUGCGAAUUGAACAGACCGAAAUGUCACAAGAAAAUCACAAGAUCUUUCUUUCGAACUGUUGUUCUUGCUCAAAAGCGUUAAGAUCACGGAAUUAACGACACAAAACGAUCAGAAAGCAGAUUGCAAAGAAUAAAGGCCACAAAAUCAGCAAGCUGCCAAACUAAUGGUUCCAAUUUUGACUUGCCCGCCUGUACUAGCUAGCGUCUGAUCACCACUGACCUCGGACGAACUCGAAACAACCAUAAGACGGUACGAAGAAAAUGAGAAAAAUGUCAGGAACUAGUACUUGGUUCCAUCUCAAACACAACUCCGAAACCACACCUAAUGCAGCCAGAUCAAACCGUCGACCGCACUUGCAAUCAGACGGAGAGAGUGUAAACAGAGCUCGGUGCAGCAGCAGCUGCAGCUACCAAAAUGCAACGAAAGCCGCCAUUAAAUUGAGCUGGACCGCGACAGAUCGUACCUCCUGGACGAACCGAUCGAAGCCGGGGCGUGUUGGAGAGGACGAUCGAGGACUGCGAAGCGAACUGCAGGUGGCUGCUGGCCUGCUGGGAACGCUUGGCGUCGUGCUUUAUAUAGCUGGGGGAGCAUGCCAGGAGCAGGGGAGACCGUGGGGCCCGCCCGUCUGCCACUGCGAGAGCGAGGCCGAGGCCGAGGCGGCAGGGGAAUGGGCGUGCCCCGGUCGUACCGGAGCACGGUCCGGACGUCGGGUUCGUUCUCCUUGUCCCGGUUGCAUUCAGGCAGUCAGUCGGUGGUUGGCAAAUGCCUUAUGGCGUCUGCUUCUGGUUGGGUUUGAAACUUUUGGACCUGAGUGAGCUUUGCUUUGCUUACCUGGCGUGGCGUGUGCUCCUGGUCUGCUCUGUUUCAACUGGGUUUACCUCGUCAAUGGAGCAGUACGAGUUUGGUGCGGCACGAACUGACCGAGCUGCGAUGCUUGCUAGUCACGGUUUCAGAUGUUCAGUAAUUAGUAGUACAAUUAGAGGUGGUAAUGGAUCAUGCUUCUCAUACCUCCUUUACAAUCUAACUCAGCCUUAUAUUUAUUUAGUUCAAAAUCAUAUAGUAUUUCAGUUCGAUUCUUAGUAAGCCGAGUUCUUAAAUUUGCUAGGCUACACCCCUAAGUGAACUGCUCCCUCCGAAAAAAAAAAUUGCAACCUCAUUCUAGUUUGACGACUGGCUCCCUUCUCCCUUCUGGACCUCUAUGGCUUCAGUUCCCUGCGCUCCUCACUUCUCUGUGUCUGCGCUCCUUGAACCUUCAGCUAAGACCACGGCUGUCUACUGCUGCUGCCCGCGAGCUUUGUUCCUUGAAUGAACUCGUGAGUAGUGUAGUUCUUGUUGCUGGAACGGAUGAACGGAUCCUGAUUUGGGAAGAGCAACUAAUACUUCCUCUAGUGCAGCUUACAGGACGCCCACAGCUACGGAGGAAUUAGAUGCCAACAGUGCCCACAUCUGGGCAACUCGCAUGACAACAAAGGUGAAAUUCUUUGCAUGGCUCUUCUGCAAUAAUCGUCUACCAACCCGUGCCAACCUGCUCCACAAAAUCCUGAAGAAGAUGAAGCCAUUUGUCCUCGCGGCUGCGCGGUAGCGGAAUCCGCGAUGCAUCUCUUUUCCGAGUGUCCUGCUGCUGCUUCAAUUUGGGAUGCUUUGAUGAUCACGGAAAUAUCAGACCCAUGGACCCCCCCCCCCCCUCCGGAAAAAUUCUACAAAAUUUGCAAUUCUCGCUUCUCAACCAAUUUUAAAUUUGAUCAAAUUUAUACAAAAUAGUACUAACAUUUAUUGUACAAAAUAAAUAUUAAUAGAUUAAUCAUGUAAUAUAUUUUUAUAAAAUCUAUUUGGAUACGUGAAUGUUAGUAACUUUUUAUAAAUUUGAUCAAAUUUGAAAUUAUUUGACUCCUUGAGAAGUGAGAGUUACAUUAUUUUUGGAAACGGAGUGAGUAGAGGUAGCCAGUGCGAAGUGUGAGUGCUGCUCAUCAGUAUUGUACUACGUAUUGUCUAAUGUCUAGUGAAAAUCGAUGGCUGAGAUUGCACAGCACCUCGGAAUGAGAACUAUUAUUUACCAUUCGAAAUUUCGAAUGCGAUGCCAAUUUGCUUUCUUUUUCCUAGAAGGAUCAUUUGCUCUUUUCCAACAUGAUUCAACAGGCGGUCCGGUUGCGGAAAUGGUAUUCGUGCCAUCACGGGAGGUGCCAACGUGAAUUCCUUCGACCACACUUCACCGAGGCCCUCCUCCCCUUCCCCUCUGAUGCGGACAAGUCGCUGGGCUUUAUGUCAAGCGAGGUCACGUCGGGGAGGUUGCAUUUCCCACUCCUGCUGGCUCAGAAUUCACAAACGCUUUCCAGCUCCGAAACAAAAUCUAGGAAGAGGUUACAGUGUUAUACGUCCAACUAUCCAAAGCCACUCGUGCGUACAGGAACGUACGUAGGUGUACCGCGUUGCUGUUCUUCUGUCCGUGCUUUCUGCGUUACUGCGUAGCAGGUACCAUCUGGCAAGAGGCACUGUGUUCAGAAGCUACAAAUAAAGCCUGUUACUCGAAAAGCUGCACCAUGUUUGCAUACGCUAGAAUAUAUUUUGGGGUAUGCCAGAAACGUGUGCCACCUAUUUAGAAGAAAAUAAAGUUGUUUGGUCUGUGGGCUCGUGGCAUGGCUAAUUCGCAUCAUGCCUUUGUUUAGCUUGUUGUAGGUGGCUUGGCCGUGGAGAUUAUUUGGCUUAACAAAUCGGAGCACCGUACCGUACCAAACAUGCUCCAGUGCCCCGCAGUCCUGUCACAAGAAACAUAAGGCGAUUUUUAAUAAUUAUUAAACUCCACAUCAAACCAUCUCAUUAGUCGUUGCUUAGCACUAAAUUAAUCUUCCUCUUUUUUUUUGGGGGGGGGGGGGCACCGCUAACUAAUCGUGCAAUGGUGGGUCCACUCUGCACGUACGACACGCAUCUCCAUCGGGUACACACAUUACAUUACGUGACAUCCUCGCGCGGCCAGUGCGGGGCACCUCCGAGUAAAGUGACAGGGAAGGCUCAUCUCUCCGGCCGCCCGUCACAAACGCAACGCAAAGCGGCCGAGACCGAUGGAGCGCAGCCUGUUGCUUGCUUUGCUUUCACGGGUCAGUCCCUCUCGGUGCUAACCAACCCACCCCGAUCGCGGCCGCUGCGGCGUCGUCUCUCCUUAGGAAAAUCAGAGUAACAAACCCACGCACCACCACACCGCGCACUGCCGCGCAUCGCCCUCGCAAUCAUGUUGCUUCCUGCUUACAGCUUUAACUAACUCCGAGUCCCGCCCGCCUCUCCUCGCCUACCGCAGGCGCAGCGCGCGCGGCGGCACGUCCGAAUCAUUCCUCGGCGACGGCGAGACGAGCGAGACGCCAGAGAAAAAAAAGCCUCUCGUGUAGCGUGCAUGGUGUGUGCGGGAGCCUUCCCCUGCCGCCCGCGCCGUGUGUGACGGCCAAACGAAUCUGAUGGACUUUUAGGUGGGCGCGAUUACCUGGUCUGGCCUGGAUCUGCGGUCGCCGGUAGCCAUCCGGUUUGUUAUGCACUGUGCUUGGGCGACGCCGACGGGUCGUGCGAAUGAAGGCAUGCACACACUACUACUACGAGCGAUCUCUGCUGGGGAACGACGGGUUGAUGGGCCACUUGGACCAGAAACGGAUGUUUAUGGGUUAUCUUUGGAUGGUUGUCGUGGCUAUCCCUGCAUUCGUUCCUGGCUGGCAUGGCUAUCCUACUCCAGACAGUGGCAAAGUAGGAGUACCGUUCGUAUCAGCAUAAGCGAGACAAAAAUGCAACUUAACAGUGCUGCUGGCUAAUCAUGUAGCUACUGAUGGCGACCAAAUGCGAACGGCACGAGCUAAGGUUGCAAGAUUCAGGUCAAAGUUAGAGGAUCACAGACAGAGGAGUAGAGAAUCGUUCAAAUGAAUAUGGAAGGAUCGGCCCAUUUGGAACAGCAGUACAGUACUGCAGACGAGAACAUCUCAUUGGAACAGGAACUGCUGACAUACUCUGAGACUCAUCACACUAUGGGUAUAUAGAUAUUCAUUCAUAUCAACCGCCGAAAGACAGCCUCUGAUUUGUUGCGUUUUCUUCACACGAGAGCGCCAACAAACAGUAGUUUGAAUUGUCAUUGAAGGGACCGUAACACCUUGAAGCACGUAAAAAACCUAUUCCAAUUUCUAAUUGUGCACCAAGUUUUUCUAUGUGUUGCUAUCUCUACCAUAAAAGAGUUUGUACGGUUCCAAUCAUAUAAACUACACAUGAAAUUUUAGGAAAGUUAAAUCAUAUAAACUACACAUGCAAUUCUAGGAAAGUUAAACGCGGAAUGUAAAUGCAAUAAGAAAUGCGGAAGGUAAAUGAGGUAGAGAAGGCAAACUCCAUUCACGGCGACACAACGUUUUUUACCGAGUUAUCGGAAAGCAAGGCUCUCUAUUAGUCCUCGUUAUUGGAACCCCUCUUAAGAAAAUGCCCGUGGAAGGGCAUACGCUCCCCGGUCAAGUAACUUCGUAGGAUAGCUAACGGACCUUCCCCACGUCCAAGUAGAUCUCCACAUAGCCUCUCCCGGAUGCUCCUUGCCACUCUUCACUUGGUAGAGCUUUGGCAAAACUCUCAGGACCUCUCAUCCCUAUCACAAGCACCCGUGGCCACUCCACAAACAUGGUUAGAGGGUUUUGCAUGUCUUACAAGUCCUGAAUUUACAACUUUGAUGUGCGCAAGCACCGAUAACUUGUUCAUUUAUCUAUUAACUUGUUGAUUCCCGUUUCCAUUUGCAUGAUCUCCACCAUCACCAUUAUCACCAAAUUUUUUUUUUGAGAAAGCAACGGGGGGGCAGCGGCCCACCUGAACCAAAUUUCAUUCCCAAAUUGAGUCCACAGUACAAAAGAGGCAUAAGAGCCUCAACACUAGAACAGGAGGGUAGGGGAGAACCUGAAACACAGGGUUUAAUUUACAUGAACUAAAGCAUGGCACCAGGACAGAAGCGGCUCCGUGUCCAACCUCUGAGGAGCUCGGCACACUCACAGUUGAAGGUGAUCCAUCAGGAGGGCGGCCAUGGCGCGCGCAGUCAGCGUGUCCAUUAUCACCAAAUUUGUUGUCCGUGUCAGACAGCAGGUACGAUUCGAUAUCAUGCAAGACAGGACGGUAUUGACUGUUAUACAAGCUGCUUGGCUGGCUGCGCUGCUGGCUUCCGGCUGCUGCUUUUGCCUGUUGGCUGCAGCUACUGCUUUGCAGCUGCCUGCAUCUGGCUACGCUGCAUGUAGUGCUUCUUUGUAGCUGGUUUGUAUUGCGGGAUGCUGCAAUUGAAUUCAAAUUUUUAGUAGCAACGUGUGCAAUUGAUUUUAAUUUUUUAGCGCAAACGCAGACCAACCAAUCAAAAUAACCCGCCAUCACCAUACCAAUAGCCAAUGAAUCAGUACCGUUCUACUAACAGUUCAUUACAAUAAAAAAAAUUACACACAAAUUACUUGACAUCCAACAUAUGGCAGAAACAAACACACAUAGACAUAGAACAUUACAGGGAGAUAACAGCGAGGCAUCCAGUACCAUUGCUACGGUCUGCUUGCUCAAAUUCCACUACCUGGCUGCCUAAAUGUCAAAAUUUGCUGUCACCACUUGCACGUACCCAUUUUGGUAUAGCCAUCAGUCAUCACCAACAUCUAUGCAAACUUGUAUAGAAACAAAAUCCAAAACUAGUCAUACCUGUUACCUACAUCAAGAAGAUUCCUGCCACGAUCCAAUCUCAUACACUUGCCAUAUCAGGUGUAGCAUUUGCUGCCACCCAUGCGGACACGGCGUAAUCCGGAGUUUGCGCUAUGUUCCUAUCUGCAGUACUUGCAUCAGCACGGUCCAGCAAAUAAUUGUGGAGUGCAAAGCAAGCAAUAAUGAUCUUCGUUUGCCUCUCUCGAUCAUAGAAUGAUACUUGUCGCAAAAUAUGCCACCUCGAUUUGAGCAAGCCAAAUGCUCGUUCCACAACAUUGCGAAGACUCGAAUGGUGGAAGUUGAAUUUCUCCUCCAAACUUUCAGCCGCUCUUCGGCUGAACUCCUCUAGAUGGUACCUCGUACUGCAAUAUGGCCCCGGAUAGCCUUCACGAACUGCGUAACCCGAAUCCACCAGAUAGUACCUUCCUGGAUAACAUCAAACAUAUUCACCAUUAAUGCAACACUUUUACAAUUGUUGCUUCAUGGAUGUAAUUAGCCAACUAACAUACCUGGAGGUGGAUGUGGGUAAUUUGGUUUCUCCAUACAGUCCCUCAAUACCGCCAUGUCAUGACUGGAUCCCGUUCUCCCCGCUCCUACAUAUGUGAACCGCAUGUCCAUAUCCACUAUGGCUAACAUAUUAAAGCUUGGCCACCCUUUUCGAUUAAUGAAGUCCAAACGUGACUCACGCCCGAUUUGUACGGGAAUGUGAGUUCCAUCUAAAGCACCUAUGCACCUUAUGCACCCAACAAAGAACGGUGCAUAUGGGUUGAGCUUAUGAUUAACCUUUGAGUACGACGAGUCUUUUGGAGCGAUAACCGUUUGUGCGAAUGAGAACAUGACAUCUGCCACAUGAGCCAUCUUCCUACUAACUGUGUCCAAUGACCGCUCAAAUCUAUCUCUAAUCUGUCGAGAAGCCUGUUGUGUCCCACAAGCCCAGACGAACAUAGCUAAAGCCUCGAUAGGUUCUAGCUCUUGUAUUGAUUCCAGCCCAUGAUAAUUAACUAAGAUAUCAUGCAACUGAAGGAAUGCGUCAGGAUACAUACGAAAAUUAUCGUAGCACCUCCAGCUUUCCCGCAUAUUCAGCUCAACCCAUUGACGUCCGGUCAUUCGUGGCAACUCCACGGGCGGGUUCACCACAGGAGCUGGACUUCUGCUUGCAGCUGCUGCUACCCCCACCAGUUGGUAUACGAUGGAGCUAGCAUCACUGCCAGUGUCGUUGUUUGACUCCUCAGCGCUGCUCAUAAUGUAAGCAACCUGUGCAUAGAAUAGACAUUAAUGGUUCAGUCAUAAGUCUAUAAAGUAAAAGUUCCACUACAAGUUAUAGAACAAACUGCUUCAAACUUGUCAAGAAACUUCCCUGUCCUCCUCCCUGGAUGGCUGCAUAGGUAACUUUCCUGUCCUCCUUCCUGGAUGGCUGGAUAGGUCCUCAAUGGUCCUCCAUGCCUUCCUGGUAAAGGCACAAUGAAAAGCAAGAUCAAGCUUCUUUGUCACUGAUGCACAUGCCAUGUAAAUUACAUGCGUUUUUACCUAAGAAUGAAAUAGAUGCACAUGCAAUGUAAAUCAUGGACCACAUUUAACUUGGAAAAUUAUACAUCACACACAACACAUUGUUCAGGCCAGAGGCCACAUUACAUGCUAAGACAUUAUUGUCUACCAUCAGUACACAACACUACGAUAAAACCAACACAUGCCACACUGAACUACUUGUUCUCCCUCUCCCAGUUGAAUUGAAUCCAAUGCAGGCGGCCCUCUCUGGUUUUCAUCUUCGUGAAGACCCUUCGAUACACUGCAUUCUUGCACAAAUAUAUUGCCAUGCAGUACAAAUCAGAACCCUCAUCGAUACCAUCUUCUUCUAAAAUUCGCAUUGCAAGGUCUAACCCCUCUUGCUCACGGUUGAGACGUUUCUGGCUUCUUGUAGCUACAGUUCCGGAGAGUUCUCUGACGUAGUCCUCCAAGCUGCCACUCUUCUUUUUCGGAGGACUGUCAACAACUUCCUCCCGGGUUGGCCUUUUAGACAUAUUACGAGCACUGGUAGCAGCCAUGGGGUCUAGGUACAUGUCUGAUGCAGUGUCCUCGAUCCCCAUACUGGGUGUUGCCUCACGGACACCUCCUGCAGUUAGCAAGGUCCCCCUGUCUUGGGUGGUGUGGCCGAACAAUGUGUAAAGUUUGUCAAGGAACGGUGGCGGUUUAGCAGUACUCGUCUGGAUAGCAUCAACACUAGUUUCCUAGAGGUCACAACACUACAUGUUAGAAAAAAAAUUGUUGCUCGAAUUGAAUGAACAGGAAGUACUGCAAAGGUGACAGCACGUACCCCUUCGUCGGUAGCCCAAAAAGUGGAAUCAGCUGCAACGCCACCAGUAUGUCUGUCACGGCCUAGGUCUGAUUGGACUUGCAGGUCCCUCCUAUUCAUGAACGACCUUUGCAUGGUGCUCAGCUUGUUCUGCAGCUGCUUGCUGCCUAAAGUCAGACCAGUCUGUUGUUUGAAGUUGCGGUAGAUGUGUUGCCAUCCCAACUUAGUUAGGCACUUGUUACUCCAAUUCAGUUGGUUCUUCUCAGCAAUGCAGAGGUUGAGGAAUGUUUUUUUUUGUCUCCUCAUCCCAAUUGGCACGGCUGGUAGCCAUCUGAGCCUAGUUGUACAAUGCAUAGUUUGAGUAGGUAGGAGCUGCAAUUUUAUUUUAACAAAGAAGAAAAUGCAGGAGACAUAAAAGUAGACAAACUCAGUAUGCAAUGAACAUGUCACUUGUGUUGGAGUAUAAGUGAACUACCCAGCUCUCCUCAUUAGUUUAAGCUUUUGGGUUCAACUGGUUGGUGCAUGUAACUCAAUAUGGUAUCAGAGUCAGAGGUCUCGAGUUCAAAUUCUGGCGGGUGCGAUUAAAUAAAAUAAUUGCAGCCCACUCCCAUUUCCACAUGCGGCCUGAGGGAUCCUGCACGUGAUGGGGAGUGUUGGAGUAUAGGUGAAUUGCCCACCUUUUCUUAUUAGCUUAAGCUUUUGGGUUGAAUUGGUUGGUGCAUGUAACUUAAUAACUUGCCUUAGCAGUUAUCUUGGUGCGUUUGUAACAGAGAUUGUACGGACAGGCUCGUGGGGGAGAGCAUGAAGAAGUGGAUGGCGAUGCCAGUGUGGGCACCGUUGCGAAGGACAAGACUGUACUGCAAGUAGGCUCGCUACAGAGGACUGCAUAUAUGCAAAAGAAAAUAUUGUCAGAUUAAUGCUUCAAAUUUGCACUCAAAUUGUACCAGAAUUUAGUUACAACACUUGAGGACAAUCCAAUUCAGAGAAGCAAUAAACUUGCAUAUAAACCUUUAUGCAAGCUAGAAAUAUAAUCUAUAGAUAAAAGGGACCAGAAUCUGAUAGGUAGGCAUACUGAUCAUGGCAAUAUGCAAAUCUCGUAGAGACAUACACUAAUGAGUAAUUAACAGGCAUACUGACUGGUAUCAUUGAGAUACUAAGUUAAUUUACAAAUCUAAUCCUACAUUUUGAAUUGUUACAAAGGAAACACAGUAUAAUAAAUUCAUGAACUGGUAAGUUAAUAAUUGUGUUCAUGGGGCUACAAAUGUCUCUCAGUAUAAGUAAAAUAAAAAGUAAUAUAUGAAUAUGAGGAAAACUUGCCUAAAGUACCAAAAUGUAUUUAUUAAUCCAAUAAAAGCAACCACAUGCAUAUCCAAUUUCAUUCAUUUGAAUGAGAUGGCAGAAGGUCGGGAUGUUGUACGUACAUCAAACAAAGACCUCAACAGGGAAGGGAAAUCAAAACAUUUGGUCUUUUAUUAUGAACAAACAUAUGAGCUCAAAUAGUAAACCAAAUGACUAAUCAGAUGAAAAAGAAAAAUACAUGCAAUUUAAGCAAAUUUACUUAAUUCAAUAUUGUUUUUGUGCUACUAGGUUGAAAAGACAAUGUUAGGUUGUCUCAACAUCAUGUAUGCUAUUAUUUACCAUCAACAUGUUGCACAAGAAUGAUAGCUGCAAUGAAAGCACACCAUGUUUUCAUCUUUGCAGCAUCCAGUAUUACUAUUUUGGAUCUCAUGAACAAGAAGAAACCAUAAGUUAAACUUACAGUGACACAAGUGAAGGUUGGCCUAAACCAGGUGGUAAGCUUCAUGUUAGUGAAUUAUAGCUUAAGUUCCUAACCAAGCAGAAGAUAUAACAUUAGCUACCAAGCCUGGAUCACAUACUAUUAACUGUAGAAAUAACUCAAAAAGGCAUUUACAUAAGCUAUAAAAAAAUAAUUCUCAGGAAAGGUACAAGCACACAUAAAAAACUUGGCAAUGGUAAACAAUAUAAACUUCUUAAUUCAGACAACAAUUGGUCUAAAACAUAACCAACUAUUAGCAGGUCCGGACAAGCAAGAAGGUAACUAAGAUGAAUUCUCAAAACAACUUAUAUUUGACAUCCUUUAGUAUUUGUGGCCAUCAUUUAUACAGAUGAAUAUAUAUCAUUCCAAAGCAAAGAAUGUAAAAAAAACAUGUGUACUAGUAGGUGCAGUUUACCCAAACAGAGAAAAUUAACAAGUCAAUCAGUUUAUUCUCAGGUAUUAUUUGAAUGAGCUUUAUCAAUUUAUAUGUGAUUUGUCAAGUGAGAGGGACAAGGAUCUGAGUCCGAUGGAAACUUUUAGAGGUGGAGAGAAAAUAUAAACCUACACCGUUGUAACAAUUGAACUCUCUAAUAAACAUCGUUAAGAUCAGCAAGAUCAUUAGAGUCUUAUUGAGCUGAUGAAUUAGCAGCUUUCACAGCAAAAAGACCACAAUGACCCUAAGGAGUUAAACUGCUAUUUACAUCCUAAACCACAUUUUUGCACAACAACUUUAAGUUUCACCAACAAGAAAGUUGUCCAACUGGUUAAAUACCAGCAACCUUGGUUCUCACUUUUGUUUUUCCUUAGCCAGUCAGAGCUCUAAAUCUGUGAGACAAGUUCAACCUUGGAGCCUUUUUACUCCAAUCCGUUGCGAUCUUGAUCUAACUUCUUUUGGCAAAGUUGUGCAUGGGUUCAAGGAUAGAAACUUGUUAAAGGGUUCAAUUGGCGCGCGGUUCAAAUUUUUGGAGAAGAGUUGCAAAGCAAGUAACUGCUCUAUUCUCUUCACGCCCCAAACGCUAGCACCCUGUGCGACGUCGCCGCGUGGCACGCCACCACCGGCAGCUUGCCGGCAACCAACCCGCAGCCGUGACGCGACGGGAUAGCGCUAGCAUUGCCCAAUCGCACUAGCAGGCCAUCCCUCCUCACUGUUCCAAAUCCCCAGCACCCAAUCCCGCUCCACCUCUCCCCUCUCCGCGAACACCACACCGCCGAAGCUCACCGGCGCAUGCCUUCGCCCAGUAACCAGCGCGACGCGACAACACGCGCGCGCAGAACUAGCAGAUCCGCGUGCCUAGCAAACCUGCUUUGCCCCCAGCCCUCAAUCCUUGCUGCCCAACUAGGGCAAGAUUGCGUCCGACCUCGCCAAUGGAGGCGCCGACCAAUCGUCGCCGCGACAGAGCACUUCCUUCUCCCUCGAUCUUAUCCUCUUGCCCGCUCGAGCUCGUUUCCUUCAUCUGAACACUUCCGCGCAUCUAUAAAAAGGUAUUGAAGCCUCUUACCGAAGUUCCCUUUGCCACCACCGCCUUUGCCACCACCGCCAUUGCGGCACUACCUGCUCUGUUUUUCUCCACCGCACUCACCGCUGCACUUGGAGCUGCCACUCCGGCUAGCCCUGCGCAGCGACUCCUUCACUGUCAGCUUCGCCUUAGUCGCCUGGAGCUCGUCGACCCGUUCAAAGAGCACGCCGACCUGCUCAAGGAGCCUCUGAGGCCCUAUCUCGCUAGAUCGCCGCCACCAGUUUCUGUGACACCGACCUGAGCCGCCGUUGUUCCUCGUUCCGCCUCGGCUUGUUUCUUCCCGAUCCCAAGACCUCGUCAGUAGGACCGAAGGUGAGCUGCCGACCCCUUUCCAGCUCUUCCCGAUCCUGAAUCAUCCGCGAAAGCGACCGGACCUUGUCCGCCUCGCCCGAGUGUUGUCCGCCUCGCCCGAGGGCUUGGUUAUGUCUUUUCUUUUGACCGAGGGUAUCUGUGUUAAAUUCCGAGGAUUUCUCUAUGUUAAAUCUGAGAAUCGUGGUACAGUUAUUCCUUAAGUCUAAGGGUUAGAUCGUAAGUUUUCCCCAAUCCGACUCUUUUAACUCGAAUUAAAUUGACAGAAACUUGGAAAUUACAUCUUAAAUCGAGGAAAAAUCAAAAAAAUAUGAAAUCACUUUGGUUGGAAUCCUCGUUCUGAGUAGAAUCCAAUAAAGUAGGCUUGACACCUUUUCCUAUAGUUUUUCUACAAUUUUGGGUUUAAAUCCUUGCAAAUGCUGUUGGAAUUACCGUCUGAGUGUCUUAUUCUUGCAUUGCAUCUCGUGUAGAAUUGAGCGUUGCCGAUGGCACCUACGAGCUGCAUCAAGUGCUUGACGAGGACCCUGCUGCAGAGCUACUCCAAGCCGGAGCAGAGCCCAUUGCUGAACCCGCCGAAGGCCCUCAAGCUAACUUAGCGUGUGAAGGCAAGCCCCGGAGCAUAACCCGAUUUUUCUAAACUUGUGCAUGCCUUCUGUUGUUAAUGUUUGUGCAUUUACGUUUACAGGAGUUGUUUGGAAACUCUAGUUGCAUGAUCCUAGGUUCCUUUAUUAUGAAUACUAGUAUGACAGGAUCUCGAGUAGCUGCUUUGCUUAAAUAGGACUCGGUAAAAGUCGAGUGAUUUCCUGUCACUCGCGAGUUAUAGGAGUUGCUUGCUCUCUUUUUGUAACAACUAUAAGGACGAUGGAUGGGGCAGGGUCUUGUGAAUUAUUUUGGUGGUCGGUGGAUUGCCCCGUCUGUCGAAAUGAAUUUGACUAAGGUUGAGAUAUGCUAGUGUUCGUGAUCAAGUGUUUGAACAAUACUAAUCUCAUACCUAGUAUGGGAUGGGGAAGCCUAGUACCUGAUUGAACCGGCAAGUGUCUUACACCCCUGCUGUCCUUGGAACGUAGUUCCCAUGGUGCAUCAUGUGGGUGCAAGUGCGGUCACAGUACGGUAGAGACCGGGACUAUGGAGCAUUGCAUGCCAAAGGCGGUUUGGACCUGACACGCGCUUGGGAAUUGAUGGGGACAGUGGACAAGUGAAGCUAUCCUUUGUGGUGAGCGGAUGUUGUGGGAUUAUUUCCACCAUGCAUGGUUAAAACUCGGAUCGAUUCGUCUGCCUCUCACAGCUUGAGACUACUUGAUCAUUAUGCUACACUGAGUAAGAAGAGGACAUGUUGAUGAUGUUAAUGCUGAUGUUUUCUAUUAAUUGUUUGUAUAACCAUGCUUGUUCAGUAUGAGUUGCAAAUGUAGAAUGGUUAAUGAACUAGAACUUAUGGCUAAAAUGUUGAAGGUAAGGAUCCACCACUAGUCGCUUUUGGCAAAAUAACCCCUCUGGCCAAACAGCCUGCAUGUCUAGGUGUUGGUGGAUUAGUACCACCAACGGGUAAGUCUUGUUGAGCGUAGUCACUCAGCCUUGUUGUGGCUUAUCUUUUCAGGUUUUGUUGUGGAAGAAGGUACCGCUUGGCCCUCCCAGCUCCCUUCGGGAUAGACGGUCGAGUGGGCUCCCUCCUCGGACGGUGAGGAUGGAGGUUACUGAUGUCGUGACCGGCUUCGUCACGGUGUCGGGCGUCGACGUUUAGUUACCAUUGUUUAUUUCCGCUGAUGAACACUUUGCAAACUUGUAUUGAAUUUCGAACUCUUUUGUUGUAAUAAACUUAUGCACUUGUUAAAAGAAUAGACUGUUGUAAUCUCUAUAACCGCUCACUCUCGGGUGAGUCCGCUUUCGUGAUCCUGUAGCGUGGUUUCAUCGGAAAGAAUCCGACAGACGACCAAAUUGGCUUGAUUAAGGUGCACGAUCGCAUGUCAGACGACUUAAAAGUGUUUUAGCCGAGUUAAUUUGAGCGGUUCUGCCACAACCGUAUGUACCAAUUGUAAUAAAUAACAGGAUAAUAUACGCUUCAGAAGGUAUUCAAUUUUGUACCCAAGGCCUAAUGCUAGACAUUCACCUGCCUCAACAAUGAACAGGCUUUAGAUCCAAUAACAUCAGUUUAAAUGUUUCAUUUUGCUAUUGCAGUCCAGCUUCAGUCAUCUUGAGGAAGAAACAUUUGGCGGUAAAUAAGGGGAUUACCUGGAUCUGAAUGGGGGGCUUCCUCGGGCUAUGAUGACACUAGGGUCGGGAUGUGGCGAAUGGGAGAUCUGUUGCUGGACUUCUUGCUCGAGUUGUCAGGCGGGGGGUGCCGCGGUGGAGACGGUAGCAGCCGCAAGCCCGGAUCCCGGCUGGCGUGCUGGACGACGAGCUAGAUCCCUGGCGGCCGCCUUGACCCCGGGUGCCUCGACGCUACAGGUAGAUGACCUUCCUACGCGGUGGGGGCGAAUGGUCCGGCGCAGGCGACGAAAAGUCCACCCCGUGCUGAAUCUGCUUCGUGGAUGCUGCGUCGAGGACAGAGGGAAGCCGUCACCAGGAAGGGAGACGCCGGGUAUGACGGUGGUGGAGAGGGGGCGAGAGGGAAGUGGAUACGGAUGCGACGCGGGAAAGAGAAUGCGAGGCUUCAGGACCGCCGUCAGCUCAAUUUCUCUUCCAGCUGUGCCAAUCAAACCUCGUCAACUCCGGUGAACGUGGGCAUCUCGUCGCCGUGGUCAAAACCCCCAAUCAGAUCUUCACUCGUGCUGUCUACUGACCACGCAUCACAUCCUAUUCCAAAAUUUUCUUCAGACUGAACAAAGUUAAUCAGGGCGAUUGACAACACCAUGCAUUCCCAACAUUAGUGUGACAUUACAGUGCGAAUAAAGAAUAGGAGCACUGUAAAUGAUGCAUAUCAAGGAAGCUGAUCAGAAGUGAAAGGUGGAAGUUCUGGGACAGAUUAUUGGCAGAGAAUGUCGCGCGGUCUUGUGGAGGAACUCACUCCCUGUUUUGCAUCGCACCGCAAGAGGCAUAGCUCUGGCGUGGAGGACUGGUCGGCGCCGAUCAUCUCCAUCUCAACCUUGAACUCCAGCUCGCCUCGUGCGCGCUUGUCCGACGCCAUCCGGUCGCGCAGUCCGGGUGACAGUGCCACGCCGGGGGGCGAUACGAGGAUCACAUAUUCACAUCCACCUCGCCCGUGGCCCUCCUGGGCACGCACAAGCCCGACGCCACGCCCCAGCCGACGUCCAGGCCAGCGUAGAGGAUCCACACGGCGGCGGCCCCCGUGCAGGUCUCGUCGUCCCGGCGGUUGUCCACCCGGAGUGUUAGGUUGAAGGAGGGGGUGGCCGCUGGGUUCCGCGCGGCGCCGAUCAUCCCCUCGGCCGCCGUGACCCCGACGUAGAAUUCGGCGCCCUUUUCGAGCUCGGCGGACAUGAAUAUGAGCAUAGUAAAACGGCGAAGGCCAGUCCCACGCAGACGAUGAAAGCUAACGCCGGUCAUGUCAGGCAGGGGGGUUCGCCUGAUGACUCUGGUUCGACGCCGCUGGCCUCAACGUCAACGGGUACCACGGGUGCCAUGGCGAGCAACCGAGGACGCAGUAUGUAGGCAGAACAAAACGAUCUAAUAUUAGAUUUCUCGUGUAGCUAAUGCAAGCAGAUAGCAAAGUCCGUAUUCAAUUCGAGUCUGUGAACCGAGUCCUCGGUUACACAAAAGCUUCUGCGAUCCGGAUUUUGUACAAUCCAAGGUCUCCUUCCAAGUUCCGUUCGGAGUUGCACAGUCACGUAAAAUCCUUGUUCUAUACGCUUUGCACUUUUUGCCGUCGAUCCUAAUCUCGUGCUCACUUUUUUAGCCAUGUCCUGCUGGCGAGUGCGUAACGCUGCUGACGAUCUCGCGCAGCCUGCGGCGGCCGGACGGCGAUCUGCUCCACGCAACAAGAUAAUGGCAUGCCUGUAUUGUGUGGUCAUCAUCCUCGGCGUUCUUCUUUGCGGUUUCGCCGUCUUCAGGUUAGCCGAUGACGUAGCGGGGCACUACGUCGUGAAAAUCAGCAUCGAGGCGUCGGAAUUCCGAUCCAUCAUGGCGGACGACGGGAGCACGAUGUCAUCUCCAGUAAAGGUAAAGCCAUCGUUCAACGUCACCGCACGCGUCGAGAACCACUACCACCAUCACAUACGCUUCAGGACUGGGGCGGCGCCGUGUUGCACGACGGAGUACCGCUCGGCCGGGCCACUUUCCCCGACGGCCUCUGCGCGCUGAGCAUGGGAGAAGGCAAAGUGACGGCCACCACGGCGAGCGGGUUGGUGGGGCUGACCGACGAGGUGCGCGGCCGCAUGGCGAGGCGCGGGCAGACUUGGGGAGAGGUAGAUCUGCGGAUCGAUAUGAGACAUCACGUCCUGCUAGCCGAUUCAAGCGCGGACGAGUGGCUCCGGUGCACCGCAAGGUUGGACGGGCGACCUACUUCAGCACCGUGCCAAUUCGAAAUCUCAUCGCGAUCUUAGGCCACUUGUUUCUCUCUCUCUUUCGAGACGAUUUAGGCCAUUUGUUUCAAGUUUGUCCAUAUUUGCUCGUCUAAUCCGGCAAUCCCAAUAAUAUUCCCAUCGAGCAGCCACAGCCACAGCGCACAAGCGACAGAGGAGUCGAGCUCUCCUGAGCUUGGAGGGAGGCCACAGCCACAGCGCGCAAGCCACAGGGCGCAAGCGACAGAGCAGUCGAGCUCUUGAGCUGAGAGGGAGGAAGGCAGCGGGAGCGGCGGGGAGCCCGGACCUGAUCCUCAAGCGCGCCGAUCCACACGAUUUCCGCCAUCCCCACCCUCCUCGACGAAGGCACGGCCACUACAUCUUCUCCCCUCGGUCGACGCCUCCCCCACUCGUGACUCUUAAACCAUCCCCGGUCACCCCCACGGGCCUCGCGACUCCGCGCCCAUCCGCAUUCCGUCCUCCCGCAUGGCGCCGUCCGCCACCAGCUCCAUGGCCUCCGUCUCCCGGGCCCUCCGCCCGCGGCCCCGCGCCGCCGCCUGCUCGGCUCCUCGUCUGGGUACGCGCACGCUGAAUCCUGCUUGAAUCGAUUCCCUUUUUUCGUUUGUUUGAGGUGGCUUUGAUUUUACUUGGGGUGCGGUUCUGGGUGCAGGGUGCGGAUUGGGAAUCGCGUGCUCGAUGCCAAGUUUGGGAUUGGCCGUUGUGACUGCACCGUCUGCUACCGUCACUCCGGCUCUGAGGUAUGUGCGUGCUCCAGAGGUUAAUCAGGCCUUGGGAAUUGCUUUGGUUCAGGGAAUGGAUUGGCCGACCGUGAAGAUCAGGGUUUGUCUUUGUCAACGGAAAUGUGGUUUAGGGGUGUUGACUAGUCAAUUUUGCGCCAGUCUGAAGCAGAGUCCUGGACACCUGCAUCUCUUUAGGAAGACAGUAGCCCGUGCCCUUUAGGAGUUCUAAAGUUGAUCUUUCAAAAAAAAAAAGGAGUUCUAAAGUUGGACAAUGACUAGUUGCUACUGUUGGAUCUAGCUUUGCUCUCUCUGUCCCACUAGGCCGACUUUUUUUUUUGAAGCUUUAGGCCGACUUUGACUGGCCCAAAAGAUAUCAAAGGAUGACAGCUGUUUGAGGUCCCUACAAAGUCACUUACCAUCUUCUACUUUGAGGUGCAUAGAUUUAGUUCAGGAGUCUCAAAAGUUAAUAAGCAACAAACUUGUUGACGUAUGUUUCAUAGUGUUCAAGUCAACUUUAUCAAAAUCGAAGCUCACGAGUGAAAGGCGCAGGUGCAAAGCUAUAUUCAGAAGCAUACAAUAAGUCUAGCAGAUCAGAUGACUAGAUAAGUAGAGCAGUGCAAAAUAAUUUUUGUUGAGCAGUGCAAAAUAAUGAGAUUCUCUUGUCAUCUCAUUAUUUUGCACUGCUCAACUAGGCUAUUGGAUAAAGUUGUUAUGCAUGUCUAUAUUUUAAUUUGUCCAAUUUUUUUAUUUCAGGAGACGCCAAAUUUUGUGCCAGGCUGAAGCUAACAUAUCUAAUAAUCUUCCGGAGAAGUUGCCUGCUAAAGUUAGCCAGCCUGCUAAAGUUAGCCAGCCUGCUGAAGUUAGCCAGCCUGCUGAAGUUAGCCAGUACGAAAAAAUUGUCGAGCUGCUUACCACUCUUUUCCCUGUCUGGGUAUGUUAUACGAGAGCAUGUGAAGGUUUUGUUUUCCUUUGAACUAACAGGCAGUUAUAUAUGGUGGAUAUGGUACAGCUGUUUGUAAAUAUACUAAUACAGAGAUCACCUGUGGCAGGUUAUAAUAGGUACUUUUAUUGGGAUCUACAAGCCAGCUAUGGUAACAUUUCUCCCACUUUCAGUUGCCAUCGUUUUGGAAUCAACAGUUAACACCUUACCGUUUUGUUGGGGUUUCAUUGGACAAUCUGCAGGUUACCUGGUUGGACACCGAUCUUUUCACUAUCGGGUUAGGACUUCUAAUGCUAUCGAUGGGGCUAACAUUGACAUUUGAAGAUUUUAGGAGAUGCUUGAGGAAUCCAUGGACAGUAUGUUUCUGCACUUGAAACCUUUAUCGAUUAGAUUGUCUUUUCUGUAUCCAACAUCGAAUUGAUGUAUAGUUUAUUAUGUAUGUUCUGAUGGAAUUUCUUAUUUGCAGGUUGGUAUAGGAUUUCUUGCACAGUAUUGCGUCAAACCUCUGCUAGGACUCGCUAUUGCAACGGUAACUCUAUUAUGGCAAUAAAAUGCAUAUAACCAUUAUUGCAUUUCCAAUGUUUUGUCAUCAACUAGUAUGAAAUUUCACUGAUUUUAGGUUAAGAAAGUGUUGUGAUGGAUACAAUAUAUUCUGUUUCAUUGUUUUUUUGAAUCAUGGUUAUAUUGUCGUAUUGUUGGUUAAUUCAUGGUUAUAGUCUAAAGUUUUAUCAUUGUGUGUACAGUUGGCUUGCUUAAAUAAAUGAUCACUCCUUAUAAUGUGUUUUAUUUUCCUUCAUUUUAUAUUUAGAUAAACACUUUUAUUGCUGGAUAAAGCUUACAUCUAUUAACAGUAAGUGAACAAAACUACGAUCAUGUUUCUAUCUAGGAGAACGGUAUCUAAUAGUACUUGUUAUUUCCAGUCCAAUCAAUUACAAUCUGUUGUACCUUUGUUUUGAGUUGCUGUUAUGCUGGACUUUUUUUCUAUGAUAUACAAGCUUAUUUGAGAAUUUAAUAUAAGGUGAUUUGGUACUGCCCCAUUUUAAUCAUGUUAUAUUAAGUGAACAAUGUCAGUCCAUGUCUGCCACCAUUUUCAAUAGUUUGUUGAUUCUAAAAUAUAACCUUCUCUAUUUGGAUCUUCAAUUGGGUACAUUUAAGAUGAGAUGUCUAUUCAUUGCUAAAAAGUCAUUUGACCAUAGAAUUUCUUCUACAGCAUGAAAUUUGCACUAAAGUAUCUCUAGAAGCCAUUUCAUUUUAAUUCCUGCAUUUAUAAGCACAUAAUCUAGGUGCCUUGUAUUACAGACCUUGAAGUUACCCGCUCCUCUCGCAACUGGUCUUAUUUUGGUCUCAUGUUGCCCUGGUGGACAAGCAUCAAAUGUUGCAACUUACAUAUCGAAGGGAAAUGUUGCGCUUUCAGUUCUUAUGACCACGUAAGCUUGAUGUUGCUUGUUAAAAGAAAGUAUAUUGAUUUGGACACUGCAUGCCUGCUGUCAGUUACUGUCACUAGCUUUUUAAGUUAUUGAGUUCAUCUGAUGUCAGCUCUCUUUGUAACACCAUUUCCACAAAAUUAGUGUGAACAAUGGUUGCACUCCUAAACAGUUUGCUGUUGUCUUAAUCAAAAUUUGGAUUUAUUUUGAUUUAAUUGAGCCUUCCAUGUUGAAACUUUUGAAGUACGGAAAUGUCAGGUUUAGCUAGCUUCUAUGGGAUUUUGUACUUUGUCUAGUAUCAUAGCAGUGCAUUUUUUUUUUUGGUAGAAUUUGAUGAGCAGACCAUUUAACUGUUGCAUAUCCUAUUGUCAUGUUGUGCUACUUAAUUUUUAUGCUAUGUUGCUUCCUUCAGUCUACUGCUCUAUUGCACUCUAACAUUUUACUCCCUUCAUGUUUUAGCUGUUCAACUAUUGGUGCUAUAAUAAUGACACCCCUCCUGACUAAACUCCUUGCUGGUCAACUAGUUCCUGUUGAUGCAGCAGUAAGGGCACUACAAUCCUGUCCCUAUUUGUUUCCUUAAUCUUGUCUGCUUGAGUUAAAAGGUUAUUAUGUUUGUGCAGGGAUUGGCCAUCAGUACUUUCCAGGUUGUUUUAUUGCCGACUGUUCUUGGAGGUGCUUAAAAAACUUAAUGGGAGAUUAAUUUUAUUGGCUUUAGUAUCUUAGAAAUAUUUUCUCUUACAGCUUGUGUGACUAUAUUUUUGUCACUAUGCAGUAUUGGCCCACGAAUAUUUCCCCAAGUUUACUGAGCGCAUUAUCACCGUAGCACCCCUGUUCGGAGUCCUCCUCACCACUUUGCUUUGUGCGAGCCCUGUAAGUAUAACAAAGAACUUACUAGAGUAAGGUUCAAGCAUUUGCAGAACUGUUUGGUAAUAAUUCAAAAUCAUUUUUAUAUGUUUCAUGAAAUAACAAAUUCAAAUAUUGUUGGGAUACCCCAUUUUAACCUCACCAAGCAUGUGAUGUUUCUACUCACAGUCAAGUGUGCCUAAAUUUAUCUCUUAGCUAGUAAUUUGUAAUAGUUAUAUUCUAUUCUCUUAUCUUUUUGUAAAAGUUGCUCCUCACAAUUAUAUUUUGGAUAGUAUGAAUGAAAUGCUAAUUGUUUAUACUAAUUUUGAUUGGAAAAUCAACUUUUGCAAGAUUGGGCAAGUCGCAGAAGUGUUGAAAACUCAAGGUGCCCAACUUAUUAUCCCUGUCGCUCUGCUACAUGUUGCUGCAUUUGCUCUUGGGUACUGGUUAUCGAGAUUCUCUAGCUUUGGGGAAUCAACUUCUAGGACCAUCUCAAUUGAAUGUGGCAUGCAGGUAAAGAAAUGUUGAGAUGCUCAGGUUCAAUCUGUUCUUAUCUAGCCAUAGAAAUUUGUAGCACCGUUAUUGUUUUAAUUAUUCUUACUUUUGUUUGGGAUAUUAUUAGAAAAUGGUGGGCAAGUAAAUAAUAUAUUUGGUGAAUUAUUUGUGAGUUUCUGUGCUGGUGCAGUUUGUCAUGUAGUUCUUGCUUAGACAUCAAUAUUCUGUAAAAUUAUUUUGCUGCCUGGUCUCACAAACAUGUUAUCUAUGUCUAAUGGUUGGUGAUGUUAGACAGCCUCUUGAUGAAUCUGUUUAGUUUUUCACUACUAGUAACAUUAGAUGGUUUUUUGCUAUUGAUACUCUUCUCAGUGGAAUGAGUUUUGUUGGACUCUGAACCUUCCUGGUUUUACUAGUAGUUUAGUUCGCGAAGCAUCAAAACAUUCCUUAGCUAGAUGUCUGUACAGUUAUGAAGUUUCUUCUCUUGCCUAGAGCAAUGUGGAUUUUCAAUUUAGUGUUUAACAAUGCCACUUUUUUUUGUCAGAGUUCUGCGCUUGGAUUUUUACUUGCUCAAAAGCACUUCACAAAUCCGCUCGUUGCUGUUCCUUCUGCUGUCAGCGUUGUGGCCAUGGCCGUAAGUUUCCUAGUUUCCUUCUCUUAGCCCGAUGUAUAUGUGCCACAAUUCUUUUGCACUCACUGUUAACAUUUUGCGUGGUGGCACAAGUAAAUGUGUGUUCUCAAAGGUCUUCACCUUUUUGUUCGUGACAGCUUGGAGGGAGUGCUCUUGCAGUUUUCUGGAGAAGCAUAGGGCUUCCAGCGAAUGACAAGGACGACUUCAAGGAGUGAACAAACUCAACAAGAGAACCUAUCGCUGUCACCUGGUAUUGGUUUUUAGAUGAGCGUGGUUACAUCAGAGCAGAUUCAUGUUCCCAAAUUUCAGGAAUGGAUAUCAAGGCCUAUAUUCUAUCCUGUGGGUUAUCCUUAGGGGUUACACUCUUGUUAUGUUUGUUGUGUAAUAUUUCACCUCUGCUUUCCCGCAGAGCAGUCAAAAAAGUCUUGUGGACCCUUGGGUGGUCCAAGUAACUGGUCAGUUUGUUCCAAUAGUUGAUAUGACAAUUAAGAAUUAUGAUUAUCCUGUGCUAUUGUUGAAUGCAUCGAUUGAAUUUUGAGCUACCUUUUGUCGAAGUGUUGCAGGUUUGUAAUAAUUCAAUUAUUGUGCCAAGUACAUGUUUUAAUGCUGUUUUUUGUUCGAACUGGGCCAGCCAGGAAAUUAAUUGCCUCAGAAUGAGAUUAUUCUUUUUUAAAAUGGACGAAUAUUCUUUUUUAUUAAUGCAAGAAACGAACAGAAUCAUUUGUUCAUUGUAGAAUGUAAGUAACACGAUGAAUCCAGCUGGGGAGUUCUUUUUCUGUUGAUUUAAGUAUGUUUUUUUACGCCUGCACCUGGGGGGCUGUGGCACGCUCGGGUAUUGUAUAACUCCUGCAGUCCUGCUAUGUACUCCUAGGUGACAACAUUGUACUAUGAAUAGUUAAUGGAGAAGUUACAAUAAUGUAGUAGUAACGUCAAAACCGUGGGCAGGGAAAAACUCGAACAAAACUGGUACGUCUGCGUCGCAGGCUCGCAGCAUCAGCGCAGCGCAGCUCCUGUGUGGCUGCGUGCACCUGCCAUUCUGCCUUCCCCUCAGACGGACCCCAUGGCACACUGCUCCAGCACACGCAUGCAUUGAAUGGGGCGCAUGCGCCGUGACGCGCAUACCACCAGCCCCUGAGGUCAUCGGCAACUGUACAAACGUGCAUGCCUGAGGUCACCGGCGGGCGGGUACUGUGCGAGAUACAGUAUAUUGCAGCGCUGACAGGAUCGCGUACGCAGUGGCGGUACCACUGGAUCGUGCUCGUACGCAUAUAAAAACGAUCGGCCAUCCAUCGGCGUCAAUCACCUCGAUCGCAGGAUGCGCAGGUGUGCAUCAGGGUGGGGGAGGGGAAUGACCAUCGGUAGUAUAGCAGCUCGAGAUGCACACGCGACAUUAUGGCGCUCGAUGGAUCGAUCGAUCGCGUGCCGUGCAUCCAGCCUCCAGGCAUGGCGACGGCAUCUUGCCGUCACUCCGGUGAUCCUGAUGGGAGAGGAGAGGAUCCAUCGGCGGAUCGAGCUUAUCAUGGUGCCAUCAUAAGCUCGGACGCAGUCGCCAUGCCCUCGGCCCUCGCUCGCUCAGUCGCUCUCGCCGUACCGGUAGCUGCACGCCAACUGCGGCCUGGAUUCUUGUAAUGAGACGUCAAAUCGACACGUACUGUGAAGCCUACCGAGGACCAGCUGGCCUUGUGGCAGAAACGGCGAGAAGGUCGCCGUACGCCCGUUUGGAAGAAAUUCUUCUUAUUUCGAAAUUUGGUCCACUCAGUUUUUUUUUUGCAAAAGAAUAAAAUCUGGUCCAGUCGGCGAAGCUGAUCCUUUGCGGUUUCUCUCUGAAAGCAUGUCACUAUCAGCAUCCCUCGAUUGUUGUUGCACGCCUGAAUCCUGCUGACCCCGUGGGCUCCAAACACAAAAGCUCGGUUUUACCAAUGGCUAGCAGCGAGUAGUAGUACUCCGUAGGUUGGAAUCCCGUCAUGGAGCGGUCCCCGAGAACGAGAUUUGGGGCCAGCGGUGCGCUGCACGCGCCGUGUUGCUCCUCCCGUUUUGCCCGUAUGCGCGCGCGCCGCGCGGAGCGCGAGGCAGGAGCCAUCAGCUAUCGUCUCGUCGUCUGGUCUCGUCGCGUGCACUUGAAUGGCGGAGUGGUCGCCGGACGCCGGGUGGGGCGAACGUCUGCGGCUGCCUGGCCUGGCCUGGGCGGCUGGGCGCCCGAUCCCAUCAAAGCCUUCCCGUCACGCGUUCCUCGGCGGGAAAAGCUCGUGGGCGUGGCGUGGGGGCGGUGCGCUGCGGUCCGGCCGGUCCGCGGAGGAGACCCGGGCCGGGAGGGAAUGGAAUAUCCCGCGGCGUGGAUCCUGCUCUGCAUCCGCGCGCGCACGUCGUCACGUCCGCUGGAUCGCGCCGGAUGCCCCGCCCCCGGCCUCUGCCGCGCGCAUGACCUCACCCACCACCCACGCCGCUAUACGAGGGCCAGCCGGGCAGAGGAGAGGCCCCCGCCGCCUGCAGCUUGCUGGCCGGCGGAGCUGACCUGAGGCUGACGCCACUGGCCUUUUCGAUCCGGCCAUCGCGCUGGCGAGCUCGCGUGCGGCCCGUACGCCUGGCUGCCUGGCUCUGGCUCCGCUCCCCACUGGGCAGUGGGCACUGGCCGACUGGCCGUCCGUCCCGUCCCGGCGGGGCGGUGUGAAUGAUUGAGAUGAUGAUGACGAGGUAUUUUAUCUUUUCGUCUUGUUUAUUAAUCGUCCUCUCCUUGUCAGGGGGGAGACGCAGAAAAGCAGAAUGAAUGCCCCGGAGUACUUACUUGGCAAGUCCUGCGUGCACACUUUCUUGAGUCAUCAAAUCAACCCGACUGUUCUCCUCUUCAUUUUCUUUCUGGGCAAGCAAUGACCGGAAGGUUUUCGAGAGCACGGUACCUUCUACACGUUGUAUAUACAGCCAAUACUUGCAAUACGUACAGGUAAUCGCUUCCGUUCCACAUGUGCUCGGAACACAUUCAAGGUCAAAGAUUUCACAAAGUAACCACCUUCAAACAAGUAGAGGGUUUAAAGUUUAUAAGAUGCUUAUUAUGUCACUACCGUUCCAAAUAGUAACGGGUAAGUCUUGUGUGUAUGUAUCUAUGUACGUAAGGUGACCAAAUUGAAGUUACAAAACCGAUGACCAAUACAUAGGAUCCACAGCCUGCCGGUCGCAUGAGAGUUCAACUCCAUCAGUCAAGCAUAGCUAGAAUUUUAGUGCGAUGCAAAAAAAAAGGCAUCCUCAAAGCCCCCGUUAAAAAGAACCGUAGGGGACGGAGGUUCUCACCGGACCACCGCCCCAUGUCUCUUCUUGUUGUCACGGAUCCUUUUGCCGCUCGAUCGCCAAGGCGAAGCAAGAAGCAACCACCUACACAGGACGGCGCCGGCCGGCGUUACUUUGCUCUGUCCGUGGCCGGCUUUUAUCCCCAUAUUCUGCCGUUACAUAGUUUUAUAGUCCGAUCCUACACAUGACGACGUGAUACAUCGUCGUCCUCGUCCAUCGCUUGCCGACGCCCGAAUUGCAUUUUUGGGAAUUCCCCUGCCACUAACCGCCUGGACCACCGGAGGACGGCAUGCCUAAGUGCAUGCAUGCCGGCCGGGCUAGUGUAGUGAGCACAAAAGCGAUUCCACAUCGCGAGUUUGCCGAGGUCAAGGCACCAGUUUAAUUCAGGUGCCGUUCGCGAAAAGAAGGCCAAGACUCGUCGAAUGUUUGCACUAUUGUGUGUACAUCGAUCACAACUGUGCAUGCCACAGCCUGGUUUGAUUGCCGGACGACGGUUGCAUGGCUUGCUCGCUACCACACCAGCACCAGUCGAACGCCAGAAAGAAUCGAAUCUUUGUGUGCAGUGGCUUGAGCCCUCUAACCACAGCCACCACACCACAUGAUCUAUCCCAGAUUCUAGCUAGCUUCACUGAUGGUUCUUCGACUUGUUCACCUCGAUCUCAUGUACUACUAGCACGUACGUAGUUUCUAGUUUGGCAUUGCUGAUGCUUCAGCGUGACGAACAGUACGCUACGGCCCAAGUGAUUCAUAUUUAGGGUGAUCCACGCAUACGCACGCACCUUUCGAUCCCAACUACUGCAUGCAUGGUCCAGACUAGUAACGUCUAGGCGAGCCUCAAAAGUUGUGUGUGUGGAUAUAUAUGCAUGCUUCCUUCGUCCCCGUCUUCCUUCGCUUUAUAUGCAUGGUGAUGAGAGGCCAUUGGAUUGGAUAACGCUGAGGUGGUGCCGUUGGCUGGGUCUUUCUUCCAUUUGCGGCAAUUGGCGCCAUUCGAGGAUCGAUCGGGCUACCAGCCUAGCUACCACCUCGAGAACCUGGACCGGCGUUACUGCUGCUGCUCUGCUAGCUACGUGUCAGCCUAUGAAUUCAAGAGCCUUCACCUACGGACCUACUCUACGGUCCUUUUAACUCAUCGGGCACUGCGUCGCUCAAACAGUCAAACUUGAGCACUUAACCGCAACUGGAGUACCUCAAAGGAGAAAGUUUAGGUUCAGAAAAAUGCAUGCAGGCCAUCUCGAUUUUAAUGUUCGCCCACUGCCUCAAGACGUUGACUCCUCUUUUUGGGAUAAAAUCUGUCCUUUGCCUUCUGAUAACCUUCAUGUGGGAGUACAGUAUGUGUGCUAAAUUUUCACUACAACAACAAAAAAAAAGGUGAUAGGCACUUUGCUUUAGGCAUUUUCUAAUUUGCCGCAAUAAAACUUUCUGAAAAAAUGUGUUUAAAUAAAUAGAUAUUAUGUGGAGUAUCAUAGAUAUUAUUUGUGGCACUUCAGAAGGUGGUCUCGAGUGUAGAGACACUACUUGAGAUAACCUGAAACAAAAUUGCUUGUGGAUGGCUGGAAGCACAUCUUUUACACACUUUACUUAAUUAUAAAUUUCAAAUACAAAAUAAUAUAGAGAAUUAGAGAUAUUAUUUUGGCAUUCCCAAAUUGACUCUAUCUGGUAUAUAUUGUUUGAGGCAUGUUUUAGAGUAUUUCCGCCCAUAUAGAAAUGCCACUGAUUCAGUAAUCCAAUAUAGAUGAUUCACAAAGUGUUUCUACUCUCGGAGAGUCUAAGACAAUGCAUCGGAAGGCGUUUUAUGGCAUUUUAGAAAAAAAUGACUAUGAUUACGUAGAAAUAUGGAGAGAAAAAAUAAAGUGCCUCUACAAGCCGGUUCUCUUGCAUGGAAACAUGGGGAAGAAAUCAUGCCAUACGCCCAUAUUGGUGGACGUUGGAGCGAACAAGGGAAUAGUAGUGACAGGUGGUGAGGUUGGACUUGAAAGAAGAUUGGGAGGUGUGAUUCUUCUACAGGAAUGGGAAUGAGAUAUUGCUUGACGAUUACUAGAUACUAAAUGGAGUUGAAAUUGGGGAGUACGUUAAAAAAGCCGCUGGUAGAUAAAAUCUCUACUUGUCAACUGUAGGCUCACUGGAGCUUCAAAUUUGUCUCAAAUUCGUACUGCUCUAGUACUUUACGACACCUCAAGACAAACCUAAUACGAACGAGCAAUCAUGAGCGCAUUAAGACCGGUUGCAAGAUGGCGGGCCCGGUGUUAUGGUCUUACACGAGGUGGACCAGCAGUCUAUCUAUACGUACACGUACUAAUGUACCCGUAGGCAUGCUCGUACACGUACGUACUCCUAUGGCGAGGGCCAAAGCGAGAAAGAGAGCGGUGUAUGGAGCAAAAUAGCCGAUGGAGCCGAGGGCGAGCGUGACCGAUCCCGGAGGCGAGGACCACGACCAGUAGUCCACUUGCUGGCGUGAUUAGGACGAGGGCCGGGGUCCACGGUGCAGCGGGCCGGGCAGCAGAGAAUCAUCAUCAUCAAUGAUUGAGCGAACGAACGGCGCGGGGCCACCGCCCACGAACGCACUGGCACCACCACUGCCAUAACGCGCCGGCCGCAUGCGGCAUGCCCGAGUCCCGGGGAACUUGUUGCCAAGGCGUGGCGCACGGCGGAGCUAGGGGAGCCACCCCCCUAGCUACCUUCCAGCGUGCGUGCUAGCCGUAGCCCUAGCCCUAGCCGUGGGGGCCAACCAGCCAAGGGCCAUGGCCGAUCGAUCGCGCGCUAGCUUCGGCGGUGCAUGCUCUUCUCUGAUCCUACUGCCCAUGCAUGCGCAUUUUCCUGCAUGCUCGCGGCCGCUCUAGCUAGGCCGGCCGGAGAACGGGAGAAGCUCAGAAGUCUUGCUUUCGGCCAUGUUCCACUUUUUUUUUCUAUCUCAGUGAAAAUUUACUGCUGAUCACUGAUGUUGGCACGCGCAGUGCGUGCCUGACCCCUGAUCAGAUUUUUCAGACCUUGAUCGGAUGGCCUGUGCGCCUGCGACGAGCUGGAAGGCAUGGCGCAUGCGGUACUACUCCACUGUGCAAGCCAUGCAUGCAGCGAAUCCUCGUCCGGAUCAGGGUGGCAACAUUGUCACCAGGCUUGGCAAUAAAUGUUCCCAUCAAAGCCCUGACUGUAGCUUGUAGAUGGUCGGCCGGCCGGCCACCCGGACGCAUGCAAAUUGAUGCCUGGCUCGACGUCCUCAAGCUCAGCACAUCAUUUUGAACUCAAUCAGACUCCGAGUUGACUUGUACCCGUCAAUCAACGUAUUCGCAGAUUGCGCUCACUGCUCGACCAACCGAGCUAGGGUCGGCAUUGAUGCCUGGCUCAGUGCUGCUAGCUGCGUGCUGUACGCCUAGAACCUCGCAACCGGUACAUAGGAGUAAGGUGCUCCUUUAGUCCAUGGACUAAAGUUUUAGUCCAUGGACUAAAGUUUUAGUCCACUUUAGUUCAUGAAUUAAAAAUGGAUUAAAAUGGUGUUUGGUUCAAGUGACUAAAAGUGACUAAAACCAUUAAAUGCUGUGACAAGAUUACCAUUUAGCCUUUGGAAGCUCUCCCCACCAGUUGCCCCUGGCGCAACAGCCUGGCGCCAAAUUCUGGUGGCGCCAACACCCUGCAGGCGCGCGCCAAAGCUCCAGGCGCCAUAUCACCUUCUAUUUCAUGCUGAGUAGGAACGCCAAAAUCUUUCUUGUGCCACAUGUUCAUUCCAUUUGGUAAAAAAAAGUCCAUACAAAUGUUCAUACACAUUCAUACACUCAUACAACCUGGGAGGGUGUUUUAGAGGCCUUGUCAUCUUCUUCGUCACCGGCAUCAACAUCCAGUGGAUUGUCAUAGCCGUGGCCUCCAGAGGAAGAUGCACCGCGUCCUCUUCCCAAUCUUCCUCCCCCAUAGCUCCCACCUCUGCCUCCACACCUACCGUUGGCUCCUCCACAUCCUCCACCCACUCUCCCUCCACCGGUUGCGGCGGUCAUGGACCGGCGACCACGCCCUCCGCCACCCUGUGCUCCCACCCUGCCUCCAGGGGCUAAGGAGGGAGUUGAUGCUCCAAACCAGCUGCACCCCCUGUAGGAACUCCUGGUAUGACCUAAUAUUGGGGAACACGUCGGCCUCUGAGUUGAGGUCCAGAUGCUCCAUGUGGCGGUGGGGAGCGGACAGGGAGGAGGCCGACGGCGACACGAACGAGCCGAAAUUGUCUUCGUCCGCAUCUUCCGAGGAAGUGUGGAAGCUACGUGUACUGGAUGAAGAACCCUAAUACAGGAACUCCCGGUAGUUGUAGUUAUCCAUGGGUGGGGUGCGGUGGUUGGGCGCGGUCGUGCUGGCGGCAUGGGAAGGAGAGGGAGGGGGCGGAUCCGGCGGGGGAGCUUCGGGGGUGGUGGAUCCGGUGUGUGGAGCUUCGGGUGCGGUGGAUCUAGUGGGGGAAAUGGUGCGGGCGGCCAGAAUCGAGAGGAAAUUUGGGGCAACUGGCGGGCGGUGUCAAGGAGGGGGGAGCGAGCGGAUGCCGGCGUGGGAGGGCGCGACCGCCGGUGAGAGGGCGCGGCCGCCGACAUGGAGGAGGGAGCGAGCGAUGGCUGGGUUGGGGGAGGGAAGCGAGCGGUGGUUGGGCCUACGGGGUCUGGAGGCGGGGGUGGGAGGACUCGGGGGCGGUGGAUUCGGCGGGGGAGGGCGCGGCCGCCGGCGUGGAGGAGGGAGCGAGCGGCGGCUGGGUUGGGGGAGGGAAGCGAGCGGCAGUUGGGCGUGCGGGGUCUGGUGGCGGGGGUGGGAGGACCCGGGAGGGGGGAGGGUGCGGGGGUAUGGUGUGCAGAGAAGAUUUUAGUCGGUUUUAGGAGGGGUGGGAGGGCUAAAGGAUUUUAGUCUUCUCACCUUUUAAUCUUUUAGCCAGCUUUUAGUCACCUUUUAAUCCAAAAAAUUUUAGGAGGUGGGAAUCAAAUGACCUAAGCUCAAGGAGGCGCGCACCGUAGUCUACAACCAUUCGCUCGCUCCUCUCUGCAUGCACCGCCGGCCGGCUGCACGCUCCAUUUACUCCCAUCUCAACCACCGAUUUCUCCUCUAGGACGCCGCGCGAUUGACUUGGAUGGAGCCUUUGAGUUUUUGCAGGGUGGUUUUCGCAUAUAAUGCUUCGCCAAUUACAAACGAGUCCUUAGGAAUGUUAUCGUUCAUUUUUUAAAACUUCUAUCAGCCCUCCACUCUGGCAACACCAACAAAUAUUUAGCAGUUCCAUUGUUCAUAAAAAGGGUUUCAAGAAUCUUUUAAAAAAAAGGGUUUCAAGAAAGUGAAACGUUGCAAGGUGAAGUGGAAAGAGCUGCUAGAGACAUACGAGGAGGAUGGUGUGUGGGGAUCGAUGAUAGCAACAGCUGGGGAGGCCGGCGCCAAGCAGUAGGAUGAGACUUGCUGGGGUGGUGGCAGCAGCUUGGUGGGAGUGGGCUAGGAUUAUGCAUUAAUUCGAUAGGGAUGGAGACGAUGGUGCAAAUCUAGAUCGUGUCGAAUUAAACUUUUGAUAGCAAAUAAAGUGACUAGAUUGGUUUAUAUGUAGAAUGUAUGCGAGAAUGGAUACUCUACCUGUAUAUAUACAUUUCUUCAGAACGUGAAAAGGUUGGCACGACUUGGUCUCUUUAGAACACAAUUUGAUCUCUAAUGUUUAACAUAAUACAUUGAGAAACCACAACACAAUUGUAUGAUUGUGCAAAACUAUAUUUGAUAUAAAUCUACACUUACCUUUUGUAAAUAUUCAAUGUCAGUAUAUAUACAAACUAACUGAUGAUUGGAGUUUUGAUACCUUCACAUAUCCCAGUUCCCUAAAGUCACUCUUAGCCCCCAAUAACUCCAUAUUGUUGCUUCCUAUCAUCUACUCCGUUCAUCCAAAAAGAGUAUUGUUCUAGCUUUGCCCUUAGUCAAACUAUCUUUAGUUUGACCAAGUUUAUAGUUAUGAUAUCAAAUAGGUAUACCAUGACAAUAUAUUUCAUGAUGUAUUUAAUGAUACUUUUUUGAUAUCAUAAAUAUUUUCAUUUUUAGUAUAAAGUUGGGUCCAACUUAAGAUGGUUUGACCUGGGACAAAACUAGAGUAACACUUUUUGGAGCGAAGUGAGUAUACUACUCUUAGCUUCAAAUACUUUUUUUCCCCAAUAAUAAUAUUAUUCUGUCUUUGUGUUUAGGGAGUCUCUAAUGGUUAUAUGUAGUUUUAUCUAUAAGAGUGUACAUGUAAUCUAUAUACUACACUGAAGUUAACUUCUCUAAUGGCUUACCUACAAGGUUGUCUCUUAAUUUUAUUAAUGCUUGCAUACGAUUGGUUAAUGUGGUGAUAAUUGCUUUGUUUUUUUUUGAUAAAAAUGCUUUGUUUUCUCCCAAGCAAGAACUAUUUUUGUUCUCUCCAUCCACUAAUUCUCGUCCACUAGGAUAAUUGCUAAGGUGUAGUACCACCUUAAACAACAGGAGCAACACCCAUCUUUGGACCAUUAAUCCACUAACCAACACACUUGAAAUACAGGCGGCUAGAGGGUAUAGGAUGCUCCCACUCUCCCCCCACCGCAACCACUCCUACAUUUGAAUCACGCAAGCCAAAACCGAUUGUGAAAAGUACAAAGAGUGACCUUGACACAUGCGCGCGCGAGAGUGACAAGUGCUAUUCCAAAUUUGCAACCGCAGACGACGGAGGACCUAGCUAGUAACACCCACCCACCUAUACACAAUGACUAGCUAGCGUGGAGGACCAUGCCUCACCACGAGGUGCGAGCAUUGGAGCAUACACUCACAUUUCGUUUUCCAAGCGGAAAAACCCCAUGAACUCGCGUCACACGGCUCCAUUCCACUACGAAAUAGAAGUAUUAAUUGAAAAACAAACUCCUACUCUGCCUACUAGUACCACUACUACGAGACGAGCUCGCCGGCUGCAAGAGCCCUACAAGUCUGCAGCCGAUGAAGAGUAGUACGUGCUCUCUGCCCAGAACCCCUAUAAAACCCCUCCCACAGUAAACUCCACACGGUAAAAAGAAGGACGCAGCCACACACGCACCCAUCCGGUUCCUGGCCAGCAGGCUCGAAGGCGAUGGACGGCGAGGCGCAAGGACGACGCCGCCCGGCGUGGGUCCCCGGCGCCAUCAUCGUCGGCGCGGGCCCGUCGGGGCUGGCCGCGGCCGCGUGCCUCGCGGCGCGCGGCGUCCCAGCCACGGUGCUCGAGAUGUCCGACUCGCUGGCGUCCACGUGGCGCCACCGCACCUACGACCGCCUCACGCUCCACCUCCCCAAGCGCUUCUGCGAGCUGCCCCUGCUCCCGUUCCCGGAGGGCUACCCGGCGUACCCGUCCAAGGACCAGUUCGUGGCCUACAUGGAGAGCUACGCCGCCGCCGCCGGCGUCGCGCCGCGGUUCGGCGCGCGCGUCGAGGAGGCCGCCUUCGACGCGGCCGCCGGCGCGUGGGCGGUGCGCCUGGCCGGCGGGGAGCUGCUCCUGGCGCGGUGGCUCGUGGUGGCUACGGGGGAGAACGCGGUGCCGCGCGAGCCGGAAUUCCCCGGCGCACCGCGGUUCGCCGGGCGCGUCAUGCACACGCGCGACUACAAGUCGGGCGAGGUGUUCUCGGGGAAGAAGGUGCUGGUGGUGGGGUGCGGCAACUCCGGCAUGGAGGUCAGCCUGGAUUUGUGCCGGCACGGCGCCAAGCCCUCCAUGGUGGUGCGCAACACGGUAACUAAUGAUCCCCGUGCUUGCUUACUUACUCCUAGUCCUAGCUAGGACCCGUCGUUUUCUACUCCCGUUGUCUUGCUUUGGACAGCGAAAGUACAAGUGCUGCGAGUUUUGUGCCAUCCUGCUUGAGCACUUUCCCCUUGGAUGAUUGUCUUUGCGCGCGUCGCGCUUUGUUUUUGCUGCGAUCUUUUUUGGGGCAUGCCUUAAUGUGCGUGGUCAUAUUUGGGCACGCUAAGCAUUAUUAGACCUACUAACAUGUGGUACGGUGUUGGGGAUGUCUCUGUCUUGUCCCGUGCCAUGCUCAGCACCCAUAACAUUCUUCUUCGUCUUUGUUCUCUCUUCUUUCGUUCGCAUCAGAAAUUAAAGCUACAAGUAUGUGAUGCGUUUUGCGCAGGUCCAUGUGCUACCCCGGGAGAUGCUUGGCCUCUCCACGUUCGGCAUCGCCAUGGCGCUGCUCAAGCUGUUCUCCGUCCAGGUAGUCGACCGGAUCCUCCUCGCGGCGGCGCGGCUGACGCUGGGCGACACGGGCAAGCUCGGGCUGAGGCGGCCCAAGACGGGGCCCAUGGAGCUGAAGAACCUCACCGGCAGGACCCCGGUGCUGGACGUCGGGACGCUAGGCCACAUCAAAACCGGCAAAAUUAAGGUUAGUGGCAGCCUACUUGCAUUUACACCAUGCUUUCACCAAAGGAGAGCAGCAGCAGUAGAAGAAGAAAAUCACCACACGCACGACCAGUCAAACCAUGGGAAUUUGAACCCCGGGCCGGGCGCGGUCGUGGGCCUGUGCCUCAUCUGGCAUGCCAGCCCGGCUUUAAGGCUCGCCUUGCUCACACACACACACACACACACACACACACACACACACACACACACCAAUUCUGCGAUUGGUUUCCCCCUGAGAAGCGGGCUCUGUUUUUAACCUCUCGUCCUGCAUCAAACCUACCGCUGAAUGAGUUGCUGAUGCGAAACAUGAUCGCCAGGUAGUGGGAGCAGUGAAGGAGGUGACCCGGAGCGGGGUCAGGUUCGCGGACGGCAAGGAGGAGCAGUUCGACGCAAUAAUACUGGCCACAGGGUACAGGAGCAACGUGCCGUCCUGGCUCAAGGUAAAUUCACCUCCCCCAUUCCUCCUUCCUAGUACUGCAACGAGGGGCAAGGCAAAGAUGAAAAGUGACGCCGGCGAAAAGGACUCGCUUGUUUGUUGGUUCGGGGCCCUGCCCUUUGCCGAGCAGAGCAGCAGCUGCUGCAGCGCGCAUCAUGUCGUCACCCCUGUUCGGCCAUCCUGCCCCCGUUGCCCUUCUCGUGUAUGCCGGGCGCGCAGGCGCAGCUCGUGCCCCGCGCUGCGCCGCGCGUUCCUUUCUCCCGAAGUGUUCACCCGCGCCCAAGUGAUCGAGUCAGUGAGUCACCCCGGGGGUAUGGGCGCGGGCACAGGAGCAGGGGCCCCAACGCUGGCUUGGCGCUGAUCCAAGGACUAGGGUGAGGACGACGGGUUCGUAUACGGACUCGGGAGUUUGGAUAUACGCUUUGGGUCCAGUGGAUAGAUACUUGUCGAUACCUCAAGGUGAACGGUCGAUUUGUAUGCAACGUGUGCAACGAGAAUCAGCCAAGUUAAUAACUUGCUGCAUUUACAAUAUUUCUUCUUCAUGUAGGAGUAUACUGUUUGCGACCUUGCUCAUGAACCUCGUUAUCUUCUACUAUGCAGGAUGGAGGUGACGUGUUCACGAGAGAAGGCAUGCCCAAGACCCCCUUCCCCAACGGCUGGAGAGGGAAGAACGGGCUCUACACCGUCGGAUUCUCUCAGCGGGGGCUGCUCGGCGCGUCGUCCGACGCCCUCAACAUCGCCAGAGAUAUACAUUGCCAGUGGAAGGACAUGGGCAGACCCGCUAACAAUAAUGUGCUCCAAAGUGACGAUACUGUUUGACUCUCGUGUAAAUGUACAGUACGCAAGUGGUUAUAUUAAUGUCUUCAAAAGGUACCAUUUUGUGUGCUUACGACAGCAUGAUUUUCGCUUACCGAAUUGGCCAACUUAAAAGCCUUUUAGGGCACGAUUGGUUCACUGCCGAUACUAACCAAACCAAAUUUUUGGCGUGCGCAUAAGUAACUUGCUCCCUCCAUCCAUCCAUUCCAAAAUAAGUAUCCUUUUAGUAUUCAAUUUUUGUCACAAAGAAUGUACCUUUAGCUUCUAGUAAGACUAAUCUAAUUAAAAGAACACUCACACAAAUAAAAUGGAACAUAUAGAGAAGCGUGUAGCACCAAUCAAAUGGCUAAUUGAUGUUAUUUGUUAUGACUACUAUUGUGUCUAAAUUUUCUAAAAGGACACUCUUUGUGGGAUGGAGGGAUUAGAGUCUAAUAAUUGCAUAUUAAUAUCCGUUCCAAUUAAACCAACAAAACAAGAUAUCACUCAACUAUAUUUCGAUACAAAACAAAAUAAUGACAUAUGGACCCUACAUUGCAUACUAAGAGACGAGUAAAUUUUGCAAUUUUUGGCAAGCUAUAAUUUAAACACAACUUUGCUAACGUUUUGGUGUAGCCCAUAGUUUGGUCGCGACCAAAAUUUGGCUGGACUAGAUGGGCUUAAACCAAACAUGCCCUUUGAUAGAAUCAAUCGGCGAUGGUCAAUAUGACAUGGUAAAACUCAUAGACUCAUGUUUGUGAUGUGGAUUUAUUUUAUGGUAUGGAUCAAUUGAUGAUCAUCCUUCUUAUUUUACGUGUUAACUUUGUUACAUAUUAGUAGUACCCAUUAUUAAUCAUAGUCGUUGAAGUGGACCGUUAGGUCAUGUGGUUUUUUCACUACCAGAUAGUCUCAUACAUAUCGUCUUCUUGCAAGUGCUGGCAAUCUAACGACACAAAUAGCUAGUAAGCGAUGGUAAUAUGUUGACGCUCAAGAAUAGAGAUAAUUUAUUGUCUUUCAUUUUAGUUACAUACCACUUGGGCCCAUCUAGAACCGUAAGUCCAGGAAAGAUGAAGCCCAAAAGACCCUAUUUGAACCCAUGUUGGCUGGCAUGGCGCAAAUCUCGACCUUGUGUACGAAGGCAACGAACCUUAAUCUAGGAGGCUUCUAAAAGAACUUAACACUUACAUAUCCAAAACUUAGUAUGAAAGAUACAUGGGAACAUGAAAAUGGAAGGUGUAAUGGCCGACACACCAUGCAUUGUGCUAACCAACACAUAAUAUUUUGACGUUGAUUUGACGUACCAUUUGAACCAGAGGUUUACAUAAGAUCUCAGGACUAACAUGCCUGAAGAUGAGUGAAAUUGGAACAUGGGAAGGUGAAAAAGGGAAGUGAACCAAUCGGUUCAUCCACUGAACUAACAGACACAAUUUGAUUUGGUGUUGGUUUGCUCAGGGUAUAAAUAGAGGGGGUUCCUCGAUUCAAAUCAGGGAUCCAUCCACUAGAAUUUUAUAAUAAAACCAAAUGACACGCACCAUACGAAGUUGAUGGCACCUGCAAGUCUUUGAUUUGUCUAGGAUAUGACUUAGGCUAGAUUCUAGCCAGUGUGAUCACCCUGAGUGAAAUGAUCAUACUGGAGUUUAGGAGCUACAUGUUUCAUCAUUGUAGAUAUGAUAUAUAUAGGUGGUGAUGAUAUAAUGUAUACAAUGUUGAAUAGAGUUCAUCAUGUCUUCCGAUCUAUUACCGACUGAGUGUUUACUUUUAUGCUUUCUACUAUCAUGGAUAUGAUUAUUCCUAGCGCAAUUCUAGAUUAGACUUUUAGCAUGCUUUAUGUAAUCACACUGAUUAGAUUUAGUGUAUCUGUCCUCCAUGAUAGCUAGACAUGUGCUUAAAAUACCCCCCUUAGAGAGCUCUUUGUGGUCAUGUCUAGAAACCUCUUGCACAUAAUGGCAGAGUGUGGCAUGAUCUGGGCUUAAUAGGGCAGUAGUACUUUGGGUUAGACCGAAGGUAAUAGUUUAAUAACUGUUUUUGGAUGAGAUGUUUAAUUUACUUGCUCUUUGGCUAAAGCUAACUACAAGACGUUUGGCUUAAGUUAACUUUGGUUCUGUUACAUAUCUACCUAUCUAUGGAUGUAAUCCACUCAUGCAUAUAUAGCUACCCUAUAUUGGGGUUAAUUUUUAUAUAUAUACAAUCUGAAUUUCAUGAUAAUAUUAGAUCUUUUAAGUUAUCAUAAAGCCUUAGAUUAGUUUGCCGCCGAUAUUUGUGGAUUCGGUUAAAGCCUAGAAUACUCUUGGGGGAAGCUACAAUUGUCACCAUGUACUUGACUUUUGCUUAUGGCGAUUACUUACAUGUUUUCUGCAAUUGCAAUUGCCAAUGAUAAGGGUGAAGAAGAAUCGAGAGGGUGUCAAACGGGGACAAAUAGACAAUCUUCACUUUGUCUUAGUUUCAUGCAACAAGUCAAUGUUAUUUUAAUAACUUGUACAAAUCAUCUCCAUAGAUGCAUGUAGAUGCAUCUAUAUAUCUUUUAUGACAAGAUUGCGUCCAACAUCACGUGUUCCAUUUUAUAGCGCGACCACCACCAAUGUCAAUAAGAGUAUAAGAGAUCUUUCUACUUCACAGCUUACCACUGGCAGUCAUUUGUUGCUGCCAUCUUAGGCCCAAGUCAUUAUUGUACACAUAGAGCAAUCAUUACCCAUGUAGACGUGCAGGCCCUGCCUUUCAUGUGGGGCAGGACCUACUGCCGGCACCACAAGAAGGUGAAGCGUUAGUGAUCACAUCAGAAGCUGCCCCAUCUGUAUGUAAGGGAGUACUUUGCAUCAUUGAAUAAAGCAAGAAAGAUGUUAUAUUUUGUUCCUAAUUUUUAUUAGCUUCCGUGAUUAUAUUCAUGUAAUAGUACUUGUUCUCUAAUAUCAAAUUUCGUAGGUUAGGAAUUUGGGGUUUUGGCUCAAAUUAUUGGCUGUUCUUUGGCUCAUAAGCUUGCUAGCUAUCAACUGGUGCAUAUGCAAGUACACAACAUGGAAAUGAUAUCUGUCCAAUUGAACCAAUGAAAUCAUAUAUCCUGGCAAGGAAGACAUGUCCUGCUAUUCAUGUGUCAGCUCAACGUUGGGUUCAUGCCAAAAGAAUUAACAAAGAACUGACUUUCCAUUCGGAUUUGAACCUGUCACAAUUUCUAAAUUCAAGGUAUGAGCUCUUUCUUUUUCAGAUCUAUAAUAAAAAAUGUCUCCCUCAUAAAUUAACUAAAGUGUUAUUCAUGGAGGAAACUGCCAAUGUUUAGGUUAUUGUGCAGAUUAUCCAUUCUUCAUGAAACUAAAUGGCAACAUUUUAAUAAUAAACAUAGAUACUACAAGAAUUUGAAAAUCAUUAUUAUAAUAGUAUUUCAACAAUUAGUAGAUAAUAAUUUAAUCUUACAAUUUUUUAUAGGUUCAUCCCUACACAUGAUUUUAUCAUCUGCAAUAUUAUAUUUACAAAUCAAAUGCAUACGCCAAUUUUAUUUCCUUCCAUUUCCUGCUCUAUGCAAGAUAAUAACAUUAGCAUUGUACUACACAGUAUAUAGACUUGUUUGAGGACUAAAAAAAGUUGCCUCUAGCUACCGCACUUUGUUUCUUCUUUCUUGUAUGUUGAUACAACCGAAACUACACUGUAUGUUGAGCCAUGAAGCUAUUACUUAGGUAGGGGUAGACAGUGUUGUCUUAGAAAGUUUCUAGCUCCUCUGUUAGUAAGAAAUGGUAGUCCCCCAAGGCCAUGAAUCAAUUAAUAUGAUAAACACGUGGUACAAAAUAUUGGAUUUUUACAUUUUCUGCUGUUUGGUUUUGUGUGUUUAUGUGUAUCUUUUUAUUUAUAUAUAUUCUACUUGAUCAUAUUGUUCAAAUUUUUUUUACAGAAGGGGCUGGAGCCCAUAUAUUUAGAUUGCCAUGAAGUUUAUAAAAAUCACCCUGGAGAAGAUCAAAGUUACAACACGCCUCAGCACACAAACUCCAUUGCACAAUCUUACACAAAGGACCCAGAAGAAAAAUAAAUUUGACGUAGCAAUCCUCGGAUCCUCUGCCGCUGCUCCUAGUUGGAGCGCCGUAAUCAUGAUCCGCCAGAGUCAGGGAAGGAGCACCGUAAUCGGGAGAAGAGGAGCUCCACCAAGCAGCCCAACGAGACCUCCAGCUUUUUAACGCUGCAAGACAUCUCUCCACUGGGGUAUAUUGGCAGUCACUGUUGGAUUCUUGGCUAAGUAGAAGACCGAUGACGCCGACGAGGUCGACGACCCGGAAAAGGAAUCGAGCGACAACAUAGGAGAACAAAAAAGGAACCCCGUUGACCUGGAUAGAAGGCAACCCUAGCUAGAGGACAGAGGAUCUCCAAUCCCAACCGCGCAUAGGGUAGAUAAAACAUACCAAAACAUAUCCGCACUAGAAAUUGUAAUUGUUAUUUUAUAGAUUGUUCGGAUUUUUAAUCUUGUCUCUCUACAUUCUAAUAUCAUUUCAUUUUUCUGUAGACUGACAUAUAUACUUGUGCACGAACUGUGAAGAGCUUAAGUAUUGCUCGUGAAACCCCAUCUUCUAGGGCUAUACUAUUUGAGCUCUCUUACCAACUACUUGCUGCCAUGUUACGAUGGUGUGUCACAGUUGCCUUUUUAACUUGCUUGUGUUGGCCUUUUCUUUUGAGGGCAACUUGCUUGCUGCGUUGAGUUAGUAUGUGUUGGACAAUUUAUGAAGAAACUGGGUUUGAACAUGGAGUCCAUGCGUUUCUUUACCAAAGGCUUUCAGUAAUCAAAUCAAUCAGUGCACAGAAAAGAGUUGACCUAUAUACUAUACUUAGAGCAGCAAACUAAAAAAAAUGCCAGCAGUCGCUGGGCACACCCCUUGGCACAGAACCUCUUUCACGCGGUGGUUGGCGUGCAACAUCAAAAAUUCGAAGUCGACAUACAGACAUCUAGAGGCAGGAGUGCGCCAGUGUAUCUCAUUCAUAUACAUACUGAAUGCUAAAAGUAGCGCUUGGCUGAAGCUAUCCCACAAAACGGGAUGCACGGCGAUGCGGUCGAACGCUCACCCAACAUGGUGUCGCACACUUGGAUACAUGUCCUGGAACCGUCCUUGGGAUCAAUCGGCUUGAUCUCAACGCUUAGCUCUAUCCCUCGGCCCUGCCGGUCGCGCACCAUCUUGUCGCACAGCCUCUGGGACAGUAAGACGCCACCUUUCGGCAGAGACACGUCCAGGUCCACGGCCGACCACCUGCCCACGCAGAAGGAAGGCAGUCUGCUCCACCCGACGACGCUCGUCUCGUUGUAGUACAUGACCACGGCCGUGUUCUCCCAGCAGACUCGCCGCAUAUGCUGUUGUUGUCCACAUGGAUGGUGAGGCUGAAGGCCGGCGCCGAGACAGACGCAUCAAGGCUCUCGAGACCUUAAACUUGGACAGAGAAGCGAGGGUGCACGUAGCGAACCCGGCCUAGCAGGUACGCCGAGCCACAGAACAGCAGGACGAAGGCGCAGGACCACCAGGAGCCAUGCAACGAAGGGAGGAGUUUCGCCGUUCUCGCCUCGUUGGUCGGGUCUCACUCUCGCGUAGUCGGCCAUGACACCCCCGAGAUCGAUCUGUGAACGAAUCUCAGAGAUAGCCGCCGCGCCGGUCUGGAAUAUAAGGGGGUGUUUGGAUACACCCUCCUAAACUUUAGGACCUGUCACAUCGGAUGUUUGGAUACUAAUUAGGAGUAUUAAAUAUAGUCUAAUUACAAAAUUAAUUGCACAGAUGGAGUCUAAUUCGCGAGAUGAAUCUAUUAAGCCUAAUUAGUUCAUGAUUUGACAAUGUGGUGCUACAGUAACCAUUUGCUAAUGAUGGAUUAAUUAGGCUUAAUAGAUUCGUCUCGCGAAUUAGUAUAGGGGUUCUGCAGUUGGUUUUAUAAUUAGCUCAUGUUUACUCCUCCUAAUUAGCGUCCGAACAUCCGAUGUGACCCUCCUAAAGUUUAGGACUUCGUAUCCAAACACCCCCUUCUAUAGCACGCGCGCCACGCAGCCAGCUAGGAUCCGUUUCGGUUGGCCGGUGUUCCGAGCUAAUCGUCGUCGGACUCCCUAAUCCGAUUCGAGUCCAAGUUCAAAAACCAGUACCACCUUUCGAUGCAAUUCAGUGCUCUGAGUUGCAAGUUUUCUUCUUCGUUAAAGAAGAAAUUCGACUUCGACAGAAGGCCUAUGGCACGCCGAGUGUCGACUAGGAGCAGCAUAGUGCAUCUUAGAGCUAUGAGAUCGGAGUUUAUAUUUCAUCACGUAAUCUUAUUUAUAUAAACAGUUCACUCAUCUUUCUCCUUAUAUGAUAUAGCAGUGCUCCUGCCCCUUUACGUUUAAAAAAAAUCAGUACCGCCGCCUCUGCCCACGCAAGACCCGGAUCCGUAUGGAUGACGGAAACAAUUGCAAUAGGUGACUAUAAAUAGCACAGGGCCAAUACAUACAUGGGCUAUAGGCACGAAAUUUCUCCAGACGCGCGCCCUGGCUACAAACUUCGCUAGGCGAGCCAUGGAAGGUCUCCGACGCGUUGGACACCCGUUCUUGGACUUCGCUUACGAGGGACUCCCUGCCCGCCACGACUCUAGGGUGAAAUUCGCGCUAGACUUCGUAGCAAUGCAGCUUGGCCUCGCGAUCUCUUGUAUCUAUGUGCUCGCGUCGGUGAUCUUUUGCUUGGUAAUGCACCAUAAUAUCAUGUACUCGGUGGAAGAUGCGUCGUCUGGACACUGCUAACAGGUGGAGGUCACCGGCAUCGAGGCAUCAGGUCUUCCGGGCCCGCAAGACACGACACCCUCGUCGCCGCUGCGCUUCAACCUCACUGCCCGCGUCGUCAACCGCAGAUCGGACACGCCGAUAUGCCUAAGAAACUGGCAGGUUGAUGUUUGGCACGCUGGAGUACCAUUUGGUAAGGCCUACUUCCCUGAUACGUGCUUGGAGGCCGGGAUGUCACAGACAGUAUUGAAGGCGUCUGCGUCGAACUCCGAGCUGCGAGGGCUGCACGGUGAAAUUCUUCAGCACCACAUGGCGAGCCGCACAUCACCUGGACACCUUAAUAAAGAACUGGUUGAGACGACACUCAACCAAUGUACAAAAUAGUAAGCUAUGAGAUUUAGCGUAGCGCUGUCCGCUAUAGUUCACUAUAGUGUCGCUAUAGCCCACUAAUUAGUACAACACUGUUGUAACGGUAGCUAGCAUCAACCGCUAUAGCCUGCUAUUUCAUACAUUGCACUCAACUACUUCAACGACCAUGAUCACAGAGGAAAGUUCGACCGGCUAUGGUGUCACGCAACAAUGGACAUGCAAUCGCCACAAUCUCCGUGUCGCAUUCACAAUUUAUGGCCUCUGGCAAAGUAGAGAGAAAUCUUCCUAGGUCAUGUGUUCGUUCUAUGUAUCAUUGGUAUACCAACGGGUCUACCAAUGGGAAUCAAGUAAUUAUAUUUAAUUUCUCCUAGCAAGAAAAAGAAGAGUACUAUAAAAAAUUUGUGAUAUAUACACAUGCCGAUAUGCGUGCGUAGCGCAACAGCGGUGCCAUGUAUACGAGACAUAUAUUCUUCAUCUUUAUUUCACUGGAAUCAGAUAUAUAAUAUAUUCUCCAUCUUUAUCCUUAAUAUGAUCCUGUAUUAAAUUAUGGGUUUCACAUAUAACAUAUUUGUCUUCUUUUUCUAAUCUGUGUUGCCCAUUCUCAUAUUAUUUUGUUGACGUGCACUUCCUUCGUUCUAAAUUAUAAUGCACUUUACCUUAUCAUAAAUGAAACUUAUUUAACUUCAACCAAGUUUAUAGAAAAAUAUCUACAACUUAAAAUUUAAUUUUAUUAAAUCUACCAUAAAAUAUAGUGCAUUUAUUUUGAAUUGUUGAUGUUAUUGUAUUUUUGUAUAAAGUUUAUCAAAAUUAGUCAAUUUUGACUUUAGGAUAAAACUAAAGUGAACUGAGAUAUUAACUUUUUGUGUACUUUGACAAGUAACAUAUGUUUCCUGUUUUUUUAAGAAAAAUAUCAAAUUUAUACCCUCCAACUAUGAUGAUGUAGUCUAAUUUUCAGACCUGUAUGACAUAAUCGGAAAAAAUUGGCCAGUGGUUAUGAAGGUAGUUUUCUAUUUUCUAAAAGUAAUAAGCAAUUGGUUUAAUAAAAUUCAUGACUAAUUUAUUUCAAAUUAGAAAAAUAUGAAACGUGUAUGUGUUUUUUCUCAAAAAAUUUAAUCUAUCUUUUGGUGGUAUAUUUUGUACUUAUUUUGGAACUUAUUUGUUACUUCACCCUAUUAUUUUAUUGCUAGCACUUGUGCCAAUUGCUUAUUUAAAUUAUUGUUUUUGCAUUGUAUAAAACCUAGAGAUGGACCAAGAGUUUAAGUGGACUGUAAGUGUACACAGAAGAUCUAGAAGACGAUACCAACCACACAAGUGCCAUGCUCCACUACAUAUAGAUCCUAUUAGGCAUUUCAUCACUACAACUUUACUUUAUGUGGUUACAUGAUUAGGCUAUAGGUUUUAAACAAGGCUGGGGAUCAAACAUCAAGUAAUCAACUAUUUGGAAAAUGACAAUUUAAGUAAAUAACAGACAUGACUAGACCAACAAGCAGUAAAACACAAGGAAUAUGAGGAAACAAGAUCAAAUAUAGGUACACUUUUAGAAAAAAAAGGUUGAUUCUAGUUUCAUAUUUUUAAAUUUGAAACAAAUUAGUUGUGAAUAUUUUAGAUUAAAAAAGUUCUUAUUAUUCCUAAAAAAUGGAAAACAUUUUUGAAACCACAUAAAGGACCAAAUUUGUAUGGGUUUAGUAGUUGGAUGGUGCUCGACGUGAUUUUGUGGUUUAGGGUUGAUUGAAAUAGUUGAUGGGUGUAAAUUGUGCAUAAUUAGAUUCCAUGAUGACCAUGAAUGUGCGUGCAGCAUGACGGUGAUGCCUCUUGCUAGGAGCACACCCACCCGAGUUUGAUUCCUAGCGGCAACGACUCUGGAUGUCCCACUGGGAUUUAUUUUCAAAUUUAAUUCUGCAAUUUCUGGACGUAAACGUGGAGUCAUAAUGGUAUUGUGACAUGCUCGUCACCUAUGAAGCGCUGCAUGAUUUCAUCGAUAACCAGAAGGAUGGGUGGUGGAUGUAUAGUUUGUAGGUUUAGCAUAUGUGAGUGUGUGUGGGUGUAUAUGUGUGUUUGUGCGUGCGUUCAGAUAUUAAAGUGGUACCUUAGUUGUCAUGGCUAAAAAAUUAGUCAAUUAUGGAUAGUGAGGUUGAAAGCCAUCACAAAGACAAUAGAAUUGCACAGUGAUGCGCCUGACGUGCCCAUCAUCUUCGCUUCACCAAGCUCUUGAUACCAAUUGUUGAUUUUGCUCAGAAUCACAAACGAAUUUGGAGAGAAAAGAAUUGAAGGAAAAACACACACAAUUCCAGAACUGCAACAGCUUAGCUCUUCCUCCUUUUCUUUUCCUACGUCCUCAAAAUACUGAUGCUUUGCUCUGCUUUUAUAGUCCAAACAGAAGCAUAGCACUUGUACUUGGAAUACAACUCUACCUUGAUCGUGCGGACAUACAAGGCUCGAGGCCAUCUCAUCUAUGGUCUGAACUUCCUUGUUUGCACAUCUACUUCCUAAACUAGUAUAUGGCAAUAGACUCUAAAUCGGACUUGAUUUGAGUCCUUGCUUCUGACGUGCAUGUUUUUCAUACAGAUACAUGCAUGACCAGUCCUACAAGGACUCAAAUACAUAAUGCUUGACUACAAGUACGUUUAAUCUACUUGCCUACUUUAAUAAUAAACUUGAACCAUGCCUAAAUAUACAAAAAACGAGAUUAAACCCCACAUUCUAAAGAAAGAAAGUGGCCUCGGACAACCUACUUAGGCAAACCAUGGGCACUCAUAUGGCGCAAAUGCUCCAUAAUAAGGAUCUAAUCCACAUGGACAUCGCCAACAAUAACCUCUUUUUUUCGACUCAAUCUAAUGUAAGCAUCAAAGAUCAGGCAGGGAUGAAGAAAGUGGUGAAGAAGUAGGGUGUCAUGUUGUUGUUCUAUUGCUUGAUGCUAACUUGUUCCUCCUCUUGUUACUAAGUUUCUCCAUAUACUUGCUCUUUGUCUUCAUGUUAGGAUAAAUAUUUUAUUCGUUGAUGAUUCUGGUGAAGAAGAAUAGGAUGCUAGUGGAGAAAAGGAGGUAGUUAAAAAACAUUUUUUUUUCUUUAGCAACGGAAAAUGUAGAGCCAUCCUACAUGAUCAAUUGAUUGGAUCUUGGUUGAAGGGUGAACAUCGAUGUAUAGAAUAUUUAUGGUCCCAAGUCAAUAGGUUACUACUUUUCUACUAUGCUUUGGGAAAUUUGUUUGCUUGUCAGCUGCAGUACAUGUUAGGCUCUAGCUUUGGAUGUUGGAUAUUCAUCUAUACGAUGUUGUUGUUUAGACCCGCAACCUAUCGAAUGUAUCCCAAGAAAGUAGAUUGGUUAGAUGGGUUUGUUGAGAUCAGCAACUCGAUGGUGAAGGCGAGACACGAUUUAGAUAGGUUCAUUGAAUAUUGUAAUACCCUACGCCAUGUGUGGUGUAUUGCCUUGCAUUGGGAAUUGGGAUUGAUUGAUUCUUUAGGGUCCCUGCCUAGCCUUAUAUCCGAGGACUAUGUUACAAGUCAUUUGUACACAAAUCCUAGUUGGCUAAGACGGGCGAAGUCCUAAUCUUAUACAAAGGAGUACUUUUCAUUUAUCAGACUAGUUUUAUUCUUAGUAUGGUUGACUACGUCAUCCUGCACCGUAGUCUCGAUCCGAGCAUGUGGGUUGUCCUAUCUCCAUUCUGAAGUUGUCCAUGCCACGCAGUAGGUUGAUGGAUCUCAGUUCGUCACAUGAUGAGGUGCAAUUUCCUAGAUCAUUAUUCGUAUGAUUGAAAAGAUUUUUUUAAAAAAAUGCAUCCUGAGGGGUUUAGAAUGGCUUGGGUUCCGUUUAUAAAGGAUAGCAUAAACAGUAUGCACAUUUUUAUCCUCUAGGGAGAGGGAUCGUGGCACAUGUAAUUCUCUCACUAUAUGUUUGUGCUUUGAUACCUAUAUUUGAUUUUGGUUCUUGAAGUCAAGUCCAUGCAUGAUUAUGGUGGUGUGAAUUAAAUACCCUAUUAUGAAUUUGAAAUUUAAAUUAAUAUGCAUUGUGUAAAGAAUAUUUUAGCCAAAUUUAUAUAGGCUGCUCACAACUUUAAGAUUAUCGUAUUAAUUUAUGUAGCCUUCGCAUUGUUUAUAGGAUAAUGGUACAUAAGAACUUAUAAAAUUUAGAUCAUUAAUAGGACUGUGACCUAGUGUCAAAUAUAUUCUUUUAAAAAGAAUUUAUAGACCAUGAAUAUGUUAAUUUAGGAUUUUAAAAAAUUAUUAGAUAUUUUGUUGGUCAGAUUAUAUUUGAAUACUUUGAUAUUAAUCAUACAUGUUUUCAUGUUGUAGCAAAUAUUUCAUAAAUCUAUCUAAAGGUGAAGUACAUACUAAAUGUUUGGACAUCUACAUGGAGUACAAUUAUAGUUCUACUUAUUUUGUCUCUAAAGGUAAGACACAUGUUGACACAUGUCCAAAGCACAAUAUACCUUACCAUGUUUUGCCAAGAAGUGAAUGCCUCACCAUUUAUAUAGAAGCAAAUCAGUGGUUGCAUGAACAAAAUCAAAUCUUUGUAACACUCUUUCUAUUACUAGAUUCAUAAGAAUUAUCAAUUAUUUCACUAUAACAAUUCACUUGUUUUAGUCAAUUUUGAAGAUCAAAACUUUAUUUGGAUGAUAUUUUUUAACAUCAAGUGCACACAUUUAUUGGACAUUUACUUACUUUUUAGAUGCCUUGGUUAUUGUUACACAACUUCUUCUACAUAUCUUGAGUUUAGAGUUAACAAUUAGAUUGUAUGUUGUUAACUUAGGUAUAUAUGUAGGCCAACUGUUUGUUAGCUCAACCCGAACAUGAGAUUUUUUGUUAUUUCAUAGAAAAAUUAUUAAUUUCUAUAUUGGUUAUCCAGUAGCAAACAUAAUAUAUUAUGCCUCUUGGGCUAUGUAUGGUUGUUUUCUCAAUCUUUCUAUGAACAAACAGGGCAAGCAUAUUUCAAACACUUACUCUCUCAAUUUUUCUAUGGACAAAUGGAAAAACGAUGCAUUGCUUUUAUAAAUUAAAAGUCUAUACUUACAAAUGAUACUAUCAACAUAUUUGAUGAUAAAAUGCAUUGUUAACUCAUGGGAUUUGUUACUAUUUCCUUCAAGUUUUGCAUCAUGAAUAUAAACAUGACCGAUACUAUUAUUGUUAUUGUAAUACUUACCAAUUUGCCAUGAGUGGUAUUUUCACACCAAGCACGCUACUUGUAUAUGGGGUCACUCUUAUAAUUUGUUCAAUAGCAAUUGUUAUGGUACUCCAAAAUGAGUAUGGGAUAGACGAAUAUAACUAUUAUAAUUGUCACGCUAAUAGAUGAAUAUAACUAUUAUAAUUGUCACGCUAAUAGAUGAAUAUAACUAUUAUAUUAAAUUUAUUUUUUUUGGAAAAUAGGAUAAAUAAGGGAAAAAUUACUAGGUAGACCUAACUUUCCUAGAUGGCCUAUUAGAUCUAACUUCUUGCAUGAUGUAUUGUGAUAGGUGCGUUAAGUGACAACUAAUGUAUCUUUUUUUUUUGCUAGUGUGUUAAAAAGAAUAACAUGACCUAUCAUGAAGUGUGUGACAAACUUGAAAGAAAACAUGUAUUAAUCAUGUUUCAUGGGAUAUUUUGCAUGCGACAAACCAUAGCUGAAAAUGUGCCUUCAAACCAUGGUGAGUUCUCCACAUGUGAUACCUCUGUUAAUGGUCAAGAUGUGACAUGCAACAUGUUAGGUCCAUAUGUAUUUUACCAAGUGCAUAACUACAAAAGUGAGUAACGAUAUAUAUUUCGUUCAUUCAAGACUUUGUUUGGAGUAAACUGCAUUACUAUAAAAGUAACACACAACUUGCAUAGCAGGUUCACACAGGUCAUAUAGUUUGUGUCACACCCGGGUUUAUAAACACAACCAAAUGUUCACUUUAUGUAUGUCAUGAUCAUAUUACAUACAUAAAGUUUGAGUACAUCAUCUGAUAUACAUUGCCAUAUCAUGUUAAAACAUCACAAAAUGACCUAGCGGUCCAAAAGAAAAGUACAAUUAUUGCUUGUUAUCUUGUGCAGAAGCAGGCUCCAUGACCACAGACAAUCAACCGGGGGUUCACACUCCUAGAUCUUCAUGGCCUUCAUCACUUGAGCAGCAUUUAUGGAGGGAGAGAGAGAGAGAGAAUAGUAGAGGUUGAAGGGGAAAAGUGUGGGAGGUAAGGAAAUGAAGGUUUAGAUCAAGAACUAGCUGCAAUUUGCAAGCACAAGUUUUAGUCGGUCAUAUUUUAUUAAACUACAUACUUACUAUGAUGAGAGUCUGCAACCCAAACCCAACUUCAAGGUGAAACAUCUAUCAUCUAGAGCCAAACAACCCAUCCAAACCAACCAUACCACCAACUAACCAUGUGAGGGUCCAAGCUACUCUUGUUGAGCAUGUGGCGGUUAUAACCGUUUUACACUCUGCAGAGGGGGUACAUCUUUACUCACGAGUUGUGCUACCCGUUCAUGCCUGGGGUUGCAAGCCUCUUCACACAUUGCCAAGAUGUGUGGGCUUGGUACACUAUGAGGCAAUUACAUAGGUUCCCCAACACUUAUUCACCAGACUCCAAGUGCACAACCCAUCAUUGAGCCUUGCUGGACUCUUGGGAACUCGGCUCUUAUCUAGCCCAAACAGUCCACUAGGUUGCCCUACUUAAUUAGCUAAGACCAUAGCCCAUUUAGUUCUCGUGGUUGUGCAUGUCCUUGAAAUGGCUCAAGCAAGAUGAGCAUCAACCCAAAACACCAUCCACCAGACAAAUACUUGCUCGAGUCCCUAGGCUUCCAUGUUUCUAAAAGAUUACCAACCCAUGUGAUUACAUAGUUGAUUAUUCAUUAUUAAAAUUAAACCCAACCCAGGUGUAGAGCACAACUAAGCAAGUCACUACCUAAAAACCAUAACACUCUCUAUGGGCUUCAAGGAAGUCACAAACAAAUCUAGUAACCCAACAUAGGAUUCCCAUAGUAACUCAAUGCGUGAAUAAAGCAUAAAUAGAAAGUGAUAUUAUUGUAAAUGCAAGUAAACAGGGAGUAUGCAUCAAGGACACUUGCCUUCGUCAUGCUUUUGCUGGAUCUUCACGUGCACUCGAUCUUUUCUCGAACAGCUACUUGCAGCAACUAUCGGAAACAAGCAUACAUACAAAAGUAUAAGAAUAGUACACUUGAAGGGACCGUGACACCCUAAGAGGAGGGGGUUGAAUUGGGUGUUCUAAAAACUAAGACUCCAAGCACAUAUAAAAACCUAUAUCAACUUCUAUCUAGAUGUGCACUAGGUUUUUCUAUGUGUUGCUAUAUCUACCGUAAAAGAGUUUUGCACCCUAGGUUCCAAUCCUAUAAACUACACAUGGCAAUUCUAGGAAAGGUAAACGCGGAAUUGUAAGUGCAAUAAGAAAAGUGAAAGGUAAAUGAGGUAGAGAAGGCAAACUCCUGGCGUGGCGACACAGCAAUUUUUUCCGAGGUAUCGGAAAGUAAAGCUUUCCACUAGUCCUCGUUGUUGCAGCCCCUCUCAAAGGGAAUGCCCGUGCAAGGGCAUAAACUCCCCGGUCAAGUAACUCCGUAUGAUAGCCGACGGGCCUUCCCCACGCGUAAGUGGGUCUCCGCCUAGCCUCUCCCAGAUGCUCCUUGCAGCUCUUCACUUGGUAGAGCUUUGGCAAAACGCCAAGGGCCUCUCCUCCCUCUCAAAAGCACCGGCUGCCACUCCACAAACGCGGUUGGAGGGUCUUGAGAGACUUACAAGCUUCGGAUUUACAACUCUUGGUGCGCGCAAGCACCGAUACAAAGGAGGUGUGCAAACUUGGCCUAACUCUAGGCUAAACCCUAAAUCAAUGCGCUAAUAGGUCUAAACUAGCACUAACCAAGACCUAAGCCUUACAAUAAUUGUCUUAAUUUUCUCUUUAGCACUUUGGUAUAGAGCACUUGUGUUCAUGUGAGAACCAAGCCUAUAGUUUCUCCAAGCUCUAACAUACCUCAAAUGGCCGAGCAAUGGGGUAUAUAUAGCCCCAACUCCAAGAACUAGCCGUUACAUAGCCAUUGUAACUUUCUGUGUAUCACCGCCUCAUUUGCUACCCUUGUCACUGUAGCCACCAUAUGAAUCGGUGAGGUCCAAUUAUACUCCAAAACUUCUAGAGCCGAUUUAUAGCCGGUUUGAGUCGAGCCGACGAUCACCGACUUAUUCAGUGACGGUUACUGUUACCAGAGUAUGAAUAGGCGGUAACAAUGCACGCGCCUACCUUUGCCCUGCCUGUGGUCACCGACUGAAUCGGUGACGGUUACUGUUCCUAGAGUAUGAAUCGGUGGUAACAGUGCAUGCCCUACCUUGACCCUGCCUAUGGUCACCAACUGAAUUGGUGAUGGUUACUGUUACCAUAGUAUGAAUCGGUAGUAACAGUGCACGCGCAUACCUUGGCCCUGCCUGUGGUCACCGACUGAAUCGGUGAUGGUUACUGUUACCAGAGUAUGAAUCGGUGGAAUAUGUCGAUGCAUAUUUGUAGCAGGAUUCGCUUCAAAUCUUCGCGUGUCUUUGUCCAUUCUUCAUUAUCAUCAUUUGUAAGCCUUAGAAUAAGACUAAAACUAGAUUUUUACUAUCAUUUGGAUGCCAUAAAUUUCUUCUAAGUCUUUCUUUUUCUUCUCAUUUUGAUGGUUUUGUAAUUCAUCCUUGGGACUUAUAAAACAUAUGUCAGGCAUACAUCCAUGGGUCCACCAGAAGGUUAGUAUGAAUCCACAUGUGGAGAAGUACACCGAGAUGUAUCAAGACAUGGAGACUACGGUACGGGGGUGGCGUGGUCUAUAUGGAAGUCCAAGGGACUGGUCGAGGAUAAGGAAACUACUCUUCCUAGUUGAAGUAGUAAUCGGUAGUCAGAUCCGACUAGUACUCUUGUAAAACAACUACCCUGUAACCCUGGUCCCCCAAUAUAUAAGGGCAGGCAGGGACCCCCCUCAAGAGAAGUUCAAUCCAAUACAAGCAAACACCAUACAGGACAUAGGUAUUACGCAAUCUAGCAGCCCGAACCUGUCUAAAUCGCGUGCCUAGGUACUCCAUCGAGCUCCUAAUUUCGACGACACCCACCAACCAAAACUCUACCUCGGGUAAUCCCUUAGUAGGUUGCCGGGUUUAAACACCGACAACGUACAUCUUGCAAACACAUUAGUCCCAAUGACUAUAUUGUCAUCAAUCACCAAAAUCAUAAUGGGCUAGAGCCAUUUUCCUUACAACACUAAAUAGUGACAAAAUAGUAUUGAAAGAAUUUUAAAAGAAUGGUCUCAUCGAUACAAACUCGUGAGCGCAUGAGUCACUUAAAUCGGAAUCACGAGUAAAAACUAAAAAGUACUAAUAGUUUUACUAACCAAGAAAUAAAAUGUAAAAUAUAACAUUUCUAGAAUUAUUUUUAUACUGGAAAAUGGUAUUAAUGACAUCAACAUGGGUGGUUUAUGACAUCAGCAAAGAUUUAUGGAAAAGUUUAGUAUAUUUAUUGGAAUUUUGGUAAGUUUAUCUGGUAAUGAUGUCAGCAUAACGUCAGCAUGAACUUUGAUGUAAAUAAAGUAUUUAGAAUCGGUUUUAUUGCAAGUUUUACAAGAUACGAAGAACGGUUGACUAAUUAAUUACUAGGUUUCUCACGGGCUAGAAUGUAAGAUAGCCUGGCCAAAUAUGUUGACUUCAGUCAAGGAUCAAUCUCGGUUCUAGGAUCUGGUUUGGGCGACUGGAUUUUAAAAAACAAGGGGGGAUGGUGGGAUUUAAUCAGGGCCGUGCACGCGGGGUGAUGGACGACAAUGAUGCGCCGCCAGUUUAUGGUCACUGGUGCCGCCUGGAAUUGAAGCACCAGUUCAUUGGACUAGCUCGAUGCUAGCGCUACGGUGCAUGGGAAACGACAGGGAGUAGCACAAUAGGGAGAGGAGCGAAUGGCGAGCUCACCAUGGGUCGGAGAUUGGGUAGAGGCACGGCGUAGAUGUCGUGUAGCGGAUGGAGGUGGAGCGGUUUGGUGGCAUGGGGUGACGACGUGCCUGUGGCCUCGAGUGGCAGACGUCGAGUAGCGAGGUGUUCCUAUGAUAGCAUGGAAAGGAUGAAGGGUGAGAUCCGGACAUCGCACGGUGAAUUACGGUGGCGGAGCCUUCAUCUUACCCGAGGCGGAUGGAAUGGAUUCAGCGGGCGGGUGCGAGAGGCGAGCGUGGCGGCGUGGGUUGGCAAAAAGGGAGGUCGAGGAGGCUCGCAUGGUUUUAUAGGGAGGAAGUGCUAAAAAUAUAGUCUAAAAAUUUAUUUUUGGACCUUGCCAAAAAUUAUUGGGCGACAAUUCCAAGAAAGCUGGUUCCAAAACAAAUCAAAUUGCUACCACACCAUAUUGUUGUGGGCCCCUACUAUUGUUUUUUUUUCACGUCAAUAGAAUGCCGCUUCUUUCUUUCUUUUUUCUUCUCACCACGUUGUUGCCAAGCAAGACCGUCAUGGCCAUUGCUUAGCGCGGUGGACAAAAGCAAGCCGGCCAAAGAAAUUUGGGGGGCGAAUUCUUGAUCUGGACAUCUUUAACCGAGCUUUGAGACUGAGGUGGCUCUAGCUGGAGUGGAUUGACCCAGAUAAACCUCGGGUUGGCUCUGAGGUACCCUGUAUUGCGGUGGAUCGGCAACUGUUCAGGGUAAGCACUGUGGUUACAACUAGGGAUGGAAACGAGGUUUCGUUUUGGCAGUCAUCUUGGUUGAGAGGUCGUGCGCCGAUGGACAUUGCACCUAGACUAUAUAAGUUGGCCUGGCCUGGCGUAAGAACAUGGAGGUGAGGGAGGAGUUACCAAAUCAUUAUUGGACGAGAGGUUUAUGGUGCAUGAACACAGUUGAGGAGAUGGUGGAAUUUGUUGUCCUGUAGGAUAUGGUUCAGGAUGUGGUUUUCUUUGGUAGGCCAGAUGAAAUUUUGUUUGGCGCUGGACUGCUGUGGAGCUUCUCUCUCCUGCUCAGCAUACAUGGCACAGUUAUCUGAUUCAUACAGUACAUUUAGUGGAAGUUCACAAAUUCUUUGCAUGGCUGCUGGUGCAAAGUAAGAUAUACUUACUGCUGACAAGCUGGUCGUAAGAAAUUGGCCCUGCAACACAACUUGCUGUUUAUGUGAUCAGGAAGAAGAGACAGCACAGCGCACCUUUGCCUGCAUUAUGUGUUCACGCGUGAGAUUUGGGUGCACAUGAACUCCUGGUGCUGGAGUAUGGAAUGUCGAUCGAGGAUUGGUGGCAGCGAUCUCUCAGCCCAUACUCAAAGAUUCAGAGAAGGAAUGUAGCAGCUCUGCUCAUGUACACUUCUUGGAAAAUAUGGAAGUAAAGAAACCGGCGCACCUUUGAUGGAAGAAUGGUGAAUGCAAUGCAGGUGUUCUGGUUCAUCGAAGAAGAGAUCGCUGUGAGACAGCAAGCUGUCGGAGGGCCAACUGUAUCAUAGGAGUAGUUUUUAGUUACUUUCUGUUAGUUUAUUUUCAGCUGAUGAGAGUGUUCAAUCAUUUAUGUAAUAAGCCCCAUAUAAGACAUGUUAUGCUUCCUCUUCUAAAAUUAAUCGGCUAUACGUACUAGACUACUCUCGAGUGCCGUAUAGAUUUCGCGUAUACAAUGAUACUACAUAUAGCAUACUAAACCCUCCUAUUUAGCACAUCUCUUUCGGGAUAUGUAAUUCGUCUUGUCCACUAAACUGUGAAUACGGCACGGUGAAGGUGGAGAUUGCACAUCCAUUACUGCCGCGUUGCACCAGAGCCAGUGGAAUACUGGAGAGCUGUACGAUACGUUACGGCGCCCCUUAGACUCCACGUACAUGUGCGUCAUCUCGAUCUGUAGCUUAGGGUCUCCGUGUGAUUUCUGCCCUGCCAUGCGGCGUUGAACUUCACCUGUCAACCCGAUCAGCUCGCUGCGCGACGUGGACGCCUUCACCGACGCGUUCGACAUCUUCUCCAAGCAGGUGUCAGGGAAGUAGGCCGUAAUCCAUACAGGCAUAUCCUUGUUUUCCAGUGCCGGCCGGUUCGUGACGCGAGCGGUGAGGUUGAAGGUUGGUGGCGGCGGCGGCGGCGGCGGGGCCGUCGAGUCUUGCGGGCUGAUCAGGAAACCUGAUGCCUCGACGCCGGUGAUCUCCGCCUGGUAGUAUCCGAGUGCAUCUUCCGCCGUCCAGUAGGCGAAGCCGUAUGCUGCGUGGCAACAGAGCAGCAACCCGAGCAGAACGAUGCCAAUCAGCGCGAACCCCAGCAGAAUUGCUACGAAGUCCAGCACGCGUUUGCCUAUCUCGUCUCGUAAGCAGCGUCCAAACCCAGCCGCCGCCUGACGCGCAGGGGAUGUUCGUUGGCUCGGCGAGCCAGGGACGGCGUGGAGCGUUGAGCCAGUAGAGGCUCCAUACUAACACAUCUUACAUUUUGGAACAUGAGAGUACUUUAUGAUGUUCCCUGCUUAAAUGGGAAAGAAACUUUUUUUUUUGCGUUACAUGUGAAGCAACACUGCUAUUCUGUUAUGUGAUGGCAAAGAUAUUUCAGUGACAAAAUUGUGAAGGAAGGCAAUGUUGCUAUGAGGGCCCAAACCUGGCCGGCCGGUAGCUCACGAUCACAUCGAUGCUCACUCUCUAAUCUCUGUUCUUGGCCGUAUAUAAAUAGAGACUGGAUUCUUUCUAAUUAUGUGUGUAUAUGUGCGUUUGGUUGCAGAUCAAGAUGGAAUAGUGUGCCACACAACACAACUAAUCGGAGUGAGAUACCGGAGGAAACUAAAUAGUUCGAUGGAGAUGCAUGCUGCCGCUGGCCACACUACCCUUGUUCGCUCAUCUUGUUAACCACAGCACAAAUGUGAGCUAGGCCUGCAUGAUAUUAUACUAAGAGAGCGACUGCUCGUUUCCCCCUUUGUGUAGAUUGGCAGGUUAAUGCUUGCUACUGCUAGAGUCAUUGUGUUAUCUCUAGAUGUCUGGUUGUACAUGGAAGAGACAGCGGGCCAAGGAGUAGAGACGCUUGCUUAUCGCAUCCUUUCUGGCAUGGCUUGCACAUGAUCCAGGGCCAGGAUCCGGUGUCGACAAGGACGGAGUGUAUACAGACAGGUGUUACGUAUGUAGCUAAAGUAGACCCAUGGAGCACUAUUGGCGAUGAUCUCCCUGGAAACGUUCACUUCAUCCAAGGGAUCCGAGAUGCUACUGGCGAGAUGAAUGGAACGUGACAGCAGUCCAGCACCGACGGGCGCGCGCGGCGCGACGGAGAAGUGCAAGGCAUAAUAUAGCAUAAUGUAUCACUCUGAAUUCUCCCACUUGUUUGAAGAACAGAAGAUGAGCACCGAGAUUAUACAGAAAAGAAAAUAGAAGAGUUUUUUUAUAAAUGGGGAGAGCUGCCCGAUUAUAUUAAAAAAAGAAGGAGUUGCAAACCGUAUGAAAAGAUAGUAUGAAAAGGAAAGAAAAACAAAACAGACUCGUCUGGUUGGAUUGAGAUAUCAACGCGAGUAGUCACUCAACUCAAAACUGCCAUACUCGACCGGUUAGAUUGGGACAUCAACGUGACCUCACCACUCCACUCACCACGACGGCACCCACCAACAACCACGCUCAUGUAUUCGCCGAAACCUCCGGGCGUGACCCUGCGUGACAGGAUUGAUAGAAAUAGACUGCACCGCACCGAGAAGGCCACCGCCAUGCGGGACCCUCCGUUGUAGUGCCGCUGCAACGCCACACUCCACCUGACAGAGUGAUGCCACCGAAUCCAGACCUCUCGCAGGCUGCCUCACAGUCGCCACUGCGAUAACAUAACGCGUGGGGGCCUCUCCAUAUCCAUUGUUGGACUCCAUCUCACUCCCAUCGCCUCUAAGAAACACCACGCGCAGGGCCUUGCCACGCCCACCACAGUACUCCACAUCGCGGAUUCGUUUCUUUUAUCGCUGUCAGAGUGGUGAGCAAUGUUGCCCGCUCCACAAUAUUUGCGUCGAUCAGCCAAACCGCCACCGUAGGUCGACUUCGCCUCGUUGCUUCACCCGCGCAAAAGCAUCCACCACCAUGUCAGUAAGCCAGAGAAGUCACUUGCGCUGUCUUCCGACGAUGUACCGUACCGGGUAGCCCAGCCAAGCUGAGCAACCCGCCGCGGUCCGCUACAAGCUUAGUUGUCCCACGAUGCCGUUGCCGCAAGCGCCGUUCUCCGACGCAGUCCCAUGCCGCACUGACCGUUGCCAAGCAACACCAGCCGCGCGGCCCGCUGCAAGCGACCAAGACCGACAAUCAUGCGACAACCCCUAGCCGCCACCAUAACUGCGAUCGCCUCCACGUGGCCUCAGCAACAUCCGUCCAGCUUGCCACGCGGCGAAAUUAUCGCCACCGGCUGCGGCCGUCCAUGACUAAUGGGCCAGCAAUGCCACAGAUAGAUAUGGAUCUCUAGAGACGACGCCUUCAAGGAGGGUACGAUGUCAAUGGUGCCGCCGUCGUAGAAUUGGAUAAAAUUUUCACUCAAAGGACCCCGUGCAGCAAGGUUGUAGCUCAGGCAUGAUGCCCUCAACGCGAAGAACGACGUCCUAUGGCAUACUCGAUGUUCGCCAACGAGCCACAGAAUCCCCAUGUGAUUACACGCAAAAUAGUGUAAGCAGUUCUCUUUCUUUCAGUAGAGUAAGCAGAGUGCGAAAUUUCUUAGCGAUUAUUCUCGCGUGUGAUGCAGCAAGCCCAAUCGGCUUAGUGAAACUUCUACCGUCUCGGCGCCGGCCUUCAACCUCACCAUCCACGAUUCCACGCCCAUAGCAAGCAGCACCUCCGGCGAAUCUGCUGGGGCGACAUGACCUUAAUCGUGUACUACAACGAGACGAUGGAGCACGCUGCUUGCAUUCUGCGUGGACAGGUGGUCGGCCGUCGACCUGAACGUGACCCUGCAUGUUUCUGGGCCUGUUCGCUUCAGCUUAUUCAGCCGGCUUAUCAGCCACCAAACAGUGUUUUUCUCUCACAACAAAUCAGCCGUUUCAACUUUUCAGCUGGCUUAUAAGCUGAAGCGAACAGGCCAGACGCUGCGCGAGAAGAUGGAGCGCGACCGACAGGGUUCUUCAUCUCGUCCAGCAAGAAUUUCGUGUUCGGAUCCAUGGCACCGAGUUUCUUUUGGAAUGAGGUAAAGUGGUGGUGGGAAUCCAGCACGGGUUCCAGGAUCUAGUCUAUCAUACGAGAUUUGAAGCAGCAGGCUUUAGAAUUCGAAGGAAUCGGGGAACAGAGGACAGCGAAAACUGGAGAAGAACAGAGGUGACAGGCUUAGGAGGCUCUCUCAAGUCUCAACUCACCCCCAUACUCAUUAGUCGUUACAUAGUGGGCUGGGCCCAUUGUGAGCCGGACACACGGACAUUGGGCUUCAUGGGCCGUUGGCUGACAGAUCAUCAUGUUCAAUUCUUCACAAUUCAGUUCCACUGCCGCUUCAUUCUCUGUUUCUCUUCAGGAUGCAAACAGAUAGCAGGGCUGCCAGACAGUGUCCCACUCUACGCAUGGGAUGGCAUAUAGUGAUGUGGAAGAAGACAAAGGCAGAUAUGUAUUGAAUUGUCACUUGAGAUAUGCAUAUAUUUUCCGGUCAUAGAAAAAUGAUGAUGCAUUCUAUGGCUAUUGUACAUGAGGAAACAUUAAUAGGCAAUGCAUCUUGCUGUAAAACUAGUAGCUGUACAAUGCUCAAAGUUGCCCACAGUGCACGCUUUGCCGCAACAAAUAUUUGACAAAUUGACUCGUGAGCAUGAAUCUGUUCAAACUUUGUACUCAUCCAUUCCAAAUUGUAAAUCAUUCCAAAAAUCUUGAAGAGUCAAAGUAUCUCAAGUUUGACCAAAUUUAUAUGAUAAUAUAAUAACAUUAAUGAUGUCAUCUAAAUAUCAUUAGAUUCUUCAUCAAUUAUAUUUUCAUGGUAUACCUAUUUGAUGUCAUAAAUCUUUAAAAUUUUCUCUAUAAUUUUGGUCAAACUUGAGAUGCUUUAACUCUCUAAGAUUCUUGGAAUGACUUACAAUUUGGGAUGGAGGGAGUAAGUUGUAACCUUGAUUCCUGAUAUGUGUUGUUGAUCAAGCAUCUUCGUCACCGUCUCCUCCAGCUUUGUUCCCGGUUUGCCGCCGGCCAGCGCCCCAACGACCGAGCAGCCCUCGGUAGUCGACGUCUCGGAGGCGCAGCAGCAAGUACAAAACAAUUCCCGAGAUGAACCCCAGUGCGGCGCUCGAGCCCGUGAGCGACACGCCGGCGCAGAUGAGCAUGACGAAGGACUCCUCCUUCGUGCCCAUGUCGCGCGACGCCAUGGCGAGCUCGACCCCAGAGAAGAGCAGCAUGACGCCCAGUAUCCCGAUGGGGAACUGCCCGAGGAUCGUCACGAACGAGUUGCCGAACACGAGGCCGAGCGCCAGCUUGCCGAUGGCCAGGAACACCACGGACGCUCCGCUCCGGCCGCCGAAACGGUACUGCCCCGCCAGUCCGCCCGCGCCGUGGCAGCACGGCAUGGCGCCGAACCAGCAGCCGACGAAGUUCAUGAGGCCGACGCUCACCGACACCCUCGCCGGGGAGAGCUCGGCCCGUUCGGGGAACAGGUCCGACGAGAGCUUGCACACGGCGAUCACCGAGUUCAGCACGGACAGCGGGAGCUGCGGCACCGCGCCUUCCCAGAACCCGAUCUUGAAAUCGUCCCAGGUGAUCUUGACGAUCCGCAGCGGCGCCGGCCCAAAACGAAGGCCCUGCACAAUCGACGGGUCACGCACGAAGCAGAGCAGCAGGCCGAGCGCGAACACGAUGAGCGCCGCCGGGACGCGGCUGCAGGAGCGGCGGCGGCGAAUCGUGCCGUCGCUGGAGACUUCCUCGUCGUCGCCGGAGCCGGUGGCGAGGAUGAUGAACAGCAGCGCCGCGAGCGCGAGGACCAGGCCGUCGAGGCCGAGGAGCGGGCGCGCCACGGCGGUGGAGGCAGAGGACGAGUGGGAGAAGUCCUGGACGUAGCGUAUGUACUUGACGGCGGUGAAGGCGAAGGAGAGCCCCUGCGAGAGCUGGAUGCCGCGCACGACGGGGAGCGGGAGGAGGCGGUAGAGGCAGGUCAUGAGGCCCGUAGCGCCGAGGAAGAGCAGGACGGCGGCGACCGACAGCCCCGCGGACAUGAUCUGCGGGAUGGUGAGGUGCGCCGAGGAGAGCGCAACAGCGGCGAUGGACUUCAUGGGCUGCACGGGCAUCGGGAUGCCGAAGAGCAGGCCCGUGGAGAAGUUGUAGAGCGCGGUGAAGAUGAGCGUGGUGCCGAGGUCGAGGUGCGACGCCAGCGACAGCGCGAGCACGAUGGGGAUGUAGGUGCCCAGGUCGCCCACCGCGCCGCCCAGCUCGGACCAGACGGAGGUCUUGAGAUGGACGGAGGAGGGGAGGAACCCGAGGCGGCGUCCGCUGCCCUCGGGGGGGAGGAGCGGGUCGCCGGCGGCGGACGCCAUGGGGGUGGGCGAGCGGCAACGACUUUCUCUGGAUGUUUUCUGGUGGAUUUGGGCUUACCUUGCACGUUUCUGACGGGAGAUGUCCCGGUGGCUCCACUGAGCUGAUAAAUAUAUGCGCGGGUGCUGUUUCCAUCGAGAAUUUAACACGAAGAUGCGAUCUAUAUGCUUUUUUUCAUACGAGGGUUUAAAUUUUAGCAUAUUUAUAUCGGAUGUUCGGAUGCUAAUUAGGAGUAUUAAACAUAGUCUAAUUACAAAAAUAAUUGCACAGAUGGAGUCUAAGGGGCGUUUGCUUCCACUGACUUAUUUUUAGCACGUGUCACAUCGAAUGUUUAGAUACUAAUUAGGAGUAUUAAACGUAGACUAUUUAGAAAACCCAUUACAUAAGUGGAGGCUAAACGGCGAGACGAAUCUAUUAAGCCUAAUUAAUCCAUCAUUAGCAAAUGUUUACUGUAGCAACACAUUGUCAAAUGAUAGACUAAUUAGGCUUAAUAGAUUCGUCUCGCCGUUUAGCCUCCACUUAUGUAAUGGGUUUUGUAAAUAGUCUACGUUUAAUACUCCUAAUUAGUAUCUAAACAUUCGAUGUGACGGAUGCUAAAAAUAAGUCAGUGGAAGCAAACGGGCCCUAAUUCGCGAGACGAAUCUAUUAAGGCUAAUUAAUCCAUCAUUAGCAAAUGAUUAUUGUAGCACCACAUUGUCAAAUCAUGAGCUAAUUAGGCUUAAUAGAUUCGCCUCGCGAAUUAGACUCUAUCUGUGCAAUUAGUUUUAUAAUUAGACUAUGUUUAAUACUCCUAAUUAGUAUCAAACAUCCAAUGUAACAGGUGCUAAAGUUUAACACAAACACCCCUUUAAUAUCAUGAUGGUGAUGUGCUUGGCACUACGGAGUAGUAUGUUAAAUAAUUGGAGCUUUCAUUCUGUUUUUAGAAUGUAGUCCGAAUUGGUUCAUGUAUGGGAUUUCAGUUGAACUCUUGAAGGGUGAAGGAUAGAUAGUUAUACUUAAAAAAGAUGAAAGCCAGAAUCAUCAAGAUCAUAUUAGCUGUUUGUUUUGAAAGUAUUUUCAUUGCCAUUAACACAUAUCUUAAGCCAUUUCCAGUCCUUGGUGUUUGAUUUGAAAUGUACAAUCCUUAAUUUUGAUGCAGUGUUCAACAGACUAGAAACAAUUUUAUGAGAACCUUUUCUGAAAUGCACGAUCCCUAUUUUUUAUGUGCAUUUCCAAAUUUGAAUUCUUUUGUGUUAUUUUAAGUAACUUUUGGGACGGUGCAAUAUUUUCUGUUGGGAGUCUAUUUAGCUGUCGACAGAUUUUUAGAGUAAAAUCUGUCAAAUUUUAUUAUGUUGCAAUGUUAUUUUCUAAUAUGAUUGAAACAUGAAGUACUAUGCAACAUGCCAGAACAUAGUAAAUAGCAUAUGUAACAUUAGGAAAAUCUGCCACAUUUCCUCCCCUGAAAUCACGAAAUAUUUUAAAAUAUUAAAGAAUAAUGUUUGCAAUAUCAGAUUUGAAUGUCAGAAAAUUCGACAGAUUUUCUUCUAAAAAUCUGCUUCCGGACCCAUGGUGAACAACUGAAGUUGCGCCCAACUGUAUAUCCUGUGACAUCGAAUUCUGUUUCGUCCGGAGGGGCGGACCAUCUGCCAUCGUCGUUGGACAACACUGGCUGCAACGUGGACGUGUCAAGUGGCUUUUCAAGCGACGAGGGGAGAGGGUCAUCUGAUAUUUUCCCAUCCGGGCCCAUCCUGAGCUUGCGUAGUCGCUCGGACACCCACGUGUUGGGUGACAACGUGACUUGCGUGGUCGCACGAUGGACCUUUUAGAAAAUGAUUGAGACACUAGUGAGGCUGAAACCUUUUUUACAAGCUGUCACCCCAAACUCACCUCAGUCCAUCCUCUCUUUCCUUGAUAGUUUGAGCAGCGGUAUCCGUCUUUAGCGUCGAAUUCCCUUGCCCCGUAUGUAAACGACCGUAUGACGGAAUUUAUUCACCGGAUUUAUCAAUCGGAUUCCUCUCUGCAACCUGCAUAUAGGUAAGUAAUUUCUCCAAAAGUUUCUUUUAAAAACCGAUCCUCCAAAAGCUUUGAUACAUUAGCCUCCAGAGACCGGGACUGCCUGGCUGCCACCUUCACUGCGGUGCGGGCCAGGAUUUUGUUGACUGUUUGACAUCGCGUCCAAAUCCCGACCGCUAACCGCGCGCACCAACCGUUGAUCCUCCCGAAAACCCAACACGCCCGAUGCGGCCAUGCCGCGCUACCUCUACUUCCGCCCCGCCGCAGGCCAUGCCCGCCCCCACCGCCACCCCCUCCUCGCCCACCUCGACGCCUGCGCCUCGCGGGCCCACCUCGCGGAGCUCCACGGCCGCCUCAUCCGCGCCCACCUCGCCCCGGACCCCGCCGUGGCCGGCCGGCUCGUCGCCCUCCUCGCGUCCCCGGCCCCGGGCCACGACAUGCGCUGCGCGCGCAGGGUGUUCGACGGGAUGUCCCGGCCGAACGCGCCCGCGUGGAACUCCAUGAUCAGAGGGUACACCAGCCGCGGCGCGCCUGGGGACGCGCUGGCGACGUUAAGGAACAUGGUUCGGAGGGGCGUCGUGCCUGACAGCUACACCAUGGCCGCGGCCGUGACCGCGAGUGCUGCUGGUGAUGGCUGGAAGUGGGAGUGGCGGGCGACCGGGGACGCGGUCCAUGCGAUGGUCCGGAAGAUUGGGUGCGCGGCGGACCUGUACGUCAUGUCAGGCCUGGUUAAUCUAUACGGCACUUUUAGAAGUGCUGAGGAUGCAAGGAAGGUUUUUGAGGAAAUGCGGGAGAGGGAUGUGGUGUCUUGGACGUCCAUGAUCUCAGCUUUUGCACAGCGUGGCAUGUGGGAUGAUGCGUUGAGGUUUCUAUCUGAGAUGCAGGCAGACGGGAUUUUUCCUAACAAAGUCACGAUUAUAAGCUUGUUGUCUGCUUGUGGGCAUGGGCAGGCUGUUGACAGAGGCCGGUGGGUGUAUGAUCAGCUUAGUGAAUAUGGAAUUGAGGCUGAUGUGGAUAUAGGAAAUGCACUCAUAAGCAUGUAUAUGAAAUGCGGGUGCAUGUCUGAUGCUUUGGAAGCAUUUAAGGUCAUGCCUUCAAGAAAUACUAAAUCAUGGAACACCCUGAUCGAUGGGUUUGUGCAAAAUCAGAAGCAUAAAGAAGCACUGACAAUGUUUGAGGAGAUGUUAUCGAAUGACUUUAAUCCUGAUGCCGUAACACUUGUUAGUGUUUUAUCAGCCUGCACUCAGCUUGGUGAUCUUCAGCAAGGGAGGAAUCUCCACAGUUACAUAAAAAGUCGUAGGAUUAGUUGUGACACCAUCCUUACGAAUUCUUUGAUUAACAUGUAUGCCAAAUGUGGCGAUAUGGUAGCAGCAGAAGUGGUUUUCCAGGCUAUGAAACAGAGGGAUGUUGUUUCAUGGACAACUAUGGUUUGCGGUUAUGUGCAGGGACGGCAAUUUACAGCGGCAUUCAUCUUUUUUGAAGAGAUGAAGGCUGCAGGAAUUGUAGCAAGUGAAAUGGCACUGGUUAGUCUACUUUCUGCUUGUUCACAGCUUGGGGCACUUGAUAAAGGAAGGGAGAUACACGCUUAUAUAGAAGAAAAGAACAUCAAAAGAGAUGUAUUCCUAGAAAGUGCCCUGGUGGAUAUGUAUGCAAAAUGCGGCUGCAUCAACAUGGCUGCUGAAAUAUUUAGCAAAAUGCAGUAUAAGCAAACCCUCACAUGGAAUUCUAUGAUCGGAGGCCUUGCAAGCAAUGGACAUGGGAAAGAAGCAGUCCAGCUCUUUGACCAAAUGCUAAAGUUUGGAGAUCCCAAACCUGAUGGUAUUACUUUCAAGACAGUCCUUGGUGCCUGUGCUCAUGUGGGAAUGGUUAGUGAGGGACUCCGUUACUUCCAUUCCAUGUCGACCUCUGGUAUUGCCCCUGAUAUUGAGCACUAUGGUUGCAUAGUUGACCUCCUAAGCAGAGCUGGGCUACUAGAAGAAGCAUUUGAGUUCAUCAUGAAGAUGCCAAUGGAGCCUAAUCCUGUAAUUUGGGGAUCACUUCUUUCAGCUUGUAGAUUUCAUCAGAAAAUAGAUUUAGUGAGGAGAGUCGGGCAACACAUAAUUAAGUUAGCUCCUAAUGAUGUGGGAACACAUGUGCUGAUUGCAAACUUACAUGCUGAAGGUGGUCAGUGGGAUGAUGUGCAGCAAAUAAGAGAGCAGAUGGGAAAGAGGGGCAUAGAGAAGUCACCUGGUCAUAGCUCCAUCCAAGUCUAAAUCUUCUUGAUGUAGUUUAACGUGAUACGUGAUCUGCCUAUAGUACACGAGGCUGACAGGAGCAAUGCCAACGAGUACAGUUUCUGUUUUUACAAGAAAUUAGGCAUCACAUGUCAAUUUCCAUUAACCUGUGUACAUGUGAUUAAUUAUUGUAUUAUUUUUGGGGUAUAAACAGUCAACACUACCUUAACCAUUUUGUGUGACGCCUCUUUUAAUAGCUAGAUACUCACACUUGGCAGUGGUGCAAGCUCAGCUAAAUUUGUCUAUGGUAGCAUUGGAUAAUGUUCAUGCACACAAUUGAAGCUGUGACAAGAACAGAAGACAUGUAAAAUAUACUCAUUUCAUAUUUCCAUAUGAAAUUUAGAACUUACCUGCUGUUCAGUUCAUAGAUUAAUCAACAUAGUUUUUUUAAUGAACUAUCUUCUCUAUGUUUGAGUUAUGCUCAUAUUAUUGAAGAAUCAUGCUUUGUAGCUAAUUCUUUGUACAUUGAUUUGCUAAGACUGUCCGAUUAUCUUGUUCCAAAUAAAUAACAAUUUGCAUUUUUCAACUAUUGCACUGUUCAUGCCGUCAACAUUCCUACAUUCUCCGAUCUUACAAGUCCAAGAGGCAAAACUGCAACCAGCCCUUCGCUGCACAUUGAAGUAAGAUAUUUACGCUUUUUUUAUAUCAAUUUCCAGUUUGUUGAUAUUGCCUAAGAAACGCAAGUCAGUAUCCAGAUUAUCCAUUUGGGGAUUGAAUUCUCAGUUUUCAUAUGGCUGGAAAAGACAGUUCUUCUCUUUUAGAGGGAGAAUGAAGACAGGUAACUCUCAGAAGGCUGACAUUAAAGGCCAAGCUCCAUCAAAAGGUAUGCGCAAAUUAACCUCACAUCUUUUCUGCAAGAUAUUAACUGUUUAAUAGUGAAGAAAUUAAAAAUAAAUGAACCCCACUAAUCAUGCAUACUGAACAAAUGACACAUUGAGGUUUUUUUUUCUCGAACUACGCAGGAGAGCUGCGUGUCAUUUCAUUAAGAAGGAAAAGCACGGAGGGACUGGUUAGAGCCGGACCCAAGUACAGGACUCACACCACACACACACACAUAACAAAAGCUCACAGGCUUGCCACAGGGAGCUUAUCACCAAAACGACCUAGCUAAACACCACAGCCUAAACAGCUCUGGAAAGCGACCAAGCAAGGAGCUCUUGAAGUUUAGAAGCUCCUGUCAUCCCCCACAGAUUACAUUCAUCAGCUACAGACCGGAGCAAAACUGGAAUGCUAGGCCUUGCUUGAUCAAACACACAAGAAUUUCUAUGUUUCCAGAUUUCCCAAGCCACCAAGAUGAUUAGGGAAUUCAACCCCUUACUCAAAUUCUUAGGAACAAGUCUAAGAGCUUUCUUCCACCAACUGGAAAAUCUGAAAUCUGUUGUGGGCACUAGAGCAGACAGAUGCAGAGACUGAAAAAUUGAGAACCAAAUCUGCCUGGAGAAGACACAGCCGACCAGAAGAUGCUGCAUAGUCUUCUCCUGGUCACAAAAAGGGCAGGCAUCCGGGUGGGGCAGGCCUCUUUUAGCUAGGCGAUCCGAUGUCCAACAAUGGUUGUUAAAUGCUAGCCAGAUAAAGAAUUUGCAGCGAAGGGGGGCCCAAUUCUUCCAAAUCCUCUUCCAAGGCGCGAAUUUGAUUGUCCCAACAAAGAAUGCAGCAUAAGCCGACUUGCUAGUGUACACUCCACAUUGGGUCAGUUUCCACCUGUACUGAUCAGGUACUUCAUGUUGCAGAACCAUGCCGUCCACUAGAUCCCAAAUCUGAAGAUACUCAAUGAGAACUUGGUCAGUUAGGCCACCUUUGAUAUCAAGGACCCAUCUCCUAUUAAUGAGAGCUUCUGCUACUGUCCUUCUUCUGACCGAUCUUUUGGGGAUUUUUUGUAUCUGGGGCUAACUUGGCAAUAGUUCUACCAUUCAGCCACCUGUCCUCCCAAAAAAGGAUUGUCUCCCCAUUAUCUACGAAUCUACUGCCAUGUUGAACAAAGCUUGAGCAUUUCGGGGAACUUGAACUUGAAAACCAGCCCAAGGCUGAGUAGGGUCAGUUUUCUGAGCCCACAGCCAACAGAUCCUCAGGGCCAAGCCCAAAGUUUCCAGAUUAUGAAUCCCCAAUCCACCAUACUCAAGUGGUCUCUGGACCCUUUCCCAAGAAACAAGGCAGUUGCCUCCAUUAGCCUGUUCUUGUCCUUUCCACAAGAAGCCCCUUCUUUUAUCCACAGCCUUGAUAACCCAUUUAGGGAGGUCCAAGACUAUCAUCAAAUAGAUAGGAGAGGCUGUCAUCACCACCCGUACCAUGACCAAGCGACCAGCCCUAUUCAUCAGAGAGGCCUUCCACCCUGGUAGGUGAUCUGCCACUUUUUAUCUAUUAAAGGCAACAACACCUCUUUCGUAGGCUUAUGGAUUGUAAGAGGCAGACCAAGGUAGGUGCAAGAGAACUCCUUGACAGCACAGGCCAACACAUCUGCAGUGAGGAGCAUCUCAGCAUCGGAACAGUGAAUGGGAGAGACUGAGCUCUUAGUGAGAUUUGUAUGCAGACCAGAAGCAUGACCAAACAAAUCAAGGAUGGUUUUGAAGACUCGCAGGUCCAUCAUAGAAGGCCGCAAGAAAACCACUGCAUCAUCCGCAUAGAAGGAAAUCUGAUGUCGGGCAUGCUGUAUAGCGAGCGGUUGCAGCAUCUGUUCUCUAGUUGCAUAUUCCACCAGAGAAUUCAGGACAUCCAUAACCAGGAUAAAUAGCAUGGGGGAGAGAGGGUCACCCUGUCGAAGCCCACGACGAUGAACAAUUGACCUACUCGGUUCACCAUUUACUAGGACUUGGGUAGAAGAGGUGGACAGGAUCAGGCAGAGAAGGUCACGCCACCGCUGUCCAAACCCCACGUCGCAGAAUCUCCAGAAGGAAGGACCAAGAAACUGAGUCGAAAGCUUUGGAGAUGUCCAACUUGAGUAAAAUAUGAGCCUCUUUUUUCCUGUGCAAGGACUUCACUAUUUGCUGGACAAGGAGAAAAUUGUCGUGAAUGUUUCUUUCCCUAACAAAAGCACUUUGAUUUGUGGCGACCAAUGAGGGCAGCUGAGGUGCCAGUCGGUUUGCCAUCACUUUUGUCAACAAUUUGACACUGUGAAUCAAGCUUAUAGGCCGGAAGUCCUUGACUUGGGUGGCAUCCAAUUUCUUGGGGAGGAGGGAAAUGAAGGAAGUAUUGAGUAAUCUGAAUUUGAACACACGUCCCUGAUGAAUGGCUGCAAAAGCCUGCAGUAGGUCCCCUUUGAUAAUGCUCCAACAAGACUUAUAAAAACGGCCUGUAAAACCAUCCGGCCCCAGGGCCUUAUCCAAUGGCAUAUCUUUGAUUAUUUCCCAGACUUCUUCCUCACUAAAAGGAGCAUCCAGGGAAGAUAGAUCAUGCUGUUGGACACCUAUUUCAGCAAGAUCAAUUGUGUAGUCUCGUUCCUCUGCUGUCCCCAGAACAUUCUCGAAAAAUUCCAGCACUGCCUCCUGUUUUUCCUCCCGUGUUACAGCUAACUGAUCACCAACUUGUAAUUUUGCAAUGAAGUUCUUCUUUCUAUAUCUUGCCUGUUGAUGGAAAAAGGAAGUGUUUGUGUCUCCUUCACGGAGAUAGAGGAUUCUUGAGCGCAGCCGGGUGAUGGUUCGCUCAAAGGAAGCCAAACCGAGGCAAUGAAGCUUAAGCUUUUUCCUCAGCCACUCUUCACUUGAAGAGAGCUCCUGAGAGUCCCUUGCAAUUUCUAGCUGGUGCAGAAUCUCUUUUGCCAUUUCUAUCUGAAGCUUGAUAUUUCCAAUCUUUCUUUGGCCCCAUUUUUGUAAACCCCUACUGAGGCGUUGCAAUUUGAGAAAAAGCCGCUCAACUGCACAGUUAGAUUGCACCGGAGCAUCCCAAACAGCCUGAAAGAAACCGGGCACCUUGGUCCAGAAGCUCUCAAAAUGAAAGCGCCAUUUUCCACUCUUUUGGAUUUUCAACCCAAGAAUGAGAGGGCAGUGGUCAGAAACUGUGGAUGCUGCACUUUGCAAAACUGAAUCAGGAAAGAUACCUUCCCAUCCCAAGCAACAAAAAGCCCGAUCCAACCUGACAAGUGUGGGAGAUGUACGCUCAUUCAACCAAGUGUAUUUGCGUCCCAAAAGGGGGAUUUCUUUGACCUCAACAUCAUCCAAAAAGCGCCAGAAUCUACCCAUCAUUGCUCUGUCAAGAUUGGCAUUCUUCUUAUCAGCUGCCUGGUAAAUCAGAUUAAAAUCUCCUGCCACUAACCAUGGCCCAUUGCACAUUCCCCGAACAUUCCGAAGCUCCUGCAGGAAUAGAACUUUCUCCUCAUCUUCCUGUGGCCCAUGCACGCCAGUAAACCACCAAUUUCAGCCUUCUUGCUCUGAAAAAAGAACCAAGACUGAAUAUGUCUCGACCUGAGUAGCAAUUGCUUGACAACUGCUACUCUUCCAAGCAAUCAGAACACCAAGAGCCAUUUCGAAUUUUCCCCAAAACCUUUGGAAUUUCCAAACCCAUGGACACGACAGAGUACAAGUUUAACAUUUGCAACAGCUCCGGAACAAUUACACUAAGAUAUGUACUAUUCUUUUUUUGUUAUGUCAAAACUGUAUCAUGUGAUUCUGAAUGACAGGCCAGACUGCUCAUCUACCGUGGUGGAUCACAGAUUCCACUAUUCCAGGCAAACCGAUCCUAGAAAAGAGUCCCAAUUUCAAAUCCACACGGGACACAUCUCAAAUCAGCUGGAGUUACCACAUGCCUUGGAUAAUGUUCAUGCACUGAAGUUGUGACAGGAAGAAAACUACUUCCAACACCUAAGGCUUGCAUACUGAAUUAUAGUUGAAGAACAGGUGCGUAACAUUUCCUCAAUUUAGUAUUUGCAUAUGGCCUGAUGGCCAUAUGUGGCUUAGAACUUCCCGGUUGUUAAGUACUUAGGCAAGGAACAAGAACAAUCAGACCUGUGAGUGUUUUCUAGUUUUUUUUUAAUUGUGUUUGAGUCAUACAUAGAUUAGUGAAGAAUCACGUUGAAUCCCUAAUCAUUAGUAGUUUUGAUUUGUUAGUUUCAUCUGUUGGAAGUAAAUAAUAGUUUUCCUUCCUUAUUUACUUCUUCCAUUCUGCAGGCUGCCCAGAACAAGUUCAAUAAUUAGGAUGCAGCCAUUAGAGACAAAGCUACAAUUAGCCCUUUGUGUACUUACACACGUGGUGUUCUUCUUCCCUCCAAGCUUCCCCUGCCGUAAGAUAGUCUCUGAAAUUUCAAUUUUGUUAUCAGUUUCCAAGUUGCUGAUACUUUGGAUAUCCCUAAGUUUCUAGUAGAAUGGAAACAGGUACUCACUUUUCAGCAUUCUUUACUGUCAUACAACAGGACUCGUAGUAAAGGCUGCUGGAAAGUGAGUAAUUGUUUCAGUUUUUCCAGGAACUUGGGAAUACUCAAACAUCAGUACAUGCCAGAAGACAAAUCUAGCAUUUGAAAAUUCUCUGGAAAUUUGUGAUCAGAAGUCAUCUGUUUUAGAUGAUGAAAUGGUCCUAGCUGAAAGACAACCAUGUACUUCAUGGUGGCCAUUCAUCUGCCAACUGCCAUGGUGGAUCUGAGGUGAAGCAGGCCCGGAAAAGUGUCGCAAGUAAACAGGUGGUGCUACUGAAUAAUGCCUGCACUGCAUGCUGCUACCGAAUCUCAGUCUAUGAGGAACACAGCGUUAGCUGCACAAUCAGCCGAUGCUACUUCUGUUCUUCACCCCAUGUAGCAGUCUGCCUCAACCCAUUGGUGCUGUGGAUAGUCACAGUAAGUUAUAUGUAUCCUUUACUUGUGAUGUGAAGAAGUUGCUCAACGAGGUUAGGAGCAAGGUACGAUCGCUAGCAAACGAGUUCUUGGCUUCUAGUUCUACUGUUCUACAUGACUAUGCUGUUAGUACCCUGAUUGCUGUUAUGAUGCCGCACAGCUCAAUUCGUUGAAUGCUCAUGUCACUAUGUCAGAGGCCUUGCCUGUUGCGUCAAUUUUAGGGCCGUUCGGUUGUUUUGCUGCUUUGCCUGGCCUUGCCUUGCCAGGCGAGCGAAUUCUUGCCGGCGCAAGCGAGCCGGAUUGGCUCUCCCGCAUUGGCAAGGUGAAACCUUGCUAGCACAGACCCCGAGAUAAACUAGCUGUUCUUCCAAACGCGCAGCCCUCGUCCCUAUCCUUGCUUAGCAAGGCUAAAUAGUACCCAGCAAUGGUUCCAAACGGCCCGAGAAUACUGUGGCAUCUUUCCAAUCUGGGCAGCGAUUGUGCAAGUCAAUUAUCGUAAUGAGAAUGACCAGUUUCCCCGGACCACAUGAAUGUCCCCAGCAUGAUGUGCGUCAGGCUUAACGCACUAUAGUCAGCAAUCUAUGUUUUCUUCGUAAAUUUGAGUAGCAAAAGUUGGGUUGAACCAUUAAGAAACAAGGAAACAAGUAGUGAUAACUUUGAACGGGAAAAAAAUUAUGGCCCAUGCAGGUCUCGAACCUGCGACCUUCGCGUUAUUAGCACGACGCUCUAACCAACUGAGCUAAUAGGCCGUUUUGAUACCUCGGAACAACAAUAAAUAUAAGUACCUUUUUAUAAUUGUAUGCACGUAGAAUCAGAAACUAUCAACGCUGCACGCCCGCUUGAGACUUGAGAGUGCUGGAUCCAACGAAUGCGAGGUCCACCGUAGCUCAGUCCUGGUCUCCUGGACCGUCUCUUGUUUGCUGCUUCGUGAUCGCCCAGCCGUGUAGGGCCAUGCCCAAAUUAUUUCCAAACCCGUCGAUGCUAAAUUUAUCCAUCCGACGCUCUCGCCGGCUCUUCUUGGCAACCCACUCCCUUCACGCCACGGUUAAACGCCCGGGCGGCGGAUACUAAUCCGGAGAGCUGGAGACUUGGAGAGGCAACAAAGCAAUCGCGCAUGUGCCGCAGAUGCCCAAAUGCGCGCUACACGGACGCGAUCGAUCGAUCCGGACCGCCCGGCCGGCGGAUCGCCUGCCCGUGCCGUGGUCCGUCCCCCCUGCUCUUGUACAUGGUCUGGUGUGUGAGGGUUUGUGUACUUGUGUCGAGUCGAUCACCGAGUAUCUCGGGUCUCUAGUUAAACGAGCAAUUUGUCAUGGACAUGCUUCGGGAUUUCAGGCCCCGGUCGCGGUCGGUACCCCCAAUUCCCCAAAUCAGAGAAACCAUGCAUGCCAUCAACUACGCGAAACAUACUGAUCUUGCGUGUGAUUUUACAAGGGAAUGUCUAUAUAUCACAUGGGUGAAAUUGAGACUCUCCUCGCUCGUUUUUUUGAGCCAUCAGAUCAUCAUCCAACGACUCACCUUCAUCUUCCACCUCCCGCCGGCUGUGCUUCUUCGCUGCCCGUCGUCCCCUCGUGCCUCUACCCGUCUAGCACGGGUGGGCAAAGGUCCUGCCAGAGCUUCGUGCGCGGCUGGAGUGCGCGGCCGCCUUCUUGCCCCUCCCGUCACCGCUUCCCGUCGUCGUCGUCCCCCCCCCCCCUCCUGCCCUAGCACCACCCAACCGCCCGCCACCACCGUCCUCGCCGGUGGCGCCCCCGCCGCCAUGCCUCACCGUCCCACGCCCGCCACCUCCGCCGGGCCGGCCUAUUGUCGCUGGCUUUCCCUCUAGGCCGCUGAUAAGCACCCACCCCGGAAACCUUGAACCCUUAAUCCUGGAAACCUCGAACCUCUAACCCUGGAAACCCCGAACCCUGACGCCCCUAAUCUCGUCGGAAUUUGGUCGGAGUCGGAGAAGGAAGGGAAAAUAGAGUGCAUAUCGGAAAAGAAAAAAUUGGAUGAGGAAGAGCUCUGUUUCACCCGGAUGAGCUACAGCCCUUCCUUUUUAGAAUGGCCACUAGGCACGGCUGGCAAGAGGGGUUUGACGCCACUUACGCGCACCGUGUGCGAUUUGCGAUCCGUGCCGGGGAGAAGCCGUGCGCGUGUGCGGCCUCGACCAUGUGCGCAGCGCCACCACUUCUCCUGCUUGGCUUGGCUGUCCUAUUGAAACAAGCCGGCCGGCCGGAUACCUCCCGCCUGCGCGCAGCCUCCCAAACGAGAGACACCGGAGGUGGUGCCGGUGCGCAUCUCCACGGAUCCCCGAUUUGUUUAACCAGCGUAGUGGUUGCGGUCGCAAGGCUACAAGCGCUACUGUACAUCCCGGAGCUUUUCGCGGAGCUGCCAGUGUGUUCCGCAUUGAGAAGAAAACCAGCUGCUGACCUCUAGUUUAUUUGUACUCGUAACAGAGCAACAACGGUCAUCGUCGAGGGAGCGGUUUGGCGUGUAGCGUGUCCACCCAUCUUGUGCUUGUGCGGAUCAAGGCCUGAACAAGAAAGAGUACUCUAAGGCGGAAUCGAUGGCGGUGAUUUGGCAGGGACAGUUUGCAUUGUUCAGAUGGCUACUACUGGUUUUAAAAUUCAAUCUGACAAAAGGGCGUGGCAGAGGGUGAGAGCGCCUGAAGUUGUGCAACGAAUUUAGUAAAGAGUGAUGCACUCACUAGUCACUAUAUACUGCAAAUGCAUACUAGUGCUUUUCUUCUUCUUUUUUUUUGAAAGAUUACUAGUGCUUUUCUGAUGGAUGAGGAUCGCGUAGAAGCAUUGGCGGUUGCUGGUGUCAGCAGCUGAGAAAUUGCCGCUGGUGCCUUGCCGUGCUCCGUGUCUCGCCAGGCCACGCAGGCAGAGACGGGACGAGGAUGCUGACGGCCAUUCGGUCUAUCCGACUAGCACAAUACGUCAAUACUACGCCAGUGUAGUUUCUAGAGUUUCUACGACUGCAAUGGCAUUUUCCAUGGACGCUUUCAGUCUCGGUGCCGUUUUAUUCAACUAUGACGGCAUCGCUAACAGAAUUUCAUGUCAUUUCAGAUUCCUCAGUCUGCCUGCCAGGCCAUUUACGAUCGAUUUUCACCGGACCGGCCCCUGCCGCGAUUUUACAGUAACCCCCGCUAUUCUUACCAAUUUACAGUAGCUGCCAUGUCCUAGCUAGCUAGCUGCUGCAGCUGAUAUUGCUCUCCUCGCUGCCGCUGCUGCCGUCCGCGUUGCUGUCACUGUGGUUGUUCUCCUCCGCCCGCCACGCGGACGCCGAGAAGAGCGGCCGCCCGUGCCACCCCAGCGUCAGGCACCCGUCGGCCUCCUCCACGCAGUGGCCCUCCCCGGAGAAGAGCCCCACCAGCAUCCUCGCCUGCCGCAGUGCGUUGGCCCCCAGCGGCACGCCGGCCAGGCCCGCGCGCCCCAGCCUGUCCCGCCACCGCCGCAGCGGCUCGUGCCGCUCCCUGCGCUCCGCGCCCUCGCCGCACACGAUGUCGCAUAUCUCGCGCUCCAGGUACGCCUCGGCCGCCGCGUCGCCCGCGCCGCCGCUCGCCGCGUCCAGGGAGUCGAACACCGCCGAGUAGUAGAAGAGCGCCUCCGUGAACCGGUCCAGGAACCCCGGCUUAUUGUGGUCCGCCUCCUGCUCCACCACCGUGAACACCCUGGGGCGCAUGGACGACACGCAGUCGAGGACGGCGUCGAUGGGCGCCCGGGCGUCGUCGGCCGCCGCGGACGGGUCGGCGACGAGGCGGUGGAGCUGGAGCACGGAGUUGACGGCGACGGCCUCGCCCUGCGACACCUGCAGCAUCCACGGGCGGAUCUCGUCGAGGCGGUUGGCGGCCACGCCGCGGAAGGAGAAGUGGACGCGCACGGAGCGCGCCAGGUCGGCGAGGCGGACGCCGACGUCGCGGAGGUCGUCGCGGCCGGGCGGGGAGGGCGGGCCAAUGCCGGUGAGGCGGAGGAACGGCGGCCCGCCGGGGCGGAGCGCCAGGGCCUGGAUCAGCGCGGGCCACUGGAGGCCCUGCAUGAGGUUGAAGUCGAUGAUGUGGACGUGCUUGCAGCCCUGGACGGCCUCCAGGAUGGCCUGGUUGGCCGUGAAGUGCGCGAACUUGAGGUAGGGCCCCGCCUCGUAGAAGUGGUGGUAGAGGAAGGCGUGGUCGGCGUCGGCGUCGGCGGCGGCGGGCUGGGGCGGAGGUGGCGACGGCGUGGGAGGGAACAGCCUCCGGGACAGCGCGGCGGUGAAGUGGACGGCGACGCGGCCGAUGCCGGAGCCCGGCGAGACGGCGGCGAGAGCGGCGUGCGCGUCGGCCAGGUGCGCGGACGCGCCCGCGUGGUCCCCGGCCUCGACGGCGCCGGCGCAGCUCAUGAGGAGGUGCACCAGGCGGAUGCCCGCGGCCUCCUCCUCCUCCCGCCGCAUCGCCGCCAGCGCCGCGGCGAAAUCGGGCAGCACCGCGGGCAUCGCCGCGUGCAUGUCCGCCGCCGCGUCCGCGUAGUACGCCACCCCGGCGGCGUCGGGCACCACGGUGGGCAGCGGCGGCAGGGAGACGUCGAGCCCCGGCUCCGCGGGCCACUGGAAGGGGAACGCGCCGCCCAUGGCCAUGGGUCGGUGGUGGGGGAGGCGGCUCGGUGGCGUGGGCGGUGACGCGGUCAGUAGAGUGACGGCGUCGCGCUUGGCGGGCGGUGAGUGAUGUGGAGGGGACUGAGGAGACGGGCGGGCGGGUCGCGGGGGGUUAAGGUGCGGGCAGGUGACGUCGGAAAGGCACGGGGAGGUCGGUUACACGUGGAGAGGCGGGCACGAGCACGGGGCGGGCGGGGACACGUAGGCCUCGGGAAGGAUUCUGAGGCCGGCGAGCGGACCGAGGCGCCGUGGGGGCGGCCUGCUCCUUCUGUCAAUUCCUGUUUCCUGAUCUUGUCUGCGGGGAUCUCAUCUCGGAGUGUGCAAUCUUGUAACCGCACCCAAAUUUUACUCGGAGUACUGUAUGAAGGCAGUAAGACUAGAGAGACUACCGCGCAACCCGUAGGAAGUUUCCUCACUGUCGCUGUACAAACCUUCCUCUCACGUCUUCAACUCGAGAAAGUAAAACAUAAGUUCCACGCACGCGUCGGAUCUUCGCACAGGAAAAUGCUUCGCACACGAUCUAUCAGUAGACCGUAGAGUUGAACACAUAAAUUUUAACGGCUCGUAUUUGUAUAAGCUUUGUGCUUUUAUGAUGGUAUAAAUAUAUAGUAAGGGAAAUUCAAGUAUUUUAUAACCCGCCAACACAUGAAUUCUUUCAUGUACGAGUACCUUGUUAAGCUAGUUUAUUUAUAGAGUGCUAGUUUAUUUGUAGAGUCAAUUUCACCUUAGAUUCUUAAACUAUUCCUGAGAUCUCAUCUAGGUUCAUGGUCUUUUAAAAUGGCCAUCUAGAUCCACAUUCUAAUAAAGAGUGAUUAUGGAGGUCCACAAAUACCCACAUAAGCGUGUUUUGCCUAUGUGGUAAUGUCAACGUGUCAUUUUUUAGAAAAUAUAUGGUAACAAAACUAGGGUAGUACAACAACGAAUAACACAUUUUUCCUCGCACAACAUAGAUUUUCAAAAUUGGAUGAUGAAAAAUCAAGUGUUGAAAGACAAUAAGGUCUUGUUUGUUUGAACUUCUUGGCAGCUUCUCAGUGUGAAAGAAUUAGAAUCUUAAACAAAACAAUGAAAUUCUCGUGCAGCUUUCAAAAAGUCAGAAGCCUAGAAAAGGCUGAGUUUUAUAUGAAAAAGUUUGGUUUUUUAGUUUUUCGUAGCAUUUUGAGUCCAGAAAACUAAACAUAUCUUCUAAAAGCUAUUGCAGGCUUUUCAUAACAAAAAACCAGCAGUAGCUUUUCAAAAAGCUUCAAAAAGCUCCAAAAGUUGCACCUCAAACAAACAGGUCCUAAAACACUGGAUAAAUCUAACGAGUGAAAUUGCAGGUUAGUUUUUAAACUCUAAGCCACUUAUGCUUUUUGGAGUUGUGCCAAACAAACCUGGAACCCUACAUUUUAAUUUGCCUCAACUAUUGGAUAACUCUAACGAGUGAAAUUCUGUUCAUAACAUUUUUAAUGGAAACUUUAUUAGUACUCGCACCAAUGUUGGUUUGCUUCUAGCAACAUUAAACUCUCUACUCUGGCGAAUGAUAAAAGAUACAUGUAGAAAUACAAUUCGGCUAAUGGCUGCUUAAGACAAUAUUUCUCAUGAUAUAUGCUUAAGUUUUACAUUUAUGCACAACAAACCCCCAUUUUUUCGAAGGCAUUGCCAAAGUAGUUAUUUGUAUUACUUUCAUAUAAUUGUAGAUUCAAAUAAUUUAGCUAAGCAUGUUGUUUUCACAUGUAUUUUGUUCUCUAUAGUUUAUCUAGAUAGAUAUGUGAAUCGCAAAGUUAUGUUGGGUAUGAACCCAGUGGUUGGUGGCUUGAUCCAUUCAAAUGUCGGUGACUAUUCAUGAUGGGCAAACUAGCUAGACUUAUAUAUGCUUUAUUCGUAAAGUAGAGAUGCAUAGGGCUUCCUCCUAUCACCCCUAUAUCUUGCCUCCUCGUUUUAGAUGAUAAAGUACAAAUUUUGUUAAAUGCUUUGAGUUUACGAGAUAUUUGAAAGCAAUUCUACUCACUAUAAGUAAUAUGUUCAUUUCUCUUAAUAUUUGCUUGUUUUUUUCCAAAAAAAGAAGUUAAAUGUUCAUUUUCUCCAUAAGCGUUAUCUUUUCUUGGCGGAGAGUUGGAGUUCGUUUCUAGGGAGUAGCUAGCUAGGUGAAUAAAUUUUGUUUUGGAAGAUGCUAGGUGAACAACAGAUGAACUCCAGUUAGGUCACCGGCUAGCAGAGGAGCAUGAGAGACAGCAGCGGCUUGCUCCCUCACCCCUCGCUCUCCCACUCCUGCUCCACGCCUGCUGCUCACCAUGAUUGAUGGUAAUUCUCCCCCUUAUCCUUCCAAUGGAUCUGCCAUCACUGGGUUUUCAACCUGGCAGAGUCUUCAGUGAAAAAAUUGGCAAGCGGUACGGUUUUUCGGUUAACUCUAUUGGGAAACUAGCAAGUUUGGACUUUCUCUUGCUAGUAUCUUUAAGUUGAAAUAAAUUCAGGCUCACUGAGGAAUCUAUUGGAAUCUACCUUCAAUCUGUUAUAGGAGGCUUUGCUAACUGUUUUUUAGUGCAUCAACUGGAUCAACAGGUUUUCAGAUUUGCUGUCUCUUGCAAACAAGUUGGUUUUGUUGUUUUGGGGCUCAACUCUUUUUCUUCGGUGGAUUUCAAGUUGGCUUUUCUUCUCUGCAAUGAUGCUAGCCUUGCGAAAGCUUUAGCAUUCUCCAAGUCUGAUUCAGGGCCCUCUUUCACCUAGGAAGAAGUUCAUUCGAAGAAAGGCAAACUCUCUUUUGCGGAUGUAGCCAGAGCUCCCCCUCCACCUCUCUCGGGAGCAAAUGCAGUUUUCCUGGGAGCUAAUGUUGCUUGGAGGAUCAAGAAUCAUUUGCAACGUUCAAGUUCAUAUCAUAUUGGCUCAUUUCAUUCUCAGUCGAGGCCUUCUGUUUUUCAGAGAAUUUCUUUCCCUCGCAAAUCGGUUUUUCAGCGUCUGGAAUUUGGAAAUUCACGGGAUAAUUUUCAAACUUCAAAAGGUCAACGGGCUGCAUUGGUUCAUGGGUCAAAAAGCCUAGCUUUCACGAGGCCCGGUACUGUUGCAGGGUUUCCCAUUUACCGUCUAAGGUGUUUAUCUCCCAACCAUUCAAGGAACGAUUGUCGAAGCUUGAUUAAGUGCUGGCACUGCAAACAACUAGGUCACGUCCUAAACUCUUGCUCACUUUUUUCACGAUCUCCAAAGGUUGAAGCAAUUAAGUGGUUGCUCAAGGAGCUGUAAAUUUUUUCCCGCUCUCUCGGUUGGCCUCCCAACGCUGGGAGCUCAUGGUUUAGGAACCCCAGGCUAUUGACUCAUGGGCCUAGCACAAUUGGGCCUCCGUGUUUUGCCUCCCUUGUUGAGUUUGGCUACUCUGUACUUAGCAUUCCAAGGGACAUUGCCCCUUCGUCUUCCUCGGCUCCCCCUCCUUCAUCCACACCAAACCCCAGUGAGGAACCUAAGCAAGAAGACGGUGGAGGUGAUCCUGCACCCUCACCCUCGACGAUGGCCUUCCUCAACAUCGACCCCACACCUAUGCUCCUCCCGGGUUUCAACAAAGUCUUGGUGGAAGGCAGAGAGAAGUACAUUAGGGUAGUCACUCCAAGGGCGCGAUAGGGCAACAAUGAUCUCGCAAUCGUCACCGUCUCCAAUCUGCCUCCCGGUGAGAUACCCUUUGCUGACCUCCGCAACAUCAUCCUAUAGCUCUUGGUAGAUGAGUAUGGUUUAGCAGUUAAGGAAGUUCAUAGAUGCCUCUUUGGUAGAGGUCAAGCUAUGUUCAUUUGAAUCGUGUUUCUGAUAGAGAUAUGUUGGUCCAUCAUAGUCCCCAUCAACUCCAUGGAAUGAACCUAGAUUUCAUCAAUCAUAAUAGAGGGGCAAAUGCUUGAAGGGUUGUUUUCAAUACAGAGUGUUGGCUCAUGCUUAUUGGUUACCCUCCAAAUGAUCAUUCUGUUGAGGACAUUUCAGAUGCAAUCAAAUCUUUUGGCAGACUAAUUGUAUGACAGAAAGAUAAUGUCCUGGCAAGAAUCAUUAUCAAAGCUCGCGUGACUGAUCUAGUGGAUGUACCUCACUACAUUAUUAUGUCAGAAGGUGAUAAUUCUGAGGGGGGCAUCCUUAACUGUCCAAUGUGAGAUUAUUCAUCAGAAUAUGUUAGGAGGCCUGCUGCAAGAUGAAGACAUUCCACCUGGUGGUCUUGAUGAUAACUUUGUCUUCCUUGGUUUUGGAGUUAACCAAGUGGAUCAGCAGUUUGAUCAAGAUCCAGCUUCCCUCAGCCACAGGCCUUGGAAAAUAAGGGCAAUGCUGACCAGCUCUUACCUAAUCUAAAUCAGAAUCCAGAUGAUCAUGUUCAAAAAGAGGACCAAGCCUAGGAAGUGGAUAAUGAUCAAGAAGAGGACAUUCAUAAACCUCCUGAAACCAUGAAACUAGAAGUGCAGCAACAAGUUGAGCUGGACCUGCAGCUCAGUCUGCCAGCUCCCCUAGGUUCCUCCUCCAACUCAACCAUUGCAUCCUCAGACACUUCUCCUAAGACAAAUGAGGAAAUCCAAGCUACAGUCCAAUCACAGCAGCAGGUGAAUGGACUUAAUAACCAUAAAGAUGAACAAGCAGAAGAGCAAUUGAAUGCUGAGGUGGUGUUUGCUUUACCUGCUAUUCCUCAAGGACAGGUUGGUCAUAGCAUUGUUGAACCAGUUAACAUCAUGCCCCAGGAAGGUGAAGGGGAUCACAUGGACAUUGAUCAAAAUCAUCACGAUCGCCUCCAAGAGUUGGCUGCUCCAAUCCUUCCAGUUCACAAUCAGCAAAAUCAAAUUCAAGAGUUGGCUGCCCCAGGACAUGGCAAUGAUCCAGUUAUUAAUUUGAACUUGAACAUCAACAUGGCCCUCACCAGCUUUGACAACUUCCAGUCCAUGGAUCCAAAGCCCUUUGAUUUUUUUGGAUCAAUGAUGCCAGCAAUCCAAAGCCUGAUCUCUAUAGGCUUUGGGCCAAACACUUUUCUCCAGUGGGCUGCCCUGAGCAUGUGGUCCAGAUCCCAAGGAUUGGGCCUCUUUCUUUACUGUCAUGCCUUUAUCACCAAACCAGUUUGAAUGGGCUAAGAAGUUCCUAUCUUCUCAGGCUUAGAGAGUCAUGUUAAAAUGCACUGAUUUGUCAGCAAUGAUGUCAUUUUACCCUGGCAGCUGAUUGCCCUGAAAAUGCUGAAGUUAAAUGCUCUCCCCCUAAGGAGUUCAUGGAUAGCUCAUCUGUCAAUGAAUCAUUUGAUACCCCCCUUUUGGAUGAGGAAUCUCUCAAGAUGAAUGCUAACUCUGAUGAAACACCACCUACCAGUACAAGGAAAUCUCGUAGGUCCACUCCUGUGGUGGAAACUGAAACAAGAAGGGGUCUAAGAAUUAGAGACAACAACAAUGACUUUAAGCAUGAUAGUUGUACUAGCAGAAACUGUAUGGUCUGUGCUACGCAACCCCCAGCCAUUCCAGCUGCAACUCUUAAGAACAUUGGUGAAUCUGUGUGCAAAAUAACACCUGGUGUGUUAUCAGCUGAUACCAUACUCAAUAAGAACAAGACCAAGAAACCAGUUGGAGACCAGAAGACUUCAAAGAAGGUGAUCUCCUCUAAGAAGGAAAAGGGCAAGAGCAAGCAAGAAGAUAAUGAUCCCAAUGAAGCAAACAAGAAAGGCAAGAAGUAAUCGGUCACUAUGUGUCCUAGGUGUGUGUAGUUUCAUAGUUCUGGGGACCCAUCUCCCUCUUUUGUUGAUCUAUAUGGAUUCUGGUGGUUUGUGCACCUUAAGGGUGACUUUUAAAACUCUAGUGAACUGGUUUAUCGGUAUGAUGGGAUUUCUUUUCUGUUUGGUCUGGUUCCUCAAAGCCUCUUUGUUGUGAUGUUUUAUUUGCAUUUAGUUGUGUGCUGUGCACCCAGCUUUUUUCCUCGCUUCCCAUGUCUCAUAAAUGAAUCAGAAUCAAAAUAGAAGAACCUGAACAGUUCUAUACUGGAACAUAAGGGGAAUCAAUUUAGAAGGCAAGUGGGAUACCAUUAGAAGCAAAAUUAUUGAAUAAAACAUGAUGUUGUAUGUUUACAGGAAACUAAAAAAGGAAUUCUUUAAUGCUCAGUUCAUUAAAAAAUUUUGUCCACACAGCUUUGACUCUUUUCAAUCUGUACCCUAUGUUGGAGCUUCAGGAGGAAGCAUCAUUCUAUGGAAUAAUCUGAAAUUUAGUAGUCAACUCACUUUUCAAAACAAUUAUGCUCAGUCAGUGGAAUUUCAGUGUCAACUAUCUGGGAAAAAUUGGAUCCUAACCAAUAUAUAUGCUCCUUGUACUCCUGAAGGGAAGCUGGUUUUCCUAGAUUGGUUUAAACAAAUUGAAAUGCCUGAGGAUUUCACAUGGCUUAUCGUUUGUGACUUCAACCUAAUUAGAUCUCCAAGUAAUAGAAAUAAACCGGGUGGGAAUAUUCAAGAAAUGCUGAAAUUCAAUGAAGCAAUUAGCAGACUGAGACGGGUGGAAAUACCUCUUAAAGGCUAUAAGUAUACAUGGACAAAUAAACAACAGAACCCAUGAGAGAACUUGAAAGGUUAGGAAUAGAGAUAAAAUCCCAUGAGCCAAAAAUGUCACUUCAAGCAAUUCAAAUUAAGCCAACCUUGCAAGAGGAAAUCUUAGACAAACAAUUAGCUGACACAACUAUGCAAACUCUAAAGAAAAAUAUAGUAGAAGGGAAAGUUAGUGAAUUCAGAAUUGAUCAACAGGGUCUAAUACGGUUCCAAAAUAGGUGUGUCUCCCAAAUUAUGCUACACUCAAAAAUAAAAUUUUACAAGAAGCCCAUUCCUCCCUUUACACAAUCCACCCUGGGAGCACAAAGUCUGCUCAUUUCCUACCGGUUAAAAGAACAUAUUCCUUAAAAAAAUAUGCCAAGCUUUAUAUCCAACAAAUAGUAUCUUUGCAUGGGGCCCAAUAAAAAUUGAAUCUGAUAGAGAUCCUCGUUUUGUUUCCGUUUUUUUGAGAAGCUUACUUAAGUCACUUGGAACAAAUCUAGAGUUUAGUACAACAUAUCAUCCCCAAACCGAUGGUCAAACGGAAAGGGUCAACUAAAUCAUAGAGGAUAUGCUUAGAGCUUGUGUUCUUGAAUUCAAGGGAGCAUGGGAUGAAUAUUUACCUCUAGCAAAAUUUACUUAUAAUAACAACUACCAAGCUAGUAUUCAAAUGGCACCGUAUGAAUCUCUGUAUGGGAGAAGAUGUCGAUCACCUAUUUGUUGGGAUGAAGUUGGAGAAAGGAAAAUGUUAGGACCUGAAAUAAUACAAGAGUCUGAAGACAAAGUAAAAGUCAUCAGAGAACGAUUGAGGAUAGUCCAAAGUAGAUAAAAGAGCUAUGCCGAUAAUAAAAUAAGGAAGCUUGAGUUUGAUAUAGGAGGACUAGUAUGUCUAAAAGUGCCACCAAUGAAAGGAGUAAAUAAGAAACUAAGUUCAAGAUAUAUAGGACCAUUUUCAAUUAUUGAGAAAAUUGGAGAAGUGGCAUAUAGACUAGAACUACCAGAUUCACUUGCAAGAAUUCAUAGUGUGUUCCAUGUGUCAAUGCUCCAAAAAUACCUUCGUGAACUAGAAGAAUAUAUUGAAAUACCAAGAGAACAACUACAAGAAGAUUUAACCUAUGAAGAGUAGCCAACACAUAUCCUUGAUACAAAGGAGAGAGAAACAAGACGUAAGACCAGUCGAUUCUUCAAGAUUCAGUGGAGCAAUCACUCAAAAGAUGAGACCACAUGGGAACAAGAAGAGGAUAUAAGGAAAACCUAUCCAUACCUAUUCCAAAUAUGAAGGUAUAAAUUUCGAGGAAUAAAUUUAUUAAGGAGGAAAGACUGUAAUAAUCUAAAAAAUGUAAAUACAUAUGGACCAUUGUGUAAUGUUUAGAUAUUAGACUGCAGUUUUGCUCAAGCCUGCAACUGCAAAAUCGCAAAACCAAGUCCAGAACUGUGUUGAAUAGUAUAUACGAUGUUUGUGCUGUAGCAAUAAAAUAAAUUAAGGGAAAGAAAGGAGAUAAGAAGGAGAUGUAGCUUGCAGUAGUAAAAAAUAAUAAUAAAAGAAGGUCCUGGACACUAUAAGCUUCCUUAGCUCCCACGUAUCCCAGCAGAUAGAGAUUAGAAAACUCAACCAUGGUAGAAAUUAACCCAACCAUGAUCAAGUCUUGCAGUAUAUAUACAGCCCUCUCCUCCACUCACAGUCUGCACAAAAAAUUCUCAAAAACCAAAGCACAAUAGGGUUGGGAGAGAUCAAGGGAAAUCUGAGGUUUGGAAGUAAUCUUGUUGCUAAAGUAUGCACCUUUAACAGAUUUACUUUCUUACUGCUCUUGAUUUCUGUUCUUUUCUCCCUGUUCCUGCUAGUUCUCUUAAGUCCCAUACAUGUCCAGUACUAGUGCUUGUUUGUGUAUAGCCUUUGCCUUGCUUCCCGUAACAAGCUGAGUUAGUUAAACUACAUGUUCCCAGUCAUGCUUGUAGUAUUUUAAUAUAUAUAGUCAAUCACACACAAGGGCACACCGUACUUGGCAACUAAAUUAACUAAACAUUGUACUUACAUGUUCACUGAUAAAUGAUGUUAGUUGAUGAACCAUGGUCCUGAUGCCAGCAUCAUUGCUUCCGGCAAGAACUUAGUACUCUGGAUGAAUGCAUGAGUUCAGAGCUCUGUAAUUAGAAUAAAAUAACCGAAGAAAACAUGUUUGACCUUACUAAAAUCUGAUGACUAUUUUACAUACAAAAGAACAUCUAUAUAGAUUGUCACACUUGAUGUUGCUUGAACUGAACUGAUGAAUACAUGCACAUGGUAUUGAUCUAAAUAUUACCCAGUUUGUAGUAUUGAUGAAUAUGUGCCCACUUGAUGAAAUGUCAACAUUUAAUAAUUACUCUCACUAAUUAAGUUGAAUGCUAAAGACUGUAAUAAUUUAAUUGAAACUCAUCCAAUAUGUUAGGUCCUGAUUGCAAGGAGGACAAGGAAGAACACAGUGAACCAAUCAAGGCAAGCUGCGCAUAUCAGAACCUAUUAAAUCAUGACAUAUGUAACUAAAUAUGAGAUGAUAAUUAAAAACUGAACUCUAGUCAUCAUAAUUUGGGAAAUGAAUUGUUUAUUACUUAGCCUGGGACAACCAAUCCUUAAAACUGUGAUAUGCAGCAAGGCUGGUAUCUGGGUGAGAUAGGCAUCCUCACUCAAGUAGAGGAUAUGAUGUAGGUUUCUCAAAGAUGGGGUAAUACUAUAAGGUGGAAAUUAUGGUGGCUUAAUGAAUACUUCUCCGUAGAGAAAUACUAAAGACUAUGAACUAUUAUUGUCCCUGUUUAUCUUUUAAUGCCAACUCUCCUGUGGUAAGUAGGAACAUAUGUUCAGAACUUAACUUGCUGAGUAUGGUAACAUGCUCAUUUGCUUGCUUGUGUUUUACUGAUAUGCGUAGAAAUGAAAGAAGAGGAAGGUGUGGUCGGGAUAGGGAGUGAUGACUAUGAACAACAGUAGCUGUAGUUUAGUUUCUAUCACAAUAAAAUUGGUGAUUAGUACACCAAUGCAACUCUUGUAUGCUUGGAAUCAUGAAUAAAGAAUGAAUGUCACUUUAGUUAAGAUGAAACUACUAUUCCAUAUUGCCUUGUACCCUUAUGAACUGCAAGUGUUUACAAGUGUACGGCGGCUGCCAUCUCCAAGUUUAUGUUUAGGGUGUGACAACUAUCAGAGAUGAAUUUGGCCAGGAACAUAGAGGACAUGAGGAAAAGGUAAAUCUCUUGUGAAAUGCCUACAAAGACACGAUGGGAACUACUGAAUUUACACAUAUGUACUUUGAUUUGGAUGAUCUGCUUGUCCCAAAUCAAUGAGUUAAACUAGUUGGAGGAACCCUUCACUAAGGAAGAAAUUGACAAAAUUAUUGCUGAUCUCCCAAACAAUAAGUCACUUGGGCCGGAUGGCUUUAAUCGGGAAUUUUUGAAAAAAAAACGCUGGCCUCUAAUCUCACAAGAAUUUUAUGAUCUUUAUGAACAAUUUUUUGAUAGAAAUAUAUGUGUGAGAAGUAUUAAUAACUCAUACAUGACAUUGAUACCUAAGAAGGAUCGCCCUUUAUUUGUUGGGAUUUUAGGCCAAUUUUGCUCCUAAAUUCAUCCAUCAAGCUAAUCACCAAAAUCUUAGCAGACAGGCUGCAACAAUUGAUUCUCAGAUUAAUCCACCAAAAUUAAUAUGGAUUAAUUAAAAGCAGAUCCAUCCAAGACUGCUAGUAUGGCCUUUGAAUAUCUACACAUUUGCAAGGCUUCCAAGAAGGAGAUAGUGAUCCUAAAACUUGAUUUUUGAAAAAGUCUUUGAUAAAAUUGAGCAUCAAGCCAUUAUGGAAAUUCUCAAAUACAAAGGAUUUGGUGGUUGAUGGAUUGGUUGGAUUAAAGACAUAUUGAGCUCAAGAACCUUCUUCAUUAUUCUGAAUGGUGUACCAGGGAAAGUAUUUCACUGCAUAAAGGGUGUCCGACAAGGAGAUCCCCUCUCACCAUUACUCUUUGUCCUUGCUGCAAAUUUGUUACAAUCCAUAGUUAACAGAGCCAAAGACCAAGGUUUGCUCACAUUGCCUAUCCCUAAAAAGGCUGGUGAUGAUUUUCCAAUUAUUCAGUAUGUUGAUGAUACUCUACUAGUUAUGGAAGCCUGUCCUCAGCAGUUGGCAACCCUUAAAGAAUUAUUAAACUCCUUUGCUAAUUCUACUAGGUUAAGGGUUAACUACAGCAAGUCAGUCAUGGUACCACUGAACAUCUCUGAAGAAAAAUUUGAAAGCCUAUCGGUCGCAUUUAAUUGUCUCAAAGGCAACCUCCCAUUCACAUAACUUCGUCUUCCUCUAGGGACUACAAAGCUAGGCAUAGAAGAAUUCCUACCUCUGAUUCAGCGAAUUGAAAAAAAGGCUUACAUGCACCUCGACAUUCCUCACCCAAGGAGGAAAAUUGGAAAUGGUCAAUUCAGUGCUUUCAUCAUAUGUAGCUUUCUACAUUUCAACCAUGAGGCUACACAAAGGAGUCAUCAAGUAGAUAGAUAAAUACAGGAAACAUUGCUUAUGGAGUGGGGCGGAUCUAAAUUCAAAGAAGCCGGCCAAAGCUGCUUGGCCUAUGGUCUAUGUACCAAAGAAGGAAGGAAGACUAGGAGUCAUAAAACUCUCAGUUCACAAUGAUGCUCUUCUACUCAAGUUCUUACACAAAUUUUUCAACAGGGCCGAUAUCCCUUGGGUUUACUUAUUAUGAGGAAAUUACUAUUCCAAUUGUAAACUGCCUGGAUAAUUCAAAAAGGGAUCCUUCUGGUGGAAAGACAUUAUCAAGCUCCUUGACUCCUUCAAAGGACUUGCUUCUGUUGUUAUUGCAGAUGGCUCCACUGUCUUCUUCUGGACUGACAUCUGGAAUAACAUUGUACCCUUAAUGGCAUUCCUAGAACUUUUCUCUUUUGCCAAGAACAAGUUCAUCUCAUACAAGACUAUUGCAAAUCGGCCAAACCUUAUUCGGAACUUUCACUUACCUCUCUCAAUUCAGGCGCAUCAACAAUUUCAUGAACUGGAGGAGAUAUUACUAAGUAAUUUGCCAUCGACUGAUAAAAAUCAGUGGCAAUACAUAUGGGGUAAUCAUAACUUCUCAGCAUCAAAGGCAUAUAAAGCUCUCAUUGGACACGGUUCAUCCAACCUUCCUAUGGAUAUGGAGAUCAAAAUGCCAAAUGAAGCAUAAGGUGUUCUUCUGGCUAUUUCUCAAGGAUUGACUCAGUAGAGACCUAUUAAGAAGGAAAAACAUGGCUCUAGAUUCGUAUGUGUGUGGACUCUGCAUCCUCCAAAGAUUGCAAACUGUUACCCACCUCUUCCCAAGGUGCAAUUUUAUCAUCUUGAUAUCGUGGUGCAUCUGGACGACUAGGAAUGAUUGGUUGUUCAACAAUGAAGAUCACUCGGUUGAUUCCUGUAGAAGGAAAUACGAAUUCUCUCUUGUUAUGCUAAGAGUAAGCCUAGUUCUGAACCUGCCAUGUCAGCUUGGAUCGAUAGUCUGUAAUUUUCCUUUGGCUAUUUCCCUUUUUUUUCAUGUUUACUUAAUUUUUAGUCUGUAACUUUAAAAGUAGUAGGGGCUUGCCCCUCCUGUUCCUUAAAAAAAAUCAAGAAUUAACUUAUGUCGCGAGUAAGGAGUAAUACUGAAAACCCUAAAACCAAUACACAUGGGUUCUUUUUUCCCCCUUUUUUGUGCGCUCACUUAUCAGAAUUUUGGUCAUACGGGUCCAGGGGCACGUCAGGGCGUCGAGGUCGUUAGCCUCGGAUGCAGCCGUGGUCCUAAAAGGGCAGAACAGAAAUGAGGGGGCUGGACCCAUGGAUCAGGUGGUCCGGAAUGCGUCGUUGCACGGGGGUACCCUCCUGUAACAAGAAUUUGCCGAUAGGCGAACGCCACCCGUACUUAACCUCCUGCAAAUGCUUGCAUUAUCCUCAAUAAGGAAUUAAGGAUCCCUUGCAGCACUGCCGAAAGCACAAGCUCACCUAAUCAAGCUUAUGUAGGUUUUGUCAGUUUGGCACCCAUGGAACACGCCGUCCGUACCCCAGCAGGAGCACAUGGCACCAACCAAAAUGAUUUCAACAACCGUUUCCACAUCUGAAAAUCCGGCCACGGGAGAGACCUCUGAAACUGGCAAGACUUUACGCAAAGCUUCCCGUCGAGGACGGCUCCGAAACUGUGAAAUGUUUCCGUCUGCGAGCUGGAUCUCGAGCGAUGGGGAGGAGGAACGUGCGCUCUGAAUAUUUUUUGCACCAGGCAGGUGACGCCCCGAUCGAUCGAACGGGGGCGGGUCGCCCUCGCCCUCUUUCUUUCUCUUCCGGAAAACGAGGCCCGCUCGAUGGGGUGGCGUAUGGCAAGCGAGCAGGCUGGAAGAUGCUCCCGUCUGCGUCGAGGCGGCGAUGGUCCCCGAGACCUUUGCGUUCUGUGCUGCACGGCCGGAGCGGUCCUCGUUUGUUGGUUCAGUCGGUUGCGGCUCCCUUUCUGCUGUGAGAAACUUUUAGUUUUUUCUUUCAACAAUUGUAUUGCCUGAGAGGGUAACAGACGGUUUGGUUUGUAAAAGUUUCAGGGAAGAGCAGGGGUGUGUUAGAUGUGCUAAGUCUAUCAACUUGCCGUAAAAUCGUGGUGGCGCUUCCAACCUGUCCGUGAGCGGUCGCCAUCGGUUUUGACAAAGCGGCAACCUGCUGACUGUGAUGAGAUGGAGAGGCGCUAGAAAUGAAGAGAAACCUCCUUCUAUACUGAGAGGAUAGCUGCAAGCUGCUAAUUGUCUCUCUGAAAUGUAUGAAUUAGAAAGCACCAUCACCUGCUAAAGAUUUGAAAACGCGGUUGCGUUUAUAUAUAUGAUUUAUACGAAAGAGCGCUCAUCACGUGCGUGUGCGCGAGAGGAUGAGGUUAAUUAUUUGAGCUGUGUUUGCUUUCCUGUGUAUGUGGGAGGAAUGCAUGAUAAGGAUUUCGUGAGUUCACUCUCAUGUUCCAAACAUAUAUUUUGUACAGAAAAAGAAAAUCAACGAUUAGGAAAUUUGAACUCUCCAAAACUUUUCAGCGAAUGUUGUGCAUAAAGGUGGCCCUUAGGGUGUAUUGUGUGCAAUAUUAACAUCGCAAGAUGGAUUGCGUCAUUUGUAUCAUGCGUUAAUCGACAUUGUAACACUAAUGGCAUACGGUUGCACAUUAUAGCUACGAUGAAACAUGGAGUGCAGGAUGAAACAGAUCAGCUCAAAUACAUUGUGCAUGAGUCGAUGACGAUACAAAAGUUGAAAAACUCAACUCCAAGACGCAGAGCUAUGCAGGGUCGACGGGUUUCAGUCGUGUCCACGAUAAUCAGAUAUUCAGACAGUGGCAAUACGGAUUAUCAGAUAUUCAGACAGAGGCAACACGGAUUGUUGGUUCAACGUCCUAAAUCAGACAGAGCUUAUCGGUCUGUGUGCUGUCCAUUUCCCUGUGGUACUAGUACUGCUACUGUACAACAUCACCAGAAAAAAAUACCUACUGGCAGCUGCCAGCGGCGAGCACGAGUCACCGAUGAGUAAACGAGGCAGCGAGCGAGUGAAAGCAUGACCAGACAAAAGCAGCAUCGGCGGCGGUGCUAAUCCGAAUAUUAGCAGUAAGUAUCACUCAACCUGCUGUUACUGUGAGAAAAGCGCGUGUCCUAUCGGAGUAGUAACAUCAGAUUAGGUGCCGAGUUACCAUCACGGCGCACGACGCCAUUGGUGUGGUCAUCCAUCGAUCCGUCCAUGCUUUAAUAAUGAUACGAACAGUUCUAGCUUAAGCUAGGGAUUUUUUUCAAGAGAUGUGACCUUCAGUCGUCAGAAGAUUGGUCUCUGACUCUCUGGUUAAGUCAUUCACCCCCCUUAUUCAGGCCUUUUCUUUUGCAACUAACGAAAGUGAAGUAACUUACGGGGCGUUUUCUUCUCGUGUCUUAUUUUUAGCACGUGUCACAUCGAAUGUUUAGAUACUAAUUAGGAGUAGUAAACGUAGACUAUUUACAAAACCAAUUACAUAAGUGGAAUCUAAACGGCGAGACGAAUCUAUUAAGCCUAAUUAAUCCAUCAUUAGCAAAUAUUUACUGUAGCAACACAUUGUCAAAUCAUGGACUAAUUAGGCUUAAUAGAUUCGUCUCGCCGUUUAGAUUCGUCUUAUGUAAUGGGUUUUGUAAAUAGUCUACGUUUAAUACUCCUAAUUAGUAUCUAAACAUUCGAUGUGACGGGUGCUAAAAUUUAGCAAGUGGAAGAAAACAGGUCCUUAGUCGCAUUUCGACUUCAAUGCUCAAGAAAAAAGAUUCGUAUCCAAAUUCAUAUAGAAUGCUUGAGAGCCCAUGGAAGCUUCCUUUCCCACCCGUGUUACCCUUUUGGAAUAUUUUCAAGUCUUGCAUUUGAGUAGAAUUCUAAGUGCCUGGAACAAUCCAAUCUCGUGUUCUGUAUAUAUGCAUUACGAAGUGAGGUUACAAAGAGAGUUUCUUUAUGUCUCUGAAAAGGUACCAGAGUUAAUUAUAACACAGAAUUGAUACAGUUUUUAUUAUUUUUCAUGGAAUGUAAAAAAAUCCCACCUACGAUAGCCACUGAAAUAUCCAAUUUGCAGUAAGGUUUCACCAAAAAAAAAAGGAAAAAGAAAAU
rnacentral:lncRNA from 1 species